rnacentral:lncRNA from 1 species
GGUGGGUUAGUUUUUUCUAUCAAACCUGGGGGGUGGGGAGACUUCAAGGGGUUCCAAUACUUUUCUCUAUCAUUUUUAAGAAAAAAAAUGAGUUAUUUGGUAGGUAAAGCAAGGUUUGAGCUUGACCUGGAAUUUUCUUUGGAAUUGGGUUUAGGCCUAACUUGACUCAGCCGAUGAGCACCUCUAUCAUAAACAAGUUUAUUUAGUUCAAAUGAAUGAACAUGAAUGCAUGUAAUUUUAAAUAAACAAACAUGAAUUAAACACAAAUAAGAUUAAAAAUUUAAAUAAAAACAUAAAUUUGUUUAUAAACAUAGAGGAUUAAAAUUUUAAAUAAACUAAUCUUAAAUAAACUAAUUUAUGUUUCUAUUUAUUCAUUUGAGUAAACCUUGACCAUUCACGGUUGGACCUAAUACACGAACCUUAGAAAAAAAAAUUGUUUAUAGAUGUCAAGAGUGAAGCUUUACCUAAAUGUCAAAAGUUUUAAAAGUCUCUCAAAUAAAUGUUUGAAAACAAUUCUAGUUAUAAAGAUAUUAAUGGUUUGUUAAAAAGAAUUAUGUUAUGGAUAAUGGUGAUAAUGAACAAAAGUUCAUUACGUUUAUGAAAGGAAAAGGGAAUCAUUCAAUAUUAUAGGAAAAUGUUAAGAGAGAACCCCAUAACUACUUGUAUAUAUGUUCCACCAACGUAUGCUUUCUAAAAUAUCCAAACAGUGAAGCUCCAUGAACCUUGUCAUAAUUUUGGAUUAAUUUCACUUUUUCUACUUUGCUAAAGUAAUAUCGAGUGAAACAUUUGCUACGGAAUACUUCUUGGAGAUGACACUUUACAUGGCAAUCUUGUUCUAUAAGUGAGUUAUUUCAUGAUAGUAUUAUUCUUAGAUGAAGUUGCUCUAAACAAUUAUUAUUCUUGAGCAAACAACUAUUUAGAAGAAGACUUGUUUUGGAAAAAAUUGUUCUAAACAUAGUUGUUCUUGGUAGAGGUUCUAAACAUCAACUAUUUUAAAUAUAAUAGGUUUUUGGUUGAGGCUUCUAUCAUGUUCAUCAAUUCUUGAAUAAAGGUAAGAAUAAGAGUAUUUUGAUUUUUAGUAGAUUAUCCAUGUCUUCUAAUAAGUUUAGCGUUGAAGAUUUUAGUCAUCUAAUGCUAUCACUCCUUCAGAACAAAAUUGUCAAAAUGUAAAGGGUUUUUGGUUUAGAGAGAAAAAGUUGCAAACAAGGAAAACAUAAUGUACCAAGACAUCACAAAGAAAGAUUGAAGCAAACCAACAACUAGUGGUUCGUAAGGUGGAGAAUUGUUGAAGUAGACUACUUGUGGAUAAGAAUAAACUUGAGAAAAGGAACAUGUUGAUAGAACUUUAAAAAGUUUUUAAUGGAAUAUGAAUUGCUAAAAUGCUAAAAUCCCCUUACAAGUUGUGAAGGGCUUUUAAUUAUAGAUGUAAAAAUAAUAGUUAUAUAGUUAUACAUUAAAUAAGAUAAAGAGAAAGAUUUUCAAUUACAAAAGACAUUAAUAUGUUUUAUUAAUAAAGUUUAACCACCUUUUGAUAAUAACUGCAUAGUAAACAAAAGUUCACCACAAUUCCAAAGACAAGGAAAAUCACUUGAUGCUACAUGAAGGGAAAUCACUUGGUUCACACUAAUCUCUAAACUUGAUAAAAUUUUCUAUUUUUGGUCUAUAUGAUGAUGUGGCACUUUGAGAUUGUGUCAUGUCAUUAGUUAUAUUUUAGAAAAAAUAUAAAUUUUGAUGUAAUGAUGUGACAUAAUAUAAGUGUAACACCCUACGCUUGAACUGGUUGUCGGAUUCGGGUAUGGAUCAUUAUAGGUUGACCGGAUUCGAAAAACACACCUAUGUACUUUUCUUUAAAGAAAAGCUCAUUAUCCUUAUGGUGGGUACCUCCUUCAUCAGAGUGGUAUUCCUUUAGUUCAAGACCAUUUUUGUAACAACCCUAACCCGUAUCUGUCUCCAGAAUAAGGUUAUGAAGCAUUAUCAAACUUUUCACAUAAACAAUCAUACAUUUUCAUAUUCAUUUCUCAUAUCCAAGCAAUAGUCAUUCAAAUUCAAUCAUAUAGUCCCUAACACAAGCCCUCAAGGCCCAAAAAAAGCAUUAAAAACAAAUUGAGACUAAAUUGAAAACUCAUAGAAGUUUUGGAAAAACAUUGAAAAUUUACAAAGUGCUGGGGACACAUGCCCGUGUGGCCAGGUCAUGUGUCUCACACAGUCAAGAGACACGUCCAUGACUCAGUCCAUGUGGGCAUUCGAAAUGGGAUCGCAUGGCCGUAUCCUAGCUAGUGUCCAACCCCAUGUAACUCACUGACUUGGGUCACACGGCCAACCACACGCCUGUUUGACUAGCCCGUGUAGCUCAUUGACUUACUUUCAUUAGAAAUUUUAGGGGACACACGGUCGUGUCUCCUGACCGUGUGUCACACAGGCCUGCGUUUCUGCCCGUGUGGACAAAAAUAAGCUAUUUUCUAAGCCAGAUUUCUCACCCAAAUAGGUACCAACCUAAGCUCAAUAAUGCAUAUACAACCAUGGCAUAAAUAAGCAUUCAAAACUAACCAAUACCAAGUUUAUAACAUGUAAUAUCCACACAUACAACAUGAUAUCCAUAAGCACAUUCAUUUGACCACUUUAAAGCAUACCAAAUAUACUUCCAAAGUCUAGUUAAAUGGUUAAUUACAUAUAUGAGACAUUGAACCUAAAACUUAGAAUGCAAGCUUAUCUCAAUUCCAACCAUUUGGUUCCAAAACACAAUUUCACAAGCAAGGCAUUCAUAUAGCAACUAUACACCACAUAUCACAAGGCCAUUUAUACAUAUAUACAUAUCAAAAUAUAUGACCACUUUUCAAGCCAAUUCAAAUGGCCUAAACUCAUCAAGACAUAUAGGCUAAAUUAGCCAAAAUACCUAUACAUGUCAUUUAACCAAAAUAUAGAGAUUCAAAAGUACCAAAACGAGAGCUUGAUAGUGAGACACAAUCUCCGAUAACUUUCAAUUCGAAUGAGCUUCCGAUUCAGUAUUAAAACACGAAAAAUUAAACAGAGUAAGCAAUUAAGCUGUAACAUAAAACUCAGCUUACCAUUUAAUCAUAAUUUAAGUAAUUAAACAUAGCAUAAUGCAACUCAAUUUGAUCCAUAAGCCUAACACAUGUUCAUCCACAAGAUUAGACAUGAAAUAACAAACCUCAUAGAUUCAAUUCUCACAUGAUUGACAUACAUACCUAUACUAGUUCAUAUCGAACUCAUACACUUUCGUAAUAACACUGUGCCCGUUGAACUAUUUGGAAUAAUAUCGGAUACUCAGGUAUCUCGCACACUUAGUGCUAAUACAUGGUCGAAACCAUCUCUAUCUCAUAUAGAUGCUCACUCUCGAGCCAUCACUAGGUCUGCUCACACAAGCUGACGGUCAAGACGUAGCUACACGGUGCUACUCACACAAGCUAUCGGGUAACCGCAACACAUGCUAGAAAACUUAGCCAUCGGUAGAACGUAUGGGAUCAACACCCAAAACACGAUUAUUCCUAAUGACAUGUCAUUUGUACCUAUCUAUUCCUAACGUUCGAUCGGGAUCCAUACACUUGCCGAUAUCUUGUCGAGAAUUUAUGUAGUAUCGUAUCAACUAAUAUUUCAAUUAAUCAUGUAAACAUAUAUAUAAUUUAAAGCUUAUUAAUAUAUGAACUUACCUUGAUCUCGUACGAUGAAAAUUUAUCGUUUAAUCGAUAACUUUAUCUUUCCCUCGAUCUAAUUCCGUACUUCGCUUUUCUUGAUCUAUGUAAUCAAAUUUAACUCAUUUAAUCAUUAAUCUAUUAAAUUCAAUCCAAAGUUCAUGUUAUGACAAAAUUACUAUUUUGGCCCUAAACUUUUGGCUUCUUUAUAAUUUAGUCCUAAACUCAUAAAAAUGCAAAUUCAUGCAAUUCAAUUUCAGCCCAUGCUAGCUGAAUAUCAUAUAGGUCCCUAGCAAGCCUUAUAUUUCAUUUAUUUCACAAUUUCACCAUGUAUAUUACAUAUUUUAAUUAAAUCCCUAUUUGACAAUUUUACUAAAAAUCACUUAACAAAUGUUGUUUAACUAACAACAAAGAUUCAUUUUCUUCCAUCAAACAUCAAAACACAUACACAUUCGUCAAUGGUGAAACCCUAACUCUUUAACACUUUUGCAAAUUAGUCCCUGGGCUAGCUAGAUUAAGCUACAACGACUUCAAAACCAUAAAAAUCAUUAAAAACCGAGCAAAAUUGCACUUACAUGCAAGGGAGAAAGAUGGUUGAAUGUUCAAUCUCCUUCCAUGGAGUUUCCUAGGUCUAAUUUCAGUGGUGGAUGAUGGAAAAAGAUGAUAGCCAUAUUUUAUUUUACUUAAUUUAUCAUUAUUUACCUAUUUACUAAUUUAACCUUUAAAAACAUUAAAAUUUAUACAAAUGCCAAGCCAUUAUCAUCCACUAAAAUUUUAAUUGUAUAAUUGCCAUAUAAGGACCUCUACAUUAAAGUUCAAUAGCUAUUAAACACUUUUAGCUAUUAGAACCUAACUUUUACACUUUACGCGAUUUAGUCCUUUUCAUCAAAUAAAACAUGUAAAUGAUAACAUUUCUUAACGAAAUUUUCAUAUGACUCUAAUAACAUUGUGUAACCAUUAAAAUAAUAAUAAAAUAAAUAUUUUCACUUCGGAUUUGUGGUCCCAAAACCACUGUUCCAAUUUCACUAAAAACGAGCUGUUAUAAUUUUAGUUUGGAAGCGCAAUUUAAAUAAAAACUCACUGCGUUAAGGAUGCAUGGAAUAACCCUUUGGUGGCCACUUAAUUAACAUUAAUAAGUCAUAAUAGCAUUUGAUCAUCAAAGCUUCCAUUCAACAUUCAACGUUUUCAAAGUAUUGUUCAAUAAAUAUUAAAAUUUCAAAUUGGCGGUUUCUAAGAAUUGGCCUAAUAGCCCCAGUAAAUGCAUGUUAACUUUGAAAUUAAGAAGGCUCAUAAAUGGUCGUAGAUCUAGCUGUAUCCCUUCGAUCACCUCGCUUAACCUAAGAACUUGAAAGGAAGAAGAAACUGGGUAAGUUCGUAAGAACUUAGUGAGUUCUUGGGAAAAAAAAUCCCACCUUAGUUAGUAUCAGACAUUAAGACAAAAAGACUUGACUAGAUCACCCUAUUUGGCAGAUACAUUACCUUGUCUUGUAGAUCAACUGGCGAAUGAUACCGCAAAUCAACUCAGCUUAUUGGUGAACAACACUGGUUUCUAUAAUCAUAUAUGAUAAUCACGGGCACAUAUUUUCCGCGAAUUUGCCACUUGUGUGGACUACCAUUUUUGAUAGAUAAGCUUACUGUUCAUGCUUUCAUGCAACAUGCAAUACCACAUACACUGUUUUUCUACGUCCUCUCUUUUUUAUGCUAGGUUCUGAUCCCUAUUCCUGAAGAACCAAAAUUUUCCUGUAUCUUCAAAUUCACUUGUUUGAGCCCUAACUUUUUUCCUUGUAUGAACACAUAAGUAUUCUACCGCAAGGUCGAGUUUUCACCAAUCAUGAUUUGUAUCUAAGUGUCAUCCAAAGGCAAAACAUAAUUUCAUGUAUCUUCGUUAUCAUUAUAUACAACAUUCCUCCGAUACCUUCUUACACCCAUCUAGAUGCGAAGCUUGUGCACCAAGGAAUGAGUACUUAUACUGUGUAUAUACCAGGUUUUUUGGGCCUGUUUAACCAUGCAUGCAUUGACUCUUUGAAUGAUACUCUUCAGACAUGAACUUCAAAAAUAAAUAACUAAGUCACUUACCUAGCUUAAUGAAGUUUAGAGGUAAAUAAACUAAUGCAGAUACCAGACAUAAAGUGCAAAGGAACUCACCAGAAUACUUUAUUCAGAGCUUUAUCUACUUUACUAGUUCUUUUCCUUUAGCACACAUGAACUUCAGAAAUAAAUAACUAAGUCACUUACCUGGCUUAAUAAAGUUUAGAGGUAAAUGAACUAAUGCAAAUACCAGACACAAAGUACAAAGGAACUCACCAAAAUACUUUUCUCAGAACAUUAUCUACUUUACUGGUUCUUUUCCUUUAGCACUGGGACCUUUUCCCGUUUCUUUAUCUAAACAAUAAAACAACUUUUUUAACUAUCAAAUAUAACCAAAAACUUAUGAUACAACAAAAGUCUAUAGACAUGCAAACGAUUUUUGGAUAAGAGUUUCCUUCCUACCCUAGAUUCAAAGAAAUCCUAUCAAUCAUUUCUCAAGUUAGUUUCUACCUAUUUGGUAAAACUUCAAGGAAGGUUUAAGAAUUUACCAGCAAACAACUAGCAUAGAAGUUCUCCUAAACUUUUACAAUUAACACCCUUGUUAGCAAAGAAGAACUCUUCUGGUUUCUUCGAUGAUAACAAAUUCUAUGUUCGAUCUGGUGCCUUGAGUACAAUAUAUUUGUCUAAUGAAAUUUGUAAUGUCACACCCCAAAUUUGACAGACCUAGUUAGAAGACAUGUAGAUGUGAAGUUAUCUGUUUGGCGUAGUGUAGUUUGCACAUUUGUAAUCUUUUGGUGAAUAACUGUAACAGCCCGGUUUUCAGUGGUGAUAGAAAUAGUGGUUUUGAGACCAUAAAUUUCACUGUGCCGACUUGUAAAUAUUAUUUUUAGAAUAUUUAUAGUCAUUAUAGUCAUAUUAAAAUUUGGUUAAGAAAUAUUAAUGUUUAGUUAGUUAAUUAAGAUAAAAGUAACAAAUUGAAAAAGGUGCAAAACUUGUUAAUUAAUACAUUUAGGUGAUUAGAUGGUUUAAUUAAUAAAUGAGGAAGGGAUUAAGUGAUAAUUAAGCUAUAAAUAAUGAGUGGGACGACAAUUAAAGUUAAAAAUGAAAGAAAAUUUAAUGAUAAUGGCAUAAUUGUAAAUUUCUUGAAAGUAAAACAAAAUUAAAAGAAGAAAAAGACAUUUUCUCUUCAUCUUUCUAUUUUUCAUUGUCAAAACACCAUGGGAGCUUAACUUGGAGGUUCGUCCACUUUAUACUCUUGCAUGUGAGUUUAAUUCCUAUCUGUUUCUUGUAAUUUUUAUGUUUUUGAGAUCGUUGCAACUAGGUCCAGCUAACCCGUACCUUUGAUUUUUAAACUGUUAAAGAUUUUGAAUGUUGCCAUUGAUAAAUAUACUAAUUUUUUAUGUUAAGUUGGUAUUUAAAAGUAUUUUGUUAAGGGAUUUUUGAUAAAUUUUUUAUUAGGGACUAAAUUGUUGAAAUAGUAAAAAUACAAGGGUUUGUUGUGAAAUUAUUGAAAAAAUGGGCUGUAAUGAAUGCCAUGAAUAUUUGGUUAGCAUGGGUUUGCAUUAAAAAUGGUUAAUUUGCAUGUUUUAGGCUCAAGGACGAAAUUGAAUAAAAGUAAAAUGUUAGGGGCAAAUUUGUAAAAAUGUAAAAAAUAAAUUCCAUAAAAUAAAUUUUUUUAUUUUCUAAAUUAAUAAAUUUAAUGAAAUUGUUAAUUUAAAUCAAGAUCGAGGGGAAGAUCGAGGAGAAUGGAAAAUUACCAAAAUGCCCUUAUACUUUUACAUUUCUACAAUUUAGCCAGGUAAGUUCGUACGGUUAAAAUUUAACAUUUGUGUAAACUGAUGAUUGAUAUUAUAUAUAUGUUCUAUUGUUGGAAUUGAAUUAUUGCUAGAAAUAUAUUAUCAAAUUUAAUACUUUGUUUGGAUUGAACGCGAGAUUUGAGUACAUUUGUGAUUUGGUGUAUGAUGGGGGUUUGGAGUGGAGAUGUUAUUGGAGGGUGUUAAGUUCAAUUUUUAGCUUAACUUAUUCCAUUAAUUACCUAAAUUAUUGACAAAUUCUUGAUCAAUUAGUUUCAAUUAGCUCAAUUUGCAUUAAGAAUAUACUAUGCUUUGUUAAUUUAUUUUUGCUCCAAUCCGAUGAUUUAAUGGUAUUUUAAGACAUGUUGCAAGGUAGGUACAUUGGGAAGGUUCGAAUGAACCCAAAUGUGGAAUUCACUUGCCCCGAAUAGAGUUGAUGGAAGGGGCUGGGCGAAUGCUGAAUUCUUUAAAGUCGGCGAAGUCAAAAUACAAAUUUGAAGUAAUUGAGUCGACCGCAAAAGACCUUGACAGCAAAAGCAAGAUUCGGUCCAACUUGAAGGUGCCAUAGACCGACAUUGUGUGACCAGCCAGCAAGGGAAUCAAAUUUAAAUUCGAAUUCCCCUCUUUCCAGCUAUGACCGAUUCUAGUGUACAAUGAACAAACCAACUCAGACUUGAGAAGUUAAGUUGGAGUGAAAGUCUAAUUGGUUUGAGCUAACCUUAUGCGAUAGGCGAGGAAAAAAUCAACGGAGAGAUCAGAUUUUUAUUUUCUAUAUUUAGAGGCUGAGUUUUAUUUUUGAAAAAGGGGAGAGGAGAAGAAAUUGAAAAACAAGAAUGAGGGACUCAGGAAGAACACCGUCUCCAAUCGACCUAGUAGGUGCGAAUCAAGGAGCUAGAACCGGUCUUAGAGUCCAGCAACUUCAGGAGGAGGGAAGCUCGAUGACCUUAGCAGUGUUGUUAAGCAAGAGUGAUUCUAAACUCGACUUGAUUUUAAUUAAUUGUUGUUUAGCCAUGAGGAGCUAAAGUCCCUUUGCUUAGUUAGGCAUUAUUGAAGCCGAACACAAGUUGAAGUAAAGACUCAUUUUAUCUGGAAUUAAAACUCGGUAAUUUGUAGUUGAUUGUUUUUCUCAAAGGGGUUUAUUUUCUAAGUCAAGCUAAAAUGAUCACCUAAUUAAUUUAGGAAUUCUCCUAUCAUCACCUAAGUAAAUUUAAGAAAUCCUAUUUCCUAAGUAGACUUAGAAUCGAUGAACACUAUUAAACAGCUACGGGUUUAAUUUAAUGGGAGCCGUUAGAGGUUUUCCAUGGUUAAUGCAAGGCAAAGCCUCUUUAGCACCUUACGCAUGUUUAAUCGAUUAAACAAAGAGGGAUUAAAUAUAAUUUUCAAUUAAGAACGUUUCAUAAUUGAACUAACAUUGGAAGAGGUAGGGAGUCACUUCGUAAGGGAUUUUCCAGCCUUACUAUCGAGUAGAUUUCCUAGGAUAAGUUGAGUCUCAGUUAGUUGUGUUUGGUGGAUUAGUCGAUAACUAAGCAUCUUUUUCCAUUUGAUUCUAGAAUAUAAGCAUUUUCAUCUCAAACUACUUUCUUUCGUUUUUAGAAGCAACAUUCAUAUAAAACCCCCCACACGCGUAUGUGUGUGUAUUUCAUUUAAUUCUUUUCAAAUAGAUUUAAUACGAGCUUCCUCGUGGGAUCGAUACCCCAUUUUCCCUAUAUUACUAGUUAAUAUUGGUUGAAUAGUGGAUUUAAUUCGGUGAACGUAACGACUUCUCACCAGAGGGAUAUAUCGACAUUUUACCCAAGUAAAUUGGGGUUCAACAUUUAUUGUGAACUCUCGGCUUUUACUUUCUCUUUGGCAUGAUUCGGGUGGAUUAGCUCUUACGAGCUUCUGUUCAGCUCUUUUGAGUUUCUAUUAAGCUCUUAUGAGCUUCUGUUGACGAUGUACUCUUACUCGUAAGUCGUUCUUCAUAUGAAAAAUCUCGAUAAGGUAAUUUGUUUAAUGAAUUUGAAAGUUUUGUUAUUUAUUGAAUAUUGACCUGAACAUAAAUGAAUUCAUCAGUUGAGAUUGUGGAUAAUGCUUAGGUUUGUGCUAAGCUGUUGGUUGCAUUAUAUCAUGUUGAAUAUUAAUUAUAUGAAUUGACAUGGUAAUUGGUUAAAUGGAAAUAUGCUUAUGUUUAUAAGAAGGUGGUAAGAUUCAAAAUGUGUAAUUUCUUAUAAAAUGGUUUAUCAUGUGAUUGACCCCGAAUGAGUUAUAUACAUAAAUGCACUAACUUGUUUAUUGAUGAUGGUGAUUAGGCUUAUGUCAAGCUUCAGAUUAUGAUUGAUGUAUAUGCUUAUGUUUGGUAUUAUACAAAUGAAACGGUAAGUUCAUAAUUGAAAUGUGAUAUGAUGAAAAAGGGAUUGAUGAGUUGAAUAAUGUACUUAUAUAUGAGAAAUUACGUGUGUUAUGGUUGAAAUUACCUAUGUUAUGAAUAAAUAUACUAAUUAGUUAAUUGAUGUUGUUAUUUAAGUUUAUGUUUAGUAAAUGGAAUGGAAAGUAGGUAAAGAAAGUUAUUCGUAGUUUUAUGAAAAUGUUAAUGAUGGUGUAAAAUGUUUUAUAAAAUCUUAUUAUGUUAGGAAUGAAUAUAUAUAUGAUGUUGAUAGACUUACUCAUUUAUGAGUUAGUGGUUAUGUAGUUGAUAAAUCUUGAGGCAUUGGUAUAGCUUUAUAUUUAUCAUAUAAAGUUUAUGAUUAAAUUAGAAUAUUAUGUUUAAAGUUUGUAUGAGCUUGCUAAGCAUUCAUUGCUUAGGUAGUUGUUGAUCCCUUACUUUAUAGAUUAUUAGAAGCUUGAUCGGGUUGGAAGCUUGUCAGAGAUCUAUCAAACUAUCCAACGAUUAUAUCAGUAGAUUUUGAUGUCUUGGUUAAAGUUAUAAUGGCAUGUAUAGUUGGAUUAUGUCUAAUGCUUAAUUGAUGAGUUUGGUAUAUAUAUGUCAUUUUGGUUGAUAAUUAUGGCAUGAAAUGUUGCCUUGAAUUUGAGGUACUUAAGGUACUAUUGAUAUCUUGUUGGUUAUGGUUAAUAUGGUUAAUUUGAUGCAUGUUUAGAAAUAACCAAAUUUGGUAUAUGUUGUAUCAAUCUCAAUAUGGCCAAGACAUGGUAUGUUUUGGACAAGUCUUGAAUAUAUGUGCAUGAUUGAAAUAUGGUAUGCCUAAUAUGGUAAGGUUAGUAUGUGUCAAUUGUGUUAUGCAUUGGUAUGGAAACAAGUCAGUUGGUAAAUGGUAUCAAUGUGGUCAAAUGUGGUGAGAUUAUUUUUGAUAUAGCAUGGAAAUAGUAUUGAGAUUAUUUAGGUAUGUAUGGUUAAGGUUUGUACAAAUAUGCUUAUGUAUAUAUAUAAGUUUGAUGCUUGAUGAUUAAGGUGCCUUUUGGCAUAUUGGUUAAAGUUGUAUGAGCAUUUGGUAUGGAGAUUAGUCAUUUUUUGCAUAAUUUGAGUAUUUUUAAAGGCCUUGUAUACAUGUACAAAUUUUUUGUAGGUUUAUGCUUGAAAGAGGUGAAAGAAAUGGCUUGGAAAUGGUCAUUUUCUUGUUACACUACCUAAGACACGGGCGUGUGUCUCAGCUGUGUGAGUCACAAGGCUUGGCCACACGACUGUAUGAACCCUAUAGUUUGAAAAAAAUUCUAUCUUUUUUUUAUGAAAUUAUAAAUGUUUCUGAUUUUGUCCCGAAUUGUUUCUAAAGUGAUUCGAAGGCCCCGAGGGCUCGAAUAAGGGACGUUAUGCAUGUGUUUGAAUGAAUUAUGCUAUGAUAUAUGAAAUGUUUAAGAAUGAAAGUUUUUAAGUUAUGAUUUCCCGGUAAUGCUCAGUAACCCUAUUCUGACGACGGAUACAGGUUAGGGGUGUUACAAUAAUAGUUGGCUUAGAGUAUCUACCGUGUAAGUAAUUAAAGAUUUUAUCUUAUGUUAUUCUGCUAUUUAAGAAAAGAAUAUGACAAGGGAACAGUAAUACUAGUGAGAGUUAGCGCCAAAAGUAUAGUACCUCCAGUUUGCCUAAGCACUGUGGUUAUUAGGUUUUGUAACAUGAUCUAGUUAAAAUCCAACUGAAUUGGCUGGUCAAAUAAUAUUUGUACAGGAUCCUCAUUUAUAUUUAUCUCAGAUUUUGUAGGCAAUUUAUUAGGAAAAAUUCUGGAUACAAUUGACACUUGUCAAGUUCCACUAAGGGAACUAGAGAGAUAUAUAUGGUGAGAAGGGUUCGCAUGAAGGGUUUUCUUCUUUUAAUACUAUUAUCUAGUUCUUCUACUUAAACUUAUUUGUUUUUUUCUCCUUUAUUAAGUUAGAAGCUAAGGUUCUUGAAUUAAUGAGCGGAUGUUCUAUCUCAUGGUAAGUUUGAUAGCUCUGCAUGCUAAGUUUUUGAAAGAAGGGUAUUAAGAAACAUAUGAAUAGUGAGUUGUGAAUAAGAGACCCCGUAUAGGGGUCGUCUGUGAUUGAGAUAUUAUCCAUUUGUCUAUGAAUGGGUUUUAAUGGUGGUUCCAUGUUCUUUAAGAAAUUGCUGCUGCUGGUUCGAGAGGGAUGUUCAAGUUUCGAACUCCAAGCUAUAGUUUAGGUGAGUAUCAUGUGAGUUUCUAUCUUAGCUCCUGUAUGUGCACUGUUCAAAUAGGGUUAUAUAUAAUGAUAACGUCUCAAAAAACUGGUAAGUGUGUUUUGCAGUAAUGUAAAGAUUUUACUUGGUUUAGGAUGAUAUGUGUGAGGUAUUGUGUGCGUAAUAAGUAAAAUGGUAAGUAUGCCUCUGAUAUCGGAUAUGAGUAAAUAAGAAUCAAUCAGGUAUGUGAAUAAUCUAGGUAACUAACUUCUGUGUAAACAUCUAUUGUGAUGCCUUUGGUUGGGCAAUUAUAGUUCUAACCAGACUGGAAUAUCAUGAUAUGAUGAAACAUGUAAGUUCAUGUGGUAGAGACCCGUGUCAUUAUAUGAUAAGUAAGACAUUCAUGGUGGUGCCUCUAGUGAAAUGAAGAAUGGACUGGAAAAUCACGACAUGAAUAUGUGUAAGUCCAUGAGUCUGAGAAUCAUGACGUAAUAUGAUAAUAAGAAUGUUCAUGGUGAUGCCUUCGGUAAGAUGUAAAUCAGACUGACAGAUCCCAACAUGGAGAUAUGAAUAAGUCUAUGAGAGAGAAACCCAUGAUACCUUUUGUGGAAGUCCGUCGGGCCAGUAAAUAUGUGAUUCAGUGUGUUGCCUGUGUGGCGUGAUCUGCUAAGCCUUGGUGGUGUAUUCUAUGUUGCCAUUGUAGCGAAUUAUAGAAUGCCUAUGUGGCGUAUUCAGGGGUGCUUAUGUGGCAGAAUUUGAUUAUCCACCUUUGUGGUAAGUUCUAAGAUCUCUUUGAUAAAUGAUUCUAUGAUAAUGGUCUGAUACGUCUGAAGUUAGCUUGGUUUGGUUAGGCUUGUGAGGAAAUUGGUUGAGUUUUAAAGAAAGAAUCAGCCAUAGUAGUCUACUAGUAUAGGAUAUGGGCGUAUUCAUAAUUAUGAAGGGUAGAAGUGUUCGUUGGUAAGAAUUCAUCUACACUAUGAAGGGCUGAAAUAUAAAUAAUCAGGUAUCUGCCAUAUCUGAAUGGUAUCAUGUCUCGUUCUGGGGUUAUUUGGAAUCUGAACCAUUUGUCAAUUUUGACAUUCUUGUGUUAUGUAAUAUAGACGUAUGGAAUUCUUCUGAAUGAUCCAGAAUGUUUCAUCAUUAGUAUGAGUUUGUUUUGGGUUUAAUUCAAGAUACGAUCUGAUUGGUGGACUGGCAGCUGCUAAACACAGUAUGGGAAUCUGCCAAGUGUAAGGUUAAUUAGUAAUUAUCCACUAAAGAAUAGUGUCUAUGAAUAACCAUUUUGGGAAAAAUGUGAAGUGUUGUUUGAAGAGGAAAUUCGAUGAAAGUGAGUUCUGUAUAGAUAUUCUUCUUAGAAGUAUCUUGUGUUCUAUGAAUGAUUAAGAUCUAUAGUGACUGGUACAAUUUGGAAUCGGUCUAGGAGUGAAAUGAGAGUGACACAUUAAGUAUAGAAGCUGACAUAUAGGUAUAUAUAUGAUAUUAUGAAUGUAUUAGCCAAAGAUAGAGUGAUAAUCCAAAAUCUUCAAUAUGAAGAAUUCAACUAUAAAGGCUCCAAGGUAUUUUGUAUUUAAACUGACUAGGUUCGCAUGAACUUACAAACAUUUUGUUCGUGUUUCAAGAGUUCACUAGGAGAGACCAAGCCAGGGAUGCACUAGAGAAAUUGGUGAGGGGAUAUUAUGCGCACAAAUGAGAUCUUAGUAGUAUGACAUAUAGUUCUCUAUGCCAAUGAGAGUAUGUCUUUAAUGAACUUCUGUGUUUAAUGUAUUAUAUUGUUUUUAAGGGUCUGUUUGUAUUCUUGAACGUUUUCUUUAUCUCUUUUAUUUAGAAGACCUUUAUUAAAAUAAUAUGAAGUAAGUUGAAAAAGGAUUAUACACAGAUGGUUUAAAAUUUAUGCUAAGUGUUCGUAUGUGUAAACAUCCGUUAUCCAGAUCUGGUGAUUCGGGUUUGGUAAAAGGUGUUACAUAUAAUUUUUUUGAGAAAAUUAGUUAAUAAAAUUAUUAAUUAAUUACAUUAAUACUUUGUAUAUUGUCCUCACCUGGUUUUUGCACGCAAAGAAAAAUAGAAGAAAAUGUUGCUCAUUGGUUGUCUAAUGUUUAAAUAAUACUAAGCGGUAUUACGUGGUCGGAUCAUAGUAUGGAAAGAAAACUAUCAGUAGAAGAACCUAAAAAUGUCCGUAGUGUAAUUGGGGAUGAGCAAACCGAUUGAAAGACUAAUAUGUCGUCUAUCAAGUCUAAUUAGGGAGAUAUCUUAUCAUGGGCAUCGGAGCAGAUUACUUUCAGAAGAUAGAGACAUAUAUGUGACUGACAUGACUGACAGUACAUUAGAUAGGACCCAAGAAUAAUAGAUCCUAAAUCUGUUUAUGGAUUUAUUCACUUGUGAUGUUCAUAGGGUAGCAUACCUAAAUCCUGAGUGGAUGGCAGAUUAUGUAUGCGUGACUCGUACACUUUGAUGUAAUUAAAAGCCCGAGUUCAAAUAGAUACAGAACCGAAAGCUGGUGCGUUGGGUGUACGACUUUUGUAGUAUGUAAUGUCAUUGAAAAUAGUGGAUUUCAUAGCCCAAAACAUGGGUAAAUGAUAUCUUCUCAUUAGCAUUACUUGAUCACUAUUUGAUGGUGAUUGAAUUUUCAUGAAGAAAGAUGUAAUGAUUAUCGUAAGAUAAAAUAGGAUCAUAUUGGGAGAACAAAUAUUAUCCCAAAGAGAUCAAGGAUUUCCUAUGAGGGUAACACACUAAUGACAAGGUCAUUAGACGAUUACUGAGUAGUUGCUUUCGUAAUGGUAUGUCGUCGGAGAGAGUUCAACCAUGAUACUAUAGUGGAUUGACUUUAUGACUAAAUGAGCCUAUAAUUAAUAGGCAAAAAGUCAAAGCUUAAUUAUAAAACAUUUGAGCGUCAACUACAUAUGUCCAAUCAGUCCCUCCGCUAGCUCGUUGAAAUAAAAAAAUAAUUUCAUGUUUGAAUAGAAAUGAAUGAAAUGAAUAGAAGAAGUGAAAUUGGGAACAUUCGAGAAUGAUUAUGGUUUUCUUUAAAAUGGAGAAAUGGAAUCAUUUGAAAAUGAAUGUAGGUUUCCAAAAAUGGAAAUGAAAAUGGAAAUUUGCAAUCCUAUAUGGAUUACUUAAAAAAUGAUGGGAAUAAUGAGUUCAUGUUUUUAGACUAUUUUGAAGCCCGAAAAGGAGAACAAACUAUUCAACAAAAAAAUAUACACUAUUUUGAUCUCCUACUCUAUUUAGACUGAAUAGUUUGUUUUCAUUUUCUAUUUGAAAUGUCAACCGCUCUCCUACUCUAAGUAGGAAGUGAUUUUUCUAUUUGAAAUAAACCACUACAACCCAAGAAGGGUUCUAUAUUCUCUUCCUAUAAAUAGAUGACACUGAUAGAGCUAUUUACAUAAUUGUUAUUCUGCCAAAAAUAGAGAGAAUUUAUUCUCAACUAUUACAUAUAUUUAUCCGGAGUAAUAAUUCUAACAAUUACUAUUAAAUAAUAGAGAAUUUUUGUUUUCACCCCAAAAAGAAAAGAAAGCUUUUUCUAGUUCCGUGUUUUGUUUCAAUUGGUUCAAGCCUAUACUUGAAGUAGUUUGUGGUACGAGAAUAGUGAAGAAUAUCUUUUCAUUGAAAGCCAGAAAAUAUCAAGAAUUUGCUUAUCUGAAAAGACAUGUAUGAUUGUUCAAGGUUUAAUGCUAUAAAUACCACAUAUAUAGUCAGUUUUCAAAAUUUUAAUUUUCUGCUAUGCAAGAAAACUGUUUUCAAAAUAAGUUUUUUUCCAACAGUUUUGUGGAGAAGGUGAAUCAUAAAUCUUCUCUCCACUAUCGUUCUAUCCUAUUUAUAGAUAACCAAUGUACAAAUCCCAAUUAGGAUUAUCUCUAAUCAUUACUUAUUCUCGCAUGCUUCCACUAAUUAAUAACAUCUGACGAGGCUCUAUAAGUGUCCUAAUUAUUGACUCGUUCCCUCCACUAGGAUGUCAGAUGACUUAAACAUGUCUUACAAGCCAUAGGACUUACUUAAGGAAUGAUAUUGAAACACGAGUGAUUAUCUUAUUAGUCGGAAAGUCUACCUAAUAAGGUGUUCGUCCUAACUAUAUCCUCAUUUAUUGCUCAAAUUGACACUCCGCAGCGUUGGCGAAGUUCUUUGUAGUGCUCCACCACAAAGUUACCAACCUUAUCCGAUCUAAGUCUUGCAACUUAGGUGGCCUCCGCUAGUGUAGUCUCCCAAACCAAACCGAUUUGCCAAACCAGGAUUUGACAAAAAAAUUCAAGUACUAAGUUAAUAAAAAUUGACCAAUUCGAAGACUAAAUGUUACCUUAUAAUAAAACAAUAAAGAGGUUUAAUUAGAAAUGUUUAAGGUAAAUUACUCAGUUGGCAACCCAACUUUUAGGGCGCUUUCAUAUUAGUUACCCAAGUGUCAAAUCCGUAAUAAUGACAAACUGUAUACGCCGAAUCAUGUCCACAUCGUGUUUACACUUUCAUUUUGAUCACCCAAGUUCUAGGUCACUUUCAUUUUGGUCAUUGAAUUUUUUUAAAAUUUUUGAUCUAGGUAAAACCAUUAAGGAUUAAAGUGAAAAAGUGGUAGAAACUAAAAUGAUUGAUUAAAAAUUUGUCAAAUUGUACAAUUAAAUAAAUUGUUGAAACUUUUAUCCCUUGAAAAUGUCAACCGAUUUGUUACCAUAACAUUGAAAUUAAUUUAAUUAAUUAAUUUAAUCUCCUAAAUUUUAAAAUUUUGUUUUAUGUUUCCAAAUUAUCCUUAAUGAAAUCAACUCCAAUAAAUCAUAUUUAUUAAUUUUCUAUGAAACUUAAAUCUAUUUUGAUUAUAUAAUAUCGAAUCUUCCAUGUUAAACUAAAAGAUAAGGAAAAAAAUCAUUGCAAUUAAUUAAGUUAAUUGUUUGUUCUUCGUUUGGGUAAAGAAAUGAAAAUAAUUUUGGAUUUGUUUGGCAUGUAAGAAAGUUAGUUAAUAUAAGAGAAAAAAAUUAUUUAUUUUUUUUCUUAACAUUGAAUAUUCAAGAUCAUAUAAAAAAAAUUAAGUUCGGUAGACAAUUAUUAAAAAUAAGUGAUUUUAUUUGAUUUUAAUUUGGAAACAUAAAAUAAAAUUUUAAAAUUUAAAAUGAGGCUAAAUUAGUUAAUUUCAAAAUUAUAGUACCAAAUCGACUGACACUAUCAAGGGAAGACAAAAUUUCAGUAAUUUAUUUAAUUGAUUGUAAUGUUUUAAAAUUUAAAAUUUAAAAUUUCAGUAUUGAAAAAAAAAUUAGAACUUUGGGCAAGGGGGUAAACAAAGAUAAUAUGACAGUUUUUUAACUCAUUAUUUUAGUUGUUAUCGCUUUUUUACUUUAAUGUUUAAUGUUUUUACCCCCAUAAAUAUUUUAAAAAAUAUUUUUUGUGGUGACGAAAAUAAAAGCGGCCUAGAAGUUGAGUGACUAAAAUAAAAGUUUAAACAUGAUGUGGUAUGUACAGUCAACCAUUGUUAGAGAUUUAACGUUUGGAUGACUAAAAUGAAAACGCUUUAAAAGUUGAGUGACUACCACAAUAGUUUAUCCAAAAAUUUAAGAAUAAAGCUAAAAGUUGCAUUGAAAGAUUUAGUUGAAUUGCCCUUUUUCAGGGAAAAGUUAAGUAUGUUAUGGGGUACUUUGAUUUGACACUACUUUAAAGGCCUGAUUGAACUUUGAGACGACGAAACUGUCAUGUAUGGUGAAUCAGCUAGUUAUAAAAUCAAUUUUUUUACUCAAUUAACCCCCACAAUUAAUAUUUACGAAAAUGAUCGAAGUUGAAAACUUAUAACGAAAAUGACUUAAAAUCUAUAGUGUCGAGUGGUGCCGACACUCCGAUGGCCGACACCAAAGUCAAUCAUCGUGUAUUGAUUGCUUGUUAAUUGGGUUGGGGUUUAAAAAACUAAUUUUUUGAUAUAAGUUUUUCAAAAAUACAAGUAUUUGCCAGUUAAAAAGUAUUUUUUAUUAGGUUACGGCAUCUAGGUGGCUGACACGCCGACACCAGGAAAAAUAAUCCAAAAUUUAUGUUUUGGCAUUUUUUAGUUUUGGCAUUGCGAUGGCUGGCACUCGUGUCGAAUGGAUUUUUUUUGGUGCUGCCACCGGUGUGGUUUUUAAUUUUUUUGCCGGCGUUCUCUGGUUUUUAGGAACGGUGACUGUUUGGUUUUUCUUCAUUAAGCUUUGGACAAUGCGACUCCUAAACUUUCAAUUGCAUGAGAAGUGAUAUUUGAAGAAAAUAACACAAUAUCAGUAGAGAAGAGCACUGGAUAUUUGAGAAGAAAAAUAAAAUGAUUUUGAGUCCAGUUUACUGAUGAUAGUACUUAGUAUGUAAAAUAAACAAGAGAACAAGAAGAUGAAAAGAAAAAUGGAGAGUUGUAUAAAAAAAAGAAGAGUGGAAGAGAAGAAAGCAAGACAAAUUUAAAUUUGACAUUUAUGGUUUUAAUAGAAAAAAAAAUUUGUAUAUGGAAUUACAUUCACAAAUUUAAGUAAUGGAAUUACAUUAAAAAAUUUGUUUAUGGUUUUGAUGAUGGACUUUUGUAAACUUGUCAGUCGGAGGCCCGGGUCACAAAAGAGAUGCAUUUUAAAGGAAAGGAGGGAGGUAAAGGCAUGGAUAUAGUGGUUGAUUCAUCACCAGUGAGGGCUCUUUCUUGGAAUGAAAAACUUUUGGGGAGAGGUGCUACUAGAUCUCGAGACUCAUCGGGUGUUCCUGAUAGGGACUUGAGGAGGACUUCGACUUUCUAGAAUGAGGUAUAUUAGAUCUAUAGUUAAUGGGAUUCUGUCGAUUGAAUUUUCCAAUAGGGUACAACAAAUGCUGGAAAAGUAAAUGGCAACUACGAUGGUAGUCAAGCUAUUGGGGAGAAAUAUUGGAUAUAAUACUUUUCAAAACAAGAAUUUCAACUUGUGGAAGCCGCCUAGGCCAUUUCAACUAAUGGACGUUGAACAUGGAUAUUAUUUGGUAAAAUUUCAAAGUAAUGACGACUUUGAAAAAGUGUAAACUCAAGGACCGUGGGUAGUGUUUGGACAGUACCUAACUGUUUAGCCAUAAACACUGGAUUUUAACCCUCUCCAACCAUACCCAAGCAUUGUAAUGACAUGGAUCAGAUUGUCAAGUUUGCCUGGUUUUUUAUACAAAAGGAAAAUAUCUGAGGAGAUCGACAAUUUGGUCGGCGGAGUAGCAAAACUCGACUACAAUAUUGACAGUAAAUCGAGAGGAAGAUUUUCCUGAAUGACGAUUUUCGUGAACCUUGACAAGCCAUUGAUCCCUCAAGUUUUGGUGAAUGGUAAGGCUCAACUCAUGGAAUAUGAGGCUUUGCCGUCGAUUUGCUUUGGAUGUGGUAGGUACGGCCAUACGAAAAAUCUAUGCCCUCACAUUUUUGGUAACUAUAAUUCCACCAUAUAGAAGGGCGAGACGACAGAUCCAUCAAUAGGAGAAAAUACGUCGACCAAGGUGGCGGGGGCAUUUGGGUCGUGGAUGGUGUUGGAGAGAAAAAUACGACAGAAUUUUAGGGAGAAUCAGAAUCAAAAUGCUAGAAAUCAAGAGGAUUUUUUUGGAUCAAGAUUCGAUAUCUUGAACCCUCUGGAAGAUGGAAACGACGCUAUUAAUGGAGAUUUAGCAGAUCUAUAGGGCAUCACUAUUUAGAAAGGUGAUUUUAUUAAGAGUAAUGUUAGGGUUGAGGGAUAUGAUGAUGUUAGAAGUGGGCCAGGUAAGAAAGGUGUAAAUUAGAUUUCUAUAGAUAGCCUGGUAGGUGAUCGUGAGCCAAAUGGAAAUGAAAACCUUUAUGGGUUAGUAAAGAAAGGGCCUAGACUAAAAAAAAUGGUGUUACAUGUGAUUUUAGGUAGAUUGGGGAAACUAGGCCAAUGGUAGAAAAAGCAAAUUUAAUUCGGGCUAGCAAAUUAUAAGGGUGGGCGAAAAUUGGAAAGUGUCAUAUCUUUGCAUAACUUUAAUAAUUCAAAAAAUAAUUAUGGUAUAGUGGAUGCUAAUUCUGGAAAUUCUCACGAUAAUGAUCUUUUAAUGAAGGAGAUGUAUAUUGAUAAUGGGGCGAAAUUAUCAUUUAGUCCCUGUUUGGCUACGACAUCGCACUUUAAUCCUACCUUUGAGGGACUAGUUGAAACCACAGUAUCACUUAGUGGUAGUGUUUUGGAUCUAGGAACGCAUUCUGUUGUUACCUUCAAAGAAAAUUCUAACCUAGUUACUAAUAAGCAAUAAGAUGAAGUUAGACUCAGUGAUUCUAGUAAAAGCAUUCUAGUUCCUAAAGGGCAUAGUCUUGGGACAAAAGAGGGAUAUGUCUGAUGUAACACCAUAAACCCGGCCUAGACGUCCAGCCCAAGUUUAUAGAGUUACCUCAUCGAUUAUAAAACGUCACGCAACAACACAAAUAAGCUAAACCAUGUUUCAUAUCACAUUUAUCAUAAAACAAAUUAAUUAUAUAAUCUUCUAAAUUUCAUACUGUUAUAGUUUACCGAAAUUCCUCAUACUACUUAUAGAAAGAUAACGCUUGACAGAGCAUCCGUUGCGCCGACCCAUUCAAGACUGGGAACCACAUGAAAUCCAAUAAAAAACAAAAUGAGUUGUAAACUCAGUUCGUAAAAGAAGUUUAUUCAGUUAAUGUCCACUUAUAAGGUAGUUCCAAAUUCAGAGAAUUAGUUCGAUACAAAAUUAAUUACAGUUUAGAUUCACGACAGAUCAGUUACCUAUAGAUAUGCAAUUUCAGUUCAUAUACAAUGCAGGUAAGAUUUAGAUGCAGAUAUUCCUAACCCUAUCUGCUACACACCAUCUUCAACCAUCCCAACACACCGUUAAGUGCAUCCAAUACCCAAUCAACCUUACACACCACAAAGUGUUUCUCUGACACAUUUAUAGAAACACAUAUUAGCUGCUGGAUCAUAAUGUGACGAAGUGCCAGAAUCAGAACUAUACACAUGGUGGCUUAACCACUGAUUCAGAGUGGAUUACUUCCUUCAUCAUACAUCCCAACCCAUACAAAUACAGAGUAUAAUUAUCUACAAUACACUUACAAUUAUGAUAUUCAUACGUCCGUUACAGAGUAUCAGAGAGUUCUCGUUCAGUUAAAUUCAAAUCAUUCAUACAAUAAGGAAUCAAUAUCAGCCAUAAACAACAUUUACGACCUCAAAAAGGGUUUCAGGCCCCUUUUACGAUGCCAUACGGCUUGGACACACGCUCAUAUCCUUGCCCGUGUGGCUCAAACGACUUGGACACAUGCCCAUGUCCUUUACCCGUGUGGUUCUAAAACGUAAACAGAGAGUUACACGACUCGGACACACGACCAUGUCCUUGCCUGUGUGACUCACACGGCCUGGGCACACAGCCGUGUGCUUGCCCAUAUGGUUCUAAGUCACAAAUAGUGAGUUACACGGACUAGACACACGCCCGUAUGCCAUGCUUGUGUGGCCUCAAAUCGAUGAAUAGUAAGUUACACGGCCACCCACACAUCCUAGCGAUCCACACGGCCUAGAAACACGCUCAUGUGCUUGGCCGUGUGGCGUCGACAGCCACCAUUUUCGGUGAACAAAACUUGCAAAAGCUAAGGAUUUUGAUACGCGCUUAGUUUCUCUUUGAUGGGAAAUAAGACAGAGAUUACUUGAAAACUAAUUGAUCAUUCAGUAAUCAAUCAAUUGACUAAAUGACCAAUUAACACAACAAUAAUACACAAUCAACUAUGCCGAAUAAAUUGACACGAGGGAACUUCAACGACUAACGCUUAUCGAUGAUUUAACUCGAAUUUUUUGCGAGUACAAUAGAGAAUUUAAGCUUGAUAUCGUGGGAUUGUUAAGGACUAGAGUAAAUGGAAGUAAAGCAGAUUGUAUCAUUGCUAAAUUAGGUUUUCAGUUCUCUUAUCGGAUAGAAGCUAUUGGUUUUUCUGUUGGUAUUUGGGUUGGUUGGAAGGAUUUUAUACAAGUUGAGAUUAUCCAGAAUCAUUCACAAUUUCUUUUGGUUUGGGUCAUUUCCAAUGUUGUGAAAUCUCCUGUUUUUAUCUCCUUCAUUUAUGUGAGUCUUGAUAGAUAGAAGAGAAGGCUUUUUUGAGAGGGUUUAAAAUUGACUGUGUCUGAUGUUUCUAUGCCCUAGAUGGUUUUUGCUAAUUUUAAUGUCAUUAUAUCUUUCUGUGAAAAGAAAUGUGGACAUAUUCAUGAAAGAAUAUUCAUGAAAGAAGGUGUCCUUAUUUUAGGGAUUUUAUGGAGUCACCUGACCUUCAUGAUUUGGGAUAUAAAGGUCCCUCAUUUACUUGGCAUAGAGGUGGGGUUCAUGAGCGCCUUGAUAAAGCCAUAGGUAAUAAUGCUUGGAUUGAAGCCUUUCUGCAUUAUUUGGUGUCCCACCUUCCGAGAAUUAAGCCUGAUCACAGGCCUCUACUCAUGUCUCUAAGAUCAGAUGUUAUCCCAUCUAGAGGUAGACCUUUCAGGUUUUUUACUAGAUAGACUGAACAUCCAGAAUUCUCAGAGUUGGCUAAUAAUAAUUGGAGUUAUAAUGGGGAUAUGACUACUUCUAUUGCUAAAUUAACUUCCGAUAUUAAAAAUUGGAAUAAGUCUGUCUACAGUCAUAUUUGAUAUCGUAAAAGAUAGUUGUUAUAGAAACUUACUGGCAUUCAAAAGGUUAUGUGAAGGUCAGAUUCUAAUUUGUUAAUUUAGCAAGAAAUAGAGGUGCAUGAACACUUGGAGAGUGUCCAGCAUGAGGAACUUCUUUGGAGCUAAAAAACAAGAUGUGAUUGGUUAGUCUUGAAGGAUCAAAACAUUAAUUUUUUCCAUAGACGAAUAAUUCAUAGGAGAAAGCAUAAUAGGAUUACUGCUCUGAGGAAUGAGAACGAAGAGUGGGUUUUCGAUAACGCUCUGUAGGUUGAGGUGAUUAAGUUUUUUCUGAGUUUAUAUGGAGAGGUUCUUGAACCUUUGAGUGGAAUUCCAUCUAGUGCGUUUCCUAAACUUGAGAAUGCGGAGGUUCAUUUUUGAGCAAUGAAGGUACAGAUGAGGAAAUUAGAACUACCCUAUUUGAUAUGGCUUUGCUUAAAGCUCCAAGAAGCGGAGGGUUUCAUGCCUUAUUCUUUCAGACUCAAUGGGACCACAUUAGUACAAUUAUUUGUAAUUGGGUUAGGUUAGUGUUUUUCGAGAAAGCUAUUAAUUCAGAUUUGAAAUAACACUUUAAUUAUUCUUAUUCCCAAGGUUCAUAAUCCUGAAAGCUUUUCUUAGUUUUGGCCAAUCAGUUUAUGUUCAGUCCUCUACAAACUGGUAAUAAAAAUCAUCGCUAAUCGAUUUAAAGUAAUUUUUCCUAAGAUUAUUGCAUAAGAACAAGCAUGAUUCAUUUCUGAAAGAAACAUCAUGAAUAAUAUUAUUAUAGAUUAAGAAGUUAUUCAUUCCAUGAAAAACAAGCAGAAGAACAGAAACUGGAUGGUUAUUAAAGUUGAUUUGGAAAAAGCUUAUGAUUGGUUGAGAUGAGAGUUUAUCGAUACUUCUCUCCAUGCUACAGAUAUCCUUGAUUUUCUUCGUAAUGUUAUUAUGUCUACUAUUACGAACUCUAAUUUGCAGAUCAUGAUAAAUAGAGUCCCAAUUGAGAAGGUUCGACCUAUUAGGGGCAUCCAAUAGGGGCGUUCGCUUCCUCUAUACCUCUUCAUUUUGAGCAUGGAUUGGUUAGGACAUGGUAUUAAGUUUUCCAUUACCAUGGAUCAGUGGAAGCCUACCAAGUUUUCGCGCAUAGGGCCUACCCUUUCUCACAUCUUUUUUGCAGAUGAUCUCAUUUUUUCGAGUGAGUGGAGGUGUAGCAAGCCAAAAUCAUAAAAGGUAUGAUGGAAAGUUUUUGUGGUUAUUCCAGCCACAAGUUAAUUCUCGAAAGACGAACAUCUUCUUUUCUAAGGUGUUAACAAGGAGUUGGGGGAGCAGAUCAGUAGUAUUUUUUGUUAUCAUAAGGUUCAAAACCUCGGUACGUAUUUAGGGUACCCCCUUUUGAUGAUAAAGUUACUAAUAGUACUUUAACGUUUGUUAUGGAUAGGGUUUGGAGUAAGCUGUAUAGUUUGGAUGUGAGACAUUUGUCUCUGGUAGGAAGGUUCAUUUUGGCUCAAUCUGUCUUAUUGUCGAUUCCAAGCUAUUUCAUAUAGUCCAUGAUGGUCCCUAAAGAUAUUUGUGUAGAAAUAGAAAUCAUAGUUAGACAAUUUAUCUAGUGAUCCUCAGUUGGGGGAAGGAAAAUAACAAUGGUUAGAUGAGAAGAUAUUUGCCAACCCCGAUCUUGUAAGGGGCUGGGCAUUAGGCAUCUGCAGGAUCAGAAGACUUCCUUUAUGGCUAAGAUUGGUGAUGAUGAAUGCAAAUUCUCUUUGGGUAAGUUUCCUGAAGUCGAAGUACAAAGUACAAAGUUCAAGAUGAGACUCCAAAGGAUAUAUUGAGGGGAAGAUGCUCGUUUCUUUGGAGGGCCCUUUCAAAGACCUGGCCUCUAAUCUGUGAAAACUUAAUAUGGUCUGUGGGAAAUGGUUGCAGUGUUAAAUGCUGGUUGGAUCCCUGGCUUCCAAAUGUUUGGCCGUUUGUAGAAAAAAUCCAUUCAAAUUCUAAUCUUGAGAGGGAUUGUUUACUUUUGGAUAUGGUUAUAGAAGAUGGCAGAUAGAAUUUGGAUCUCUUUCAUCUCUGGUUAUUGAAGGAUAUAUUUAGAAAGAUUGUGGGGAUCCCCUCCACAUCCUUCUGCACGUCAAUAUAGAAUUAUAUGGGCUAGGUCUACUAUUGGGGCCUUUUCUGUUAAAAAUGCUUAUAGGAAACUUCGUGAGAUGACGUGGAAUCCAAAAAAUGGAUUAUGGCAGAUUCCGUGGAAAUUUCAUGGUCUAUAAAGAGUUAGAUUCUUCAUUUGGAUGAUGAUUAAAGAACGUCUUCUAACUAAUAUCGAGCGUGUAAGGAGGGGGAGAAGGAGCAACAGUUUAUGUGGAUUUUAUGACCAUGACUCUGAGGAUGGCUUACAUGUUAUCAGAGAUUGUAGAGCAACUAAAGAUAUUUGGUUACAUGUGAUUCUUGAAGAUAAGUGCAAAUGGUUUUUCUUUGGGGACUUGAAAGCAUAGCUAGUGGCUAACUUGCAGAAUCAGCCACAAAUUUUGUUUGGGGAGGUGGAAUGGUCAUGCCUUUUUGGGUUAAUCGCUUGGCGUAUUUGGAAAAUUGAAAUUUACAUAUGUUUCAAAGAGUAUCGUGGAGUGUUGAUGAAGUGAUUAAAGAAUCAUAUAGUUGGGCUAAACAAUAUGCUUCUACAUGCAAGGUGUAUGUGUCCAAAAGGAAUACAACAAAUUCCUGUCUGAUAUUGACAGGUAAUUGGAUUAAGUUAAACACGAAUGGUGCCGUCUGGGUGGAUUCUAGUUUUACUACUGCAGGAGGGGUUAUGCAUGACAUGAAAGGGAAUUGGAUCUUAGGAUUCAAUAGGUGUUUGGAAGUAUGUAUGUUCAAUGCUGGAGGCUGAGUUAUGGGGUAUUUUUAAGGGUUGCGAUUUGACAGAGUGUUGAUUAAUAUAGAUAGCUUGGAAGCAGUUUAGGUUAUUCAAGACAACAACUUAAGGAACUCAAGUUCAACUUUGGCGAGGCGUAUACAUCAACUAUUGGGAAGGACAACUCAAUGGCAUAUCCAACAUGUAUCUAGAGAAGAUAAUAAAGAUGCGGAUUUUCUUGCAAAAUGAAUCGUAGUAAUGAAGACGUUUUACUUCUGUUUGAACAACCUCUUUUAGGUGUUUUAGCUUAAGUCCUUGUGAACACUUUGAUUUGUUUUAUAUUCACCAAAAAAAAAUAAUGGUUUUUUUAUGGUUUCAAAGUAAGAAAAAAUUUAAUGUCAUUUUAUGGUUUCAUUAUGAAAAAAAGUUCUGUAUAGAAAAAAAUUUCUUCCCUCUGUCUAUUAUCACCUUUCUUAAAGUGUAUUAAUUAACUUUUAAUCCCCAUGUACAACUUUUUUUCUCUUAAAAAAGUUAAUUAAUAACCUUAAAAAACUUUGUUUAAGAUUUUUAAACUUAAUAAAAAAUUGUAAUACAUUAUUUAGAAAAUUUCAAAUCAUAUCAUUUAAAAAUAAUAAUGCAGUUAUAUUAUAUAUGUUUAAAAGACAUUAUCAAAUUAUAAUCAUAUAUCCCGUUUAUGCUUGUGAAAUAAAAUAUUUGAGCCAUUUUAAAGGAUUUAUGCAGGGUUAAAAUAGUAAAAUUUUGUAUUUUAAGAGUUAUUAAAUCAUAAAAGGAUAUUAAUUAACUUUUUUAAGAGAGAAAAAGUUGCACAUGAUUAAAAGUUAAUUAAUGCACUCUAAGAAAGGUGAUAAUGAAGAGGGGGAAAUUUUCUUUCCAUCUACAACUUUUUUACUAUUGAAACCAUAGAAUUGCAUUAAAUUUUUUCUUGCCUUGAAAUCAUAAAAAAUUAUUAAUGUAAUUUCAUAUACAACUUUUUUUUUUCCGUUGAAACCAUAGAUGUCAAAUUUAAAUUUGUCUUGCCUUCUUCUCUUCCACUUUUUUUUUUUACAGCUCUCCAUUUUUUUUUCAUCUUCUUCUUUUGUUUCCUUUGCCUACUAAGUACUAUUAGGAGUGUUCAGUCGGUUAACUGACCCGAAAUUGUAAUAACCGAAUUAACCGACCUCCCAAAUUUUUUAAUCGUUAACCGAACCGAAUUUUUUUAAAAAUAAUUAAUCGAACCGAAAUUUUUUUCGGUUAAUAAGGUCGGUUAACCAAUUUAACCGAAAAAUAUGUGUUGGUCAUUUUUGGUUAAAAAUUACCCGAAUUACCUGAAUUACCCGAAAAUUAUCCAAAUUACCCGAAUUACCCGAAAAUUACCCAAAUUACCCGAAUUACCCGAAGAUUACCUAAAUUACCCGAAUUACCCGAAUUAAAUCACUACAUAAUUAAAAACAUUACAUAAAUAUUUGAAUCACUACAUAAUUAAAAAUAUUACAUAAGUCUUUGAAUCACUACAUAAUUAAAAACAUUACAUAAGUCUUGAAUUAACACAUAAUUGAAAUGUAAGUUUUUAAUAUUCUCGAUUUAUAUCCAUUUCAUCUCUCCAAAAUAUAUUCAUUUCAUCUCUCCAAAAUAUCUCCAUUUGCAUUAAACCUAAAAAAAAAAAACAUGAGCAAAAAUUUAGCAUAUAAUAGAAAUAUACGCAUUUAAAAAAACUUAAAUAAUAUAAACAAACGAAUAGAUUAUAAAUUAACAAGAAUAAGAUAGUAGUAAGCAUACCCUUCAACUCACGAAAGCUCAUGAAUCUAGGGUAGGCUCUAAUGCAUUCCAAGAAAUGUCUAAACAUUGAAUCAAUUAAAUAAAUAAGGGUGAUAUGGUAAAAAAAUUGAAACUAUUAAAAUAAAACAAUAAACAUACCAUUUUCAAUCUUGUCAAGCUCUUGGAUUUGUUCUUCAAUCUUUUUUAUGUCUUCUCGUGAUGAUGAUCUUCGAAUCCAAUCUUGAGUACACACAAGAGCUUGUACAAUUUUAGGAGUUAAAGAACUCUGAUAUUGAUCAAGCACACGUCCCCCGGUGCUAAAUGCAGACUCUGAAGCAAUCGUAGAAACCGGUAUAGCUAACACAUCUCUGGCAAUUUUUGAAAGAGUGGGAAAUCUAGGGCUGUUCACUUUCCACCACAAUAAAAUAUCAAAAUCUUCAACAAAUUCUUCAUUAGCCUCAGCUAGAUAUUUAUCCAACUCAGAUGUUUUAUCCUCACCACAAAUUUCCAACUCACGCUUUUUAUACAAAGCUUGCAUUCGCCUUUUCAUUUUUUGUUGUGGUUCACCAAUAGAAACAUGUGUUGACACACUCGAUUGGCUACAAGUACUAUGAAGUGGAGGCUUAUACUCAUCAAACAAUUCAUACAAAGAUUCCUUCAACUUUUGCAUCAUUUCACAAGCUUUUUCAAAACUAGACAUUUCACUAAGUGCAAAUUCAAGAUACUUUAGUUUUUGUCUAGGAUCUAAAACACAAGCAACAAACAUAAGCAAAUUCAUCUUAUCAAUACCACCCCAAUACUUAUCAUACUUCUCUUUCAUCUUGAUGGCCAUAACAUUGAAAUCAAUAUUACUAUUUAACUGAGCAUCUCGUAAAAGAAUAUCAAUUUCGGAAAGAUCAUCAAAAAAUUAUUGGACGUGACAUAUGAAGUGCCAGAUAUACGCAAAGUGACUUCAUAAAAGUGUUCCAAGAAAUCCCUCAAGUUUCUAACAUUAUCCCAAUCAUCCACACUAGGCCAACCCUCUCCCUUUUCAAGUUUAGCCCUAAAGUUUGUAUCUUGCUCCUGAAAUCUCUCAAAAGCUCUCUCAAAGUUCUGAGCAGUGUCUAACAUUAAGUAGGUCGAGUUCCACCUAGUACAAACAUCAAGACACAACAUCUUCUUGCACUCUAUCUUUUCCACCACAACACACUCCUUAAACUUUUGUAAUCUAGUUGGAGAUUGUCUCACAUAUCUAACAGCCCCCUAACACGUUCAACAGAUUUAUUCAUUUCCUUUAAGCCUGCAACAAUAAUCAAAUUCACAAUGUGUGCCAUGCAUCUCAUAUGAAGAUAUUUACCAUUUUGAACUAAACCCCCUCGAGGGUUAAAUUUCUUUCUCAAAUAACCAAUAGCAACAUCAUUUGAACUUGCAUUAUCAACAGUAAUAGUAAACAACUUAUCAAUCCCCCAAUUCAACAAGCAUUUCUUAAUCACCAUCCCAAUCGACUCACCCUUAUGACUAGAAAUUGGACAAAAGUUUAAAAUCUUUUUAUUCAAUUUCCAAUCAUUAUCAAUAAAGUGAGCAGUGAUACACAAAUAAUUAACUCUUUGCAAAGAUGUCCAUGUGUCAGUAGUUAAGCAAACUCUAGAACAAGAACUUCUCAAAAUUUGUUUUGGCUUGACCCUUUCAUCUAGAUACAAUUGAUAAACAUCCCUAGUCAUAGUAGUUCGUGAAGGAAUAUGAAACCUAGGACACGCCACAAACAUAAAUUUCUUAAAACCUUCACUUUCAAUAAACUUGAAAGGUAAUUCAUCAAUCAGAAUCAUUUGUGCUAAUCCUUUCCUACAUGCUUCUUGAUCAAAUCUCCAAGUUGAAAGAUUCCCUUCCCCCGCCCCCUUCAACUCCCUUGCUAGGUAAAACUAGUUGUCCUUGACUAGUGUCAACUACAUUACUAGGAUUUUUCUUACAUGAACCAAUAUGAUAUUUCAAUGACCUUGCACCUUUUUUUUCAUAUCACAACAAAAUUCCUUUUCACAAUAAUUACAUUUAGCCUUACUUGCACCCUCACUAUUAAUAAACUUAGUGAAGUGAGACCAAACUUCUGACCUUUGAGGAGGAGCUUUUCUUUUCCUGGACGUAGUCCCCUUCGUUUGGAUUGAAGCUCCAACCCUCGAAUUUUCAGAAUCUAUCGAAGUAGGAGGUGUAACACUACCCUCAAUAGAUGUUGGUUCGGUUGACAUUCUGCAAGAAAAAAAGUAUAUAAUAAAUUAAAAUAAUACGACAAACUUGGGGUCAACUGUCAAGGACAAUAUUAUUUACAAAAUCCAAAAACUUAAUAAAUUGAUGCAAUAUUAUUUAGAUCAUUUACAUUUUUUAAUUUCUCCAAUAAUUAUUCUAAAAUAUAGCAUUUUAAACCAAGUGAAAUCAUUAGAUAAACCACCAAAGAAAUAGUUUAACAGAUAAGAAUAAACCUUAUGGAAGAAGGCAUGACGAUCUUAUGGGUCCUUCAUUCAUCCAAAUUCGACCACAAUUAUUUGAUACGAAAUAAAAUAUGUUCUGAGACUUAUUUAUUUAUGGAAAAAACACUUAUGAAGUCCCAAGUUAAAAAAAACCUAAUAAAUGAAACUAACUAAAUUAUUCCAAAAUCUUGAUUGAUUAAGUGUUUAAAUAGGUGAAGAUAAUGAUUAGACAUCGAAUCUUUAAUGCUAAACAAUUUUAUUCUUAACAAAAAGAUCUGAAAUAAUUAAUUAACCAAAUAAUUAAAAAAAGAGAAAAGAAGGCCACAAAGAUUAUAAUAUGAUGAUAUAAAUAAAGAAAACAGUUGUACUGAUUAUGAUAAUAAUUCUAGUCUGAUUAUAUAUACUUUUUUAUGAAAUAAUCUGAUUAUCAUUAUUAACAAAUAAAUAAAGUCAUGACGGAUUUUAAAAAAAAAAUACAAAGAUAAAGAAAGAUGGCAAGAAAAGCAACGUUUAAGAUAAGAACAAAAGAAAUAAAUGUGUUUCCCCAAUUGAAUAUUAAAUCGUCAUAAAAUAGUAACACAAUUUCUUAGACGUAUAAAUAUAAUAUUCUACAUGUAUAAAAAAUGUAAAUUCUCCGGAUAGGAUUUGCUAUAGCCUUUGGCUUUAAUCUAUGGAAAGGAUUAAGUUUAGUAUGAAAAUUUGUUACUAUUUUUAGUGGUUUCUCCUUAUGUUUAGAUAAUUAGUUGUGGUGUAUUACUUGAAAUAACUUUUGGAGAAUAAUCAUGAAAAGAGGGUAAGCUUCCAAUUCCUUCCAAACAAAAACUUUAUUCCAUUUAAUACACUACAUAGUUACAACCUUGUGCCAAAUGUUAAAUGUAUUUCAUUUGAACUUAAUCAGCAUCAUGUAUCAAACAGACAAACACUCAGUAUUUUUUAAAAAUUAUAAAUUCCAACACUCAAUAUUUAAUAAGUAUCCAUGCAUCAUGCACGUUUAACCAAUCACUAAUUAUUAUAAUUAAGUAAUUAAUUCCUUUUAGAACCUAAUAAUGAUGCAGAAUACACUUAAAAGGGAUCUAUAUUGUAAUUCUCACAUCCCCCAUGAUAGUUUAAGUGCGCUUUCAGCCUAACCCAUUAUUUUUCAUCAAUAAAAAUAACUGAAAAUGUCAGGCUCUUCAACCCUUAGCCUAUCAACCUCCUCCGUCAAACCUGGAUAAAUUUUCCCUAUAAAUAACAGUUUUGCGUGGCCCUAAGGUUUAAACAAAUAAGCUACAUUACAUACAAUCUUUGCAAUGUCUUAUUCAAGAGUUGCCUAUUAGCCCUUACUUUCAUUGUCCAAACAGCUUUUGGAGCUGACCCUCUUUUCCAUUUUUUUCCAUUAGAAAAAAAAAACGAAUACUAUCUAUAUCAGUCAACUACAGAGUACAAACCCAUUCAAGAAAUUGGAAAAAAAAAAGAAAGGGAAAGUAGAAGAAAGCAAACCUAGCUAUUGGUGUGGUGGUCCGACACUCUGACUCGGCGACUCUGGCGGAAGAGAAAUAGUGUGUGAGUGAAAGUUUAAGUGUGUGAUUUAGGGUGGGAUUCGACUGAGAUUGAGAAUAUUAGGGUGGGAUUUAGGGCUAGAGGGGUUGGGUGUUAACUGUUAAGUGUGUGAGUGAAAAGUGAAAACUGAAAGUGAAAGGGAGGGGGUAGAGACGUAGUAGUCGGGCUGCUGCAGUGCUGCUGAGAAAUGGGCAUUGGACAGUAGGUUUAAAUUUGGGCUGGGUUUAAAUUUAAUUGGUGUAGGCCCAACCCUGUUAAUUUUGGUUUACCCGAAUUUUAUUGGUUAACCGGUCCGUUUCGAACCGAUUUAACCGUUAACCGAACAAACCAAAAAAAUUUAACUGACCCUCGACCGAAGUUUUUCGGUUCACCGACCGAUUAACUGAACUCGGUCGGUUAACCAAAAAAUUUCAAUUUUAACCGACUAAUGCACAGCCCUAAGUACUAUAGUCAGUAAAUUGAACUCAAAAUCUUUUUUUUUCUUCUCAAAUAUUCAGCGCUUCUUCUCUACUGAUAUUGUGUUAUUUUUUUUCAAAUCUCUCUUCUCAUGUAAUUGAAGGCUUAAGAGUCACAUUUCCAAAGCUUUAAAAAGAAUCAAACGGUCACCGAUCAUGGCAACCAGAGCAUGCCAUAAAAAAAAAACCACGCCGGCGCUAGUGGAGAGAAGGUCGGCACCAAAAAAAAUAAUUUAAUCUGACACGAGUGUUAGCACCAAAAAAUACUGAAAAGUAAAAUUUCAUUAUUUCCCGAUGCCGACUACCUAGAUGCUGACACCUAAUAAAAAAUAUUUUUUGAACCAGAAAAUACCCAUAUUUUUCAAAAAAGUACACAAAAAUACAUACGCGUGUUAGCCAUUGCAGUGUCAGCACCAAAAAAAUUAUUUUUUAAAACCCUGACCCAAUCAACAAGCAAUCAUUAUACGCUGAUUGACAUUGGUGACGACCAUCGGAGUGCCGACACUGCCCGACACUGUAGAUUUCAGGUAAUUUUCGUUAUAGUUUUUCAACCUGGGUCAAUGUCAUAAAUUUUUUUUUGGUUAGUUGGGUAAAAAAGCUUAUAAAAUCACUACAAAUAUAAUAUUUUAAAUGGUAAAAGUAUGAUAAAGGCUCUUAUUUUAAGAGUAGAUUACAUUUUUCUCUUUUUACUUAAAAAAUAAGUAAAUUAGUCUUUUUUAUAUUAAAGGUACACGUGACAUUCUAUAUGUAAUUGUCUGAUUAUUCUAUCAAUCAAGUCAAUUUUUAUCAAUAGAAAUAGAAACUUUUUAAUAGAAAGAACUAAUUUACUUUUUAAUCCAAUGUACAAGAAUUAAUUUAUUAAUUUAAUUUUGCUCUUAAUACACAGAUUUUUUAUUUUAUUUUAAGCAUGAUCCAAUAAAUUAACUAAACUAAAAUCUGGUGUUUUUUUUCAAAAUUGAUCCAAAAAAUAGAUUAUUUAUGAAAAUGACCCAGGUGAAAAAUCUUUGAUGGAAAUGACUUGGUUCUAUAGUGCAUGUUGGUGCCAGCCAUCUCACCGUCGGCACCACCCUCCAUGAUCUCUUAAUCAUUACCCGAUGAUUGCCCGGUCAAAUAAAAAAUAAUUUUUUUGUGUUGGCACUGUGUUUGUUGACACCAAUAUGUUUUUUUUCAAAUACACUUAAAAAAUACAGUAUUCUAAGAUUAAAAAAAAAGAAAAAAUAAUAAUAUUUUAAUAGGUGUCGGUGUUCACGUUGCCAACAUAGGUUCAAAUUUAAAAAACAAUGUUUUUUAGUGUUGGUACUAACGUUCUCAUUGUCAGCAUCAGUGUGGUUUUGAUUUUUUUUUGUCGGUGUGCUCUAAUUACUAGGACCGGUGACUGCUUUUUAAAAAAAAAAGCCAAAGGCAUUUUAUCAUUGACAAAAGACUACGGCGUUGUCAUAUUUGUUGCCGUUAACUGCAUGUCCUCCACCGCCAAUGUCUUCUUCCUCUAUUUGCUGCUAUCAUCACACGACACUCUCCUCCGCCUGCUUCUUGUUCUUGAAGCGACCAUCAUCGACUUAUUCAACAUUAUGACUUUUUAUUGAUUGGGCAAUCAUCAGAUAAUAAUUAAAGGAUGAUGGAGGAUGGUACCGACGAUGAGAUAACCGACACCAACAUGUACUAUAAAAAAAUAGUUCAUUUUCAUUGUCGAAACCAUUUUUAUUUUGAAAAAUGGGGUCGACUUUUAAAACGAAAAUGGAGUCGCCACCAAUCUUUUUUCGAGGUGUGAUCUGAGAUUAAUUAUUUUAAUAAAACAUUUUGAUUUAUUAAAAUAAUGAUUUUGGUCUACAAAAUUCGAGAAAACGGGCUCGGAAGUUGGUUAUGCACGAGGAAGGAUUAGCACCCUCGUAACGCCCAAAAAUUGGUACCUAAUUGAUUAAUUAAUGUCUCAAAGUCGAAUGUCGAAAAUUUGAAAAGUUUAGAAACGAUUCCCCUUUUUAUUAAUGCCAUAUUUUAAAACAAUGCUUGGAUAGAUUUGAACGAAUGUAAAAUGAUUUCUCAUCCCGAGGCAACAAGAUGUCGUAUCCCCUAAGUUAGGAUGCAACGUUUGAAUUCCCGAGCAUAAGUUAACCUUUUAAAAAUAUUUAUUGAAACCUUGUGCAUUUGAAAACUAAAAUGUUUAGUCAUUUUAGUUCAAUGAGAAAAUCGAAACCCCGUAAGUUAGAGCACGAUUUCUCAUCGUUCCAAAGACGACAUAUUGCAAACUUCAUUUUCCCUUUUUUACGAAAUUGGAUCAAAGCGAAGGUUUAAUGCAAUAUUAACAAUGAUAUAAAUUUGAUUUAUUCGAAAUGAAAAGAAAUGAAAUAAUCAAAUUUUGGCAAAUAAAUCGAAAAUUUUAACUAUGAUGUAAUGUUCUCAUUUAAUAAAUUGUUUAAAACAACUAAUAAAACACAAUAUAUAAAAAUAUUGAAGCAAAUGAAGUAUGAAGAAAAAUUAGAAUAUCCAUUAUAUAGAAAAAAAAAGUAAUAUUUAUAAUUCAAAAUAAAUAGUAUGUAUAUGGAUGAAGUUUAAAACAAUACAUGAAUUAAAACAAAUAAUAUAUAUGAAUGUACAAUUUAAUACCAAUAAUAUCUACAAUUUGAAAUGAAUUGGAUAAUUUACAAUAAAUAAUAUAUAAUAAAUUUGAAAUAAUAAUACAUAUAAAAUUUAAAAAUUUUAUGAUAAUUCUAGAAUAAUCAUACGUGAUAAAUCCAAAAUAAUAGUAUAUAAUAAAUUUAAAAAUAUUAAUGAUAAAUUUGAAAUAGAUAUACAUGAUAAAUUUAAAAUAAUGUUAACAAUGAAUUUAAAAUAAUAAUAUUGAUAAAUUACAAAUAAUAAAACAUGAUAAAUCUAAAAUAAUAAUAUACAGUACACUUAGAUAAUAUUAAUGAUUAAUUUAAUAAUAAUAAGCAUAAACAUUCAAAUAAUAUCAGAUUUAAUUUUUUUAAAAAAAUAGCAUAAUAAUCGAUACUUAAAUAAAUAAAACACAAGCAAAUUAAAUCAAACUAAUGAGGAUUAAAUUGAAUUUAAAGCAAAAUUAAAAGGAAUAAAUGAGAAUAAAACAAAACUGAGGGCCAAAAUAUGGAAAAAAAUAGAUAGUAUAAAAAAAUAAAUUGCAAUUGAUAAUAUAUGGAAAAAAAAUUAAAGCAAAUAAUCAAACAAUUUAAAAUGGACGAUUUAUAACAUGAGUUUUAAAAAAAUAACAUGUGUGACAUAAUAUUAAAAACAAAUAGAGUAUAUAAUUAAUGGAAAAAAAAUAAAAGAAUGAUAAGAAUGGUUAAAUGAAUGAACAAUAUAUAAAUAAGAAAGUUGAUGGAUAAAUAAACAAAUAAAAAUAAAAGAAUAAUUAAUGAUUAAACAAUUAAAUGGAUAAAUAAAAAGGUUAAAAAACGCUUAAGUCAGUUUAACUCUUACAAUAUGAAGAUUCAAAGAAAUUCCUCCAUCAAAAUCCAACUCAAAUGAAAGCAACUUAAAAAGAAACAAAGAUGAACGAAGAACAAGAUAAGAACAAGCCACAGAAAAUAAGAACGCAAGAGAGGGAGAAAUUUGAGUGAAUGCUUUUAAGAAUUAUUAUUGCUCCAAACUUCAGUGUUUUACAAUGAAGGGAGAGGCCUCUAUUUAUAGUUGAGCCUCCCCAAAUCUAACGAUAUAGAUCAAUUACAUCAACGGCUAAGAUUAAAGGGUAUCUACAAAUUAAAUCUCUAAGAUUACAAAAUCUUAUCUUCUAAGAGUGCAUAUCAUAUCUUAGAUUGCAUAUUCUGGACCUUCAACCCACUACACCAAAACAAGUCUUUAGCGGCGUUUUUUUAGGCCUUUAGCGGCAAACAUCGCUAACGUUUGCAGCGUUUACAAAAAAAACCGCCGCUAAAGAUCAUAUUCUUUAGCGGCGUUUUUUUUAAGCGCCGCUAAAGAACCUGCUCUUUAACGGCGCUUUGUAAAAAACGCCGCUAGAGAUCAUAAUUUUUAGCGGCGCUUUUUUUACAAACGCCGCGAAAAGAAAUGUUCUUUAGCGGCGCUUUUAUACAAAAACGCCACUAUUUUUGGGAUUUUUUUAUAUUAAAAUUUUCAUUUUUUUAGCCCUCCUGUAGCAACAAAUCAAAAGCAACCAGAUCUAAACCAGCCAAAAACAAUAAUUUUAUAUAAUAUUUCAAAUUAAAUGAAUAAAAUAAUAUUAAUAUCAAUAAAUAAAAGUAAAUUCAUAUUAUUUUUGCAAAAAUGUUAAAAGUUAAAAUGAUAGAAAUAUUUAUGCAAUACACUAUGACGGCAGAAGUUGCGACUGAAACAUCUUCAUCAUACUCUAAAGCUGCUGCUGGAGUUCGUCGUACUUUUUGCUUUGCUCUGCUUCUCUCGCUGCAGCCUCUGCUUUAAGUUGUAGCUGGAGUUCUUCAUAUUUUCUUUGAACCUCUGCUUCCCUCGCUGUCGCCUCUGCUUUAAGUUGUAGCUGGAGUUCUUCAUAUUUCCUUUGAACCUCAACUAUGGUCGCUUGCAUCUGAGUCAUCUGAUCUUUUAACCUCUGAACUUCAGCUUGAGCCUGACUCCUCGAAGCCAUGUAUUGCUGCGAGCUGGAUCCAAAAUAUUAGGUUGGGCUAACAAAAGAUCCUUGAAAUCGAACCCGACCAUACCUUUCAGGACCUAAAACUUCAGUAAUAAUCCGGUUAUCAAUGUCUUCAGGAUGAACAGAACUAUCACUAGAAGCAAUCGCUUCGUACUCCGCCUUUUUAUCCUUUAGUUUUUCCUAAUAAAUAAAUCACAUAGUUAGGAACGCAAUAUAUAUUAAAAAACAUAUGCAACAUAACAAUAGUCGCAUUACAAGCAAUGAAUUAAACCAUUAGAAAAUAAACACUAUAAAUAACUAAAAGAAGUCAAAUCGUAUUAAGUAAACGUACCAUUAUUUCACCAGCUUCAGGAGUCAUGGGAGAUCCAUCUUUCUUCCUAUGUGUAAUUUCAAAAAGUUGAAGGCAUCAAACUUUUUGACCGGACGACAGUUCCUACAAUAUAGUAGUAAAAAUAUUAUUUAAUGGAAAGUUAUACAUAUUUGACAAUAUUAAAAAAUUAAAAAUACCUCCGCCUCAGCUACACAUGCAAAACUUCUCGACCUGGCUGUGUGAGUGAAUUUUUGUUUCUGCCUACUGCUUUUUCCAACUCGUUCACGAUCCUACGUUAUGAAAUUUUUAGUACGUAAAUAGUAAAUACUAUAAACCAAAAUAAUUACAAUAGUUUGGAAGUACGUCAUACCUUGCCUUUCUUCGAAUGCCAAAAUCUAACCGCAUCUUCCCAUUGGUACCUCAACAUACCCGGCAGGACAUUUUGCAAUUUCUCAUCGAGGGUUAUUUUUGUCUUAUAAUAAUUUUUCUUCAAAGUACUUUUAUGGUCUCUCCAUCUUUUUCCCAAUGCCUUCUUUACAUAAGCAUCCGAGACCUCCAAAGCAAACCUCGCCUACAAAAAACACAAGUUAAUAAAGUAAAUAUAAAUGAAACUAUUUCCCAAGCAUUACAGAUGACAUUAACAUUUUGUUACCUUAAUAUUAUCGAGGGCUUGGUUUUUGUUGCUAUCGGGCAUUUGAUGCCAUGACUUAUAGUUGAUAGGCAACAUAUUCGCAUUUUGUGCUAAAAUGCCCAUGUAUCCUGCUAAAAGUUGAGCUUCUGGUCCAACAGGCUGACCAAAACUAUUUCGUCCAACCUUGACACGCUCGACUGGAUCUAACUCGUAUAACUCUCUAAGCAGCGUACGUCCUCGACCUCUGCACGUCCCACCAUUUUCAGCUACAAAUGGUAUAUUAUAAUAUAAGAAUUUGAAAAAUAAAUCAAUUAUAAGUCAACACGCAUGUAAAUUAAAUGUAAAAUUACUUUGAACUUCUGUAGGAUCCUCAGAUGUAAUCGGAACAUUCGAAGAUCCAAUUGCUGUCUGUUGUUCAAUACUAUUUGUUUCUGUCGAGUUUGGAUUAUUUUGAACCAUGCUUCCCCUUAGAAUUUUUCUUCUAGGCAUUUUAUCUGCAAUACACAUAAAAUAGUUGAAAACUUAAUAACUAAUUACAACAAUAACAACACAUAUAAAAUAAUUGAAAUAUAUAAUAAGACCAAGAUUUAAAUUAUUAUAUUACAUAUAAUUAAACAAUCGUAAAAUCUUACUCCAUCAUUAUUCGUAAAUAUCUUCAUCCGUAUCUUGACGAACCCAUUGAAAUUGUGCACUAGUACUAGGGAUAUUAUCGUUUAAGUUUUGUUUUGGAAAGGGCAAAGUUUCUGAUCUGUCGUCGAUGUUAUCUCUACUUCCACUGCCCAUGUCAAACAAGUCUCUAGGGAUGUUACGAAGUAUAACGUACUAACCCUCAUCAGUUGGAUAUUUUGAGUAAAAAACUUGUUUGACUUGAGAUGAGAAUACAUACGGCUCAUCUAUCACUUGUUGUCCUAUAUAAAUCAAUCGGGCGAAGUUCACCACUGUAAAACCAAAUUGAUCUUGCUUAAUUCCACGAGCAGUAUUAACAUCAGCCCAAUCACCUCGCAAUAAGACAACUUUCCAUUUGCCGUAGUUAUCCAACUCAAUUAUGUCAGUAAGAAGUCCGAAAUAUUCCACAUUUCCCUCAACAAGAUUAUUGUCCCUAGCACUAGCAUAACUUGUAAUUGAGGAAUUAACAACUAUUCCACAAUCUUGCUUUCUCCUCAACCUCUUGCGAUAUUUUGUAUGAAAUCUGAAUCCGUUGAUGAGGAACGCACUAUAUCUUUUAACCACUCGAUCUGGACCUUGGGAGAGCCAUUUAACUUCGUCGUUUACGUUCUUCCCACUCCGAACCUAUUGAAUGGAAAGUAAACCGAGUAAUUAAAAAUUAUUCAAUGUAGACAAUAUUUCAUAGCACACACCUCAAAAAUUUUCACAAACAAAAAGAAAAACAAUUAAAAAAAAGAAAAAGAAAACCCUGAACUACUAGAAUUAAAGAAACCUAUAGCAGGCAGAAAAAUGUAAAGCAACCUUCUUUGUAGCAGGCAUGGCCUCAAGUAUUAUAACCACAAAGAAUAUCUGACAACAAUUGCCUACACCAAACCAACAUGGACUUGUAAAACAAUUCCCACAAGAAGUUGGGUUAAUUUUAUAUGAAAUAGUUUCCCCGCAAAAAUCUAGCUUUUUGGACUUGUAAAACAACAAAUCCAAGUGAAAUGACUUUAGUUUAAAAUUUAAAUUACGGCACUCUCCGCCAUUCAGCCAAUAGUGCUUUUUAAAGAUAUACAAGUAAAGAAAAACAAACUGAAUGAACAAGAUAGGGAAUGACAAGGCCCAUGAGGAAAAUAAUGAAAAAAAUAAAAAUUCAGAUAAUAGUUGAAACAGAACUAACGGUUCUAGGAGAAACUUGGACAAGCCCAGAUACAGAUUUAUACACUUAAGGUAGCCAAAAUUUUCAAUGGCAGCAAAAAUGAAAAAAAAAUGUAUAUAUAUACAGAAAAAGGAACUGAAAUCUUGUAGAAAGAGAAGAGGUGGCUCACUUCUCGGACGUGGAUAAGCAGACGGAGAAACAACGAAAAUGAAGCACAGAUUCAAAAGAGAUGAUUUAAGAGAAAAAGUUUUAUAUUUAUUUAUUCAUUUGCCUUACUAAUAAUAUCAAAUUCCAAGCAGGAAAGAAAGGUUGAAUUCCAAGCAUUGAUUUUAAAUGUCAAAGGAACGAUGACACCUUCGCCGAAGAUCUCCGGUGUGUCAACAUCGUCGACUUCCAUGGCUGAACCUUGGUCGUCUGGGUCCGUCACGAAUUCCAUCGGCUUCUAAGCUUCUAGGGAUUUCUUUCCCCCUUUUUCUUUAGGCUUCUAGGGAUUUCUUUCGUUGUUUUAAUUUUAAUUAUUUCUGUUGAAAUAUCUUUCCCCUCUUUUCCUUACAAUAAAUUAUGGAUUUUGUGGCGUUUUUAGAAAAAACGAAGCUAAAAAAAUUAAAUUUUUGUAGUGAAACGGCACGUUUUGGAAAAAUUUAAUAAAUAUUUGCGGCGUUUUUUGUCCAAACGCCGCUAUUGCUUACCUUUUGCGGCGUUUUUCUCAUAAAUGCCGCUAAUGGUUGAUUUUUUUUAUAAUUUUGUAUUUAAUUAUUAUAUAAUUCAUAAUCCAUAAUUCCUAAUUAUUUAAAUUAUUUAAAAAAAAAGAAAAUCAAGAAUUGUAGAUUUAAUGUUGAUAUUAUAAAUUACUGGUAAAUUCAAAUAAAAAUCUAUCUUAUCUAAACAUUUUAAAUAUAUAUAUAUUUUCAAAUUGUUAAAUUUCAGUCCUAUAUAAAUGAAUCACCAUCCUGUUUCAACAUUCGGCUUUCGAAAUUUCAAUGGAAUUUACAGAAAAUAUUUUGUUAUUUUAUUUAAUAAUUAGGUGUUUUGUGAGAUAAUAAGUAAGAAAUUUAAUUGACAUAUUAUCUUAAUAUGUUAUAAAAAUACUGUUAUUAUCUUAAUUAUAUUACUUACAUUCUAAUGAUUUAUCGGACCUAUUCCAUACACGUGUCAAAUCAGAAAAAUAAUACAACAAUUCUGUAAAAAAAAAUUCGGUGUUUACUUCAAAUAAAUAAGGAAAAUAAUAAUUUGAAUGUUUCAAAAUUCAAUUUUAAACCGAAAAAUCAAAAUUUAGAGGCAAAAAAGGAUCUUUUUCGACGAAAACUGCGGCAAACUGCCUUCGGCAAUUUGUCAGGGCGUAGAUCUCGAAAAGUUAUUCGAGAUAAAAAAAAUGGCCUCAAUUGGACAACCGAGCCAAAAGUUAUGGCCUUUCAAAAUUUUCCAAGCUAAAAAACAUAAACUGUUCAUGAAUUAUUACUUCAAAACUCACCGUUUCGUUUCCAUUGAUUUCAUCGUGCACCAUUUCAAUUGAUUUCACAAAUCCCGCCUCUAAUCCUCCCAAAAUUUGACAUCCCUCCAACUCUACACAACGAUUCAAAAUGCUUUCUUUUUCAGGCAAAAUACCAAAAAAGCCCUAUAUUUUUAAAAUUUAUCGAAAUGGGCCCGGUAUUUUAUUAUUUACCGAAAUGGGCCAUUUUUCCCGAAAUCGCGUCCACGUCAGCGCGAUACCAGGGGACGUGUUGAAACUCUAAACCCCAAAUCCCUAACCUAAUUAUUGAAACCUUAAACCCCAAAUCCCUAAACCCUAACCCCUAAAUCCCAUAACCCAUAAAUCUCUCUAACCUCUAAAGCAUAACACUGAACCCCUAAACCUUAAUUCACAAACCCAAAAUCCAUACCUCGGCCUACUCCUUAAACUCUAAACCAUAUAAUAUAGUGAUAAUUAAUUCAAUAUUUUUAAAUUAAUACUAUCUCUUUUACGAUUAUAUAAGAAAUUAUUUAAUAUAUAAGCUAAAAAAAUCAGUAAUGUAUCCAAAAAGCUUUAAAAUUAUUUUAAAUAAUAGUAUUUUAAUUUUUCCAUUUUUAACAAAUAUUUUAAAUUAUUUUAAAUCCCUGAGCAUUAGCGGCGCUUUUGUAAAAACGCUGCUAAAUCCCCGAAAGCUCAGAAAACGGCAUCGUUGGGUUUAGGUUUUUUUGCGGCGCUUUCCCAAAAACGCCGCUAAAGCCCUGAGCAUUAGCGGCGCUUUCUUAAAAACGCCGCUAAAUCCUCAAAAGCUUAGAAAACGGCGUCGUUGGGUUUAGCUUUCCCAAAAACGCCGCUAAAGCCCUAAGCAUUAGCUGCCCUUUCUUAAAAAUGCCGCUAAAUCCCCGAAAGCUCAGAAAACGACGCCGUUGGGCUUAGUUUUUUUUACGGCUUUUUCCCAAAAACACCGCUAAAGCCCUGAGCAUUAGCGGCGCUUUCUUAAAAACGCCGCUAAAUCCACGAAAGCUCAGAAAACGACGCCGUUGGGCUUAGUUUUUUUUGCGGCGCUUUCCCAGAAACGCCGCUAAUGCCCUGAGCAUUAGCGGCGCUUUCUUAAAAACGCCGCUAAAUCCACGAAAGCUCAGAAAACGGCGUUGUUGGGCUUAGUUUUUUUUUGCGGCGCUUUCCCAAAAAUGCCGCUAAUCCCCGAAAGCUCAGAAAACGGUGUCGUUGGGCUUAGGUUUAUUUGUGGCUUUUGAGCAAAAACGCAAGUAAAGUCCUGGGUAUUAGCGGCGCUUCUCGAAAAACACUGCUAAAUCCUCGAAAGCUCAGAAAACGACGUCGUUGGACUUAGAUUUUUUUGUGGGGCUUUAGCAAAAAUGCCGCUAAAGUCCUGGGUAUUAGCGGCGCCUCCCGAAAAACGCCGCUAAAUCCCCGAAAGCUCAGAAAACGGCGUCGUUAGGCUUUGGUUUUUUGUGGCGCUUCGGCAAAAACGCUGCUAAAUCCGCUAAAGCUCAAAAAAUGGCGUCGUUGGUCUUAGGGUUUUUUGUGGCGCUUUGUCAAAAACGCCGCUAAUGCCCCGAAAGCUCAGAAAACGACGUCGUUGGGAUUAAGUAUUUUGUGGCGCUUUCGCAAAAUCGCCGCUAAUGCUUAUUUCAUCGGCGUUUUCCAUGGAACGCUGCUAAUGGUCGAUCUUUAGCGGCGUUUUUUAUCCAACCGCCGCUAAAAACGCCGCUAAAAGUCUGUUUUGGUGUAGUGACCUUUUCAAGUAAUGAGUCAUUCCGAUCGGACCAAAUGAUAUAAUUUUGGACUGGAGUUAGACUUUAUUUUAUUAUUUUAAGUUUUUUUGUAAACUCGGGCUAAAUUGACCUAUUACAUUCAUAAAUAAAAUUUAUAUUUAAAUCAUUUUUGUAAAUAAUCAAAUUUAAAACCCACAUUUUACAGUGUUGUGCUUCUGGAUUCAUCGUAGGCCUAAGAGUUGGCAAGAUCAUGAGUGACAUAGUGGGUAGUUGUUGUGUAAUGUCAAUCUACAGAAGACACGUAAUUAGAAAGUGACAAAAUUAUUGUCCUUCAGUUGUAGGACAUCCCAUGCAUUUACACUUUGAAAAAUAAUGCAAAGAGCUGACGCGUAAGGACAGCAAUUAAUGGUACGGUAUUCAUCUGUCUCAUAAUUAAUUAAUAUGGCCACAACCACAAGGCUUGUGCCAAAUCACCCCCUACUUCAUUUGACCCCAAUCUGAACUGAAAACCAUGCCUCCAACUUCUUUGCUCCUUAGCUGGGACUGAAUUAUGUUAUUUUACAUUUCCUAUUUGCUUUAAUAUUAUAGAUGUAUAUUUAUUUUAUUUACCCUAUACAAAUUUACAUUAUCCUCUAUCAUUUUAUUAAAUAUAUAUAUAAUAACACCCUUAAACAAUUAAAUUAGGAUUCAACUUUUUAUGGGUUACUUAUUUAAUGAUUUAACCUUUCAAAAUGGUCACAUGAGCGUUACUUUUAUAUACGUAUUUAAAUAAGAGUUUUUCAUACGCUUCAAUUAAGUUCAUAUUAAAAAUUAGUUAAAUGAUAAUAUGUUUAGAAUAAAAUAAAUAACAACUAAAUAAAAUAUUAUUUAAAAAGAAAAGAAAAGAAUAAUAACAUAAUUUGAAACCCAAUAUACGAUAUCUAAGAAGCCAUUAUUUUUGUAGUUUUGAAAUGGUUUGGCUAUUAUUUAAGCACUUUCGAAAAGGUUCGGCCAUUGUUUGAACAUUUUGAAAAGUUUAGCCUUCUUUUGAGCACUUUUGUAAAGAUUAGGCCUUAUAUGACAAUUUUGAAAGAUUUGAUCCUUAUACGAGCUACCCUAAAAGGUUAGACCUCAAAUUGAGCAUUUUUAGCUUUUGAUUUAUUAUUAUUAUUGUUAUAACAUUAAUGUUAUAUAAAAUGUUGAAUAAUACAAUGAGUGUGAUUCACACUAUAAGGGGGUGUGAAGAGCCUCUAGAAUGGGGCAAUUUACACCAUAGAUGAUGCGAUUGGAUUUUAAGUUGUAACACCUUGAAUAAUUUAAGUCUGUUUUUGUGAAAUUUAGGGUCUGUCUGAUUGCCAGUAAAAUGUUUUCCGUAAAAUAAUUUUUGGAAAAUGUUUUACUUUUCUAUAAAAUGAUUUACUGGAAAAUAUUUUUUGGUGUUUGAUUGAAUCCGUGUAAAAUAUUUUCUGCUGUUUGGCAGAUUUCCUGAAAAUAUUUUUCGAAAAAGUUAUUUUUACAUAUAUUAAUAUAUAUUAAUAAAUUUUUAUAUUUUAUUGCAAUGAUUUAUUUAUAAUAAUACUCAAUUAUUAAGCUACAAUAUUAAUCGUUAAAUUAAAAAAAACUAAAUUAAAUAUAUAAUAAUACUCAAUUAUUAAAAUAUAAAAGCAUUGCAAACUACUUCCGAAAUUUACUAAUUAGUAGUGAAUCAAUUGUAGUGAUCUCCUGAUGAAAUUACGCUCAGCAUAAAAGCAAUUUUUUUGUUGUCUUACAAACAACACAGAUAGCAUCAUUAUCAAAUUUCAGCCACUCUCAAGUAUAACCAAUUCCUUAGCCAACCAAUCUACAUUGUAACACAAAGCUAACUCCUAUAAAAAUUAUCCCAAUGCACACAUUUACAGAAAUAAAUAUGUAUAUAUGUAUGCAUUCAACAAAUACAUAACCAUAUGCAUGCAAUCAGCUAUGUUCUUUGAAAGCUACUACUAGAUCAAGCAUUGCCCCAAUACCAUAGGUUGCCAUCCAAUAGAGAGGAAAAAAUACAAGCAAAGAACCCAACUUUUUACUUAGACAUAUGGCGAAACGUGCUCAUGCAACUGGUAAGAAAAAAUCACUCAUGGCCCAAAAAAGAAUUUCAUAAAACUGAUAGUAAAAUCAAAAUGAAUGAUACAUACAAUCAAAAUUUUCAACUGACACCUAUUGAUUUAAUACAACCAGGUAAAGAGGCCGACAACCAUCUGAUAUCUAUGAAGCAAAUGAACUAGCAAUAUACUAGAAAUAUCAGCAAUUGCAAUCAACAAAGGCAACAGGCUCCAUUGAAGUCCCCAAUUUAAAUCUAUUGAUUUAAUACAUGCUCUCAUUGAAGUCCCCAACUCUAGGAAUAUUGUUCUGCCAGAAGCUAGUCAGUUAAGCAAAAUCAAUAAAAAUUCAAGAAACAUAAACCCAAACCUAGAUAAACUACUGCAUUUAUCUUACGGUGCUUGCCAAUUACGUUGCCAUGAUUUCCAAUUAUAACAGAAAUGGAGUUCUGAAAAAGACCGACCCGUACCCGGGGUUCUCUUAACAACUCUUUGUCAGCAGAAAAUUUGAAAGCCUGGAAUGAUUUGAAAUGGAAAAGCACUUAUAACUGCCUUCUACAAUAUACUUGUAUUGAAAUGACAAAAAUUGAGGCACAAGGUGAUAAGAGCUAGAAAGGGGUGCAAGUGAUAAUAGACAUUAACAUGUCCUUACCUUCCAAUAAAUUUAAAAUGGCAUAUCCAUCGCAAGAAUUUUUAUGAUUUGUACCCUCGACAACAUUGGUGAAGAACAACACAACCUAUAAAAUUGUUAUAAGUAUCCUAAAUUGAGAUCUACCUUGAUCAUUAGAGACAAGAUUAGUGCUUUGUUGUAGCACAAUUUAAAAUAAUUGUUUAUGAAAGCAAGACAAUGUGCAAGUACACAAGCAUGAGAGCAACGGAGCUUUCAAUUUUAUCUAUUAAUGGUUUUCACAUGUCUUGAGAGAGAAUAUGAUUGCUAGAUAUUACAAAAGGUUAAACAAAAAAGGUAGGCUAUAUUCUGUACUAGCUCUACAAGUUCAGAGUACAAAAACCACAAGCACUUCUAAUAAAUCAAAUUCUACAGGUCUCUAAUGGUCAGAACCAUUACUCAUUUAUCUUCAGAAAACAGGAGUGGCGAGUUGCAAAAAUCUAUACCUCAUCAACUUCCAUUGAGAGAUCAUUCACACUUUGCCUAAGUAAUCCUUUCAAUCUUCCUUUCUUGAAAUCUGAAAGCUCAGCACCAAUGUUGUUUUCAAAAAGUGAAUCAACAUCUUUAGGACUACAAUCCAUAGACUCUUUAUCAUUGACCACCAUAUACUUCCCUUGAGACAACUCAGAUGCAUUGGAAUUGGACAGAGUAUUUUUAUCUUCUGACAACAGGUCAGCUAUUUGACAAGCAUAGAAGCUAAAGAAAUCAGGUCCAGCUUUACAUUGCUUACUCGAACCAUCUGAAUUUCUCGGCAUCUCUGACAUGAUAGAAGUACUACUACUCUGCAUACGACAACUACAUAGAUAUGAAUCAGUCCAGACUCCAGAUAAAUAACUGAAGCAAAAGAGGAAGAAGCACCAUUAUAUAUACUAUACAAAUUUCUCUCUAAAGCUAUAUUUAGAAACAUGAAUUUGAACAUUUGGAUUUAAUUUCAUUUGUUAUAAAAAUCUACGGAUAAAUAAAUAUUGAUGAGCUAAGAUGAUGGAUCUCUAUAUCAAUGAAUCGUUAUAAUGCAGUAAUGUUGGAUAAAUAAAUAGGCACUUGAAGAUCAAACUCAUGUUUUGAAGAGAGGGCUUUAGCUGAUUCAGGUGGAACAAUAGUUUCAAGUGUUGUUCCGCAAUUCAGCCUUAGAAGCAAUCGGCUGACUUCCUGUUAAUAAACCAUAACAAAAUUCCAAAAGAUUGUUACUUUCACCAGCAAUAAGAUCAGUAGAUUUUGACUUUUAAUAGGCAAAACAUGUUACUUGUUAAUGAGAUAAACUGUUUACAAAUUCUAGGAUCGUCUGCAAUGAUUAUUUCAGUGGCAAAAACUGACUAAAAUGACAAUAACCAAUCAAUUCAUAAUAGACAAUAUGAAAUGGGUUUCCUUUUUCAUGAUCAAAUUUGCUUUUACAAUAUAUAUAUAUAUAUAUAUAUAUAAGCAAGAAAAAUAACAGGAAAGACAAAUAAAUUACAACCCGGAAAGUGGGAAAAAAGAAAAAGAAAAGACCUGGUAGAGUUGAGGCUUGAGAUUUGCGCUCAAGAGGUGGUGAAGCGAAUUAUACCCACAAAUUGAUCCAUAUUUGAAACUUUCUUUUUCUUCUGUGCUUCCAUUUUCUUUCCCAAUUCCAUCAGUUUUUUCAUUUUCUGAUUCCCUCAAUUAUUGCUCCGAAAUCAAAACAUAGAAAAAAGGUUGAUGAACGCCGGUGUCUAGUGUUAAGAAUCGAUGUUGGUUGAUGGCAAGCAGAAGAUCAGGUGUCAAGGAUAGGAGAAAGGGAAGGGCAAGGGAAAGGGAAAGGGAAAGGGAAGAUCGAUGUCUAAAAUUUUCUUGAAAAUGUCUUAUCGAAUUAGAAACGGUAAGAUAUUUUCCAAAAUUAAAGGCUUCUUUUUCCCGUAUUUGUAAUUGAUUUUACGUGAAGAAAAUAUUUUCAGCCAAACAAACACUGGAAAAGGCUGAAAACCUUUUCCGGAAAAUGUUUUACUACAAUCAAACAGAGCCUUAACAUAAAAUGUGUAUUUGCUUCAGUGGUUAAGUGUUCUGGGUGUGUGUAUGAGGUUUUGGGUUCAAGUCUUUAUUUUGGAAUUUUUUUUUAUUUUUUUAUCCAAGCCUUAUCUCUAUUAGGUGGGCUUAUGUUUUAUCUUUAGUAAACCCAAAUCAGAAUGAGCCUGUUGGUUCGAGCAAUAACGAGUUAGCUUGCUGAAGGUCCUGUGUUCGAUUCCCUGUGUGAGCGUGGAUGAUAUUUUUGUUUUAGUUGUGAGAUAGAGGUUAGGUGAAAGUAAAAUUCUAAGGUGGUGGAGAGUUAGUCGGUUAGUUAGUGGAAUAAUGGAAAGUUGAGAUAUUAGGGGUUUCAAAUUUUAUUUUAAUUUUUUUUCUUCUCAAAGUUUUUGACGUCAGUUUUAUUUUAUUUUUCCCUCUUUUAACAUUUUUACCUUCUCGGUAAAAUCCUUUUCAUUUCUCUUUGAUUCUAUUCGUGAAUCCCUCGUUCAAAUCAUUGCUACUGUGAUUUUUGGGUUCUUUAAUCGGUUGGUAAGUAGAACUUCGUAUCUCUUUAACAAUUGGUUUGAGAUAUUGGCAAUGUUAAGUUGUAGCGAUUAAUUAGUAGAUUCUGUGUUUAGGAGAAGAUUGUGAAGCAGAAAAUUCACUCCGACAGCCUAAUCCGUGUUAGUGGUGGUUUUCAUUAACGAUAAGUUUGUGAUCGUUGUUGAAUUUUUGUCACGAAUUUGUAAAUUGGUUGCUAAUCGGGGUUAGAGAUACUAUUUACAGGUUUUUAUGGUCUCGGGAUUGAUUAUACUACAAAAAUAAACCAGGUGUGUAACCCUAACGUGAGAAAAUGAGAUUCGACGAAAGUUAAAAUUUAGGUUUGUCGACGCCACACUAGCGUGUGCCCGGUCGUGUGCAAGACAUGGUCGUGUGACUUAUAAGGGUAUGGCCCUGCGUAAGACACGACCGUGUAACAGUGUUAGUGUGGCUGUGUGGACUUCACGGGCUGGGCGAGAUUGGCCGAAUGGGCCCAUACGGGCAAGCCACAUCGACGUGUGGGCCCAUAAUUCUAAAAUUUUCCCUAGGAUCUCACUGGUCGUUUUGAUUGAAUGUGAACCUAUUAUAGGGUCGGUAAGGGCUAAUCAAACUCUAAUUCAUGUGAUCUGAUAUUCUGAUAGUCUGAUUUGAGUAGGACAUUGAUAUGUAUGUAUGACUGUUCUGUUUGAGUAUAUAUAUAUGUGUUAUCUAUAUACGAACAUGUGUUAAUUAUGUUAAUUUUGUAUUAUGUAUUGUGUUUAGGGUGGGAUUUGUAUAUAUGGAGGAAGUGAUCUGUACGGUGACCUUUCGCCUAUAUUCUGGUAGCUUGGCUGCGUAUUAUCUAUUAUGUGUCGCAUCAAAACUCUAUGGUGUCUAGGGAUGGGUGGGUGUUUUUAACCCCCACAUGGUGUGAUGGGAUGGACGGAGAUGGUGUGUAGAGGAUGGGGGUAGGAUUUUGUAUAUUCGUUCUAUUUAUCUGAUAUGAUUUCUGUAACUGUUGUGGACUUAGGUUCGAAUCUGUUUCUGACUGUAUAUGAAACUUUGUGUAUGCUGCAUGUCUGUCUCUGUUGGGUUACACACUGAGUUUAUAUAAACUCACAUUUGUUUGACUUUUUUGUUCAGGUAACCUAUAGACAUAGGCGGGUCAGUGCGACGGAGGCUCAGCGGUGACCACUCGAUAGAAAACUGUUUCCAUUUAUUAUUUCAUGGUUUUUAUUUAAAUUUCUAAUUUUCGUGAGAGUUUUGUAAUUUUUGGACUCUCCAAACUUUUUGAACUGUUUGGUUUCAAUUUUUGGUUUGGUUGGGUUAUGAUUUCUAAACUACGACAAUUCGACAAAAUAUUGAUUUUACGUGAUCAAAUGUCAUCGAGCCUGGUUUCUAUUUAAACGACUUUUCAAACUUCCGCUGCUAAAUGAUUUGGUUAACCUUAAGGGAUAACAUGUAACUGUUUCAUUAAUAAAUAUAUAAGUGAAUACGUUUUACAAAACUUGGACGUUUUAUUGAAAUAUUAUUGGUUUUAAAACCUUUCUUCGUAACACUCCUGAAUUCGGCCAUAACGUCUAGGUCGAGUUUGGGAUAUUACAUUUAGUGGUAUCAGAGCCAGGUUGUAAAACUCGGGUUAUGAAUUUUGGAUUCCAAAAUUUUGUCUUGAAAAAAGACUAGUUUUUAAAUAAUUUAGAUCAUUCCUGAGUAAGUAUGUGAUACACCAAGUCUUCGGUGUCGAUUUUAUAAGUAUCUCUAAAUUUUGAAAAUACAAUAGAUAGUACUUUAUGAAAUUGUAAUAAGUUAGUUAAAGACUAAAACCUCUGAAAUACUUCUGAACUUUUGAUAUUUUAAGCAUAAAAUAUUUGUUAAUAAAAAUUGAAACUGAGGCAUAAAAUUUUAUAAUGUAAAUAAAAUUAAAAAUACGAUGAGUACUCAUGAAACUCAUGGUCAUAGUAAUCGUGGACGUGGCGGGCGCCGUAGUAGGGCUUGAGUUGAGUUUUCCUCUCUAGGCAGUAUGCCAAAUUUAGAUACGAGUGAGGCACCGGUUUUACUUACUACAAAGACUGGGUUUGAAAGCCGUUCGUCUGGGGACGAUGCACUGUCCUAAUCUAUGUUGAGAGUGUUGGAGAGGGUUGCUAGACCCUAUUCGGGAUCUGGAGGUCGUAGGUCGAUAACAAAAUGACUUCGAUCCAAUAGAGUUGAGUUGUUUAGAGGUGUCACUAGAGUCACCUUUACUGUGGACGAGUAUUGGUUAGAGGCCAAUAAGAGGAUUAUGAAUGACAUCUACUGCACUCCUGAGUAGAAAUUAAAAGGUGCAAUCUCUUUGUUUCACGACGAAGCUUAUCAGUAGUGGUUGUCAGUUGAGGAGGGUAUUCAACCGGAUCAUCUGAACUGAGACUACUUUAAGACCGCUUUCUAGGGAAAAUAUGUGGGUGCAAGCUCUGUGGAUGCUUGUAGGCGUGAGUUCACGAAUCUCACGCAAGGUGAUAAGUCUGUGGUCGAGUAUGAGGUCAAAUUUCUGAGACUGAGUCGCUACGCUCAAGGCAUUGUGGCAUCUGAGUAUGAGAAAUAUGUUUGUUUUAAGGACGGCUUGAGGGAUAGUCUGAGGGUAUUAAUUGCUUCACAGAGAGCGAGAGUUUGCUGUUCUUGUGGAUAAGGCGAAGAUCGCCGAGGAGGUUAAGGACGUAGAGUGCUAGAACAGAUAUCGUGAGAGAGGCAAGAAUAAGAAGGAUUCAGAGCCCUCUAGUUCUAUUCAGAGGCCUAAGAAAUUGCCCAGACCUGAUGGGCCUGUUAGGGUGGGAGUUAUUAUUGCUCUUACUAGGAUUCAGCCUUGUGGUGACUGUGGUAGGCUUCAUCUGGGUAAGUGUUGGAGGAGAUCGGGGCUUAUUUGCGGUAUGGGUCUUUAGAGUACCAGAUUAAAGAAUAUCCACAUCGUACCAAUUAGAUGCAAGCUACGGGACCAGGUUUUGUUCAGCCUCAGAGGACAGUACAACAGCCACCUAAGGGUCGUGGAUUGGCUAGGAGUGGUAAUGGUAUGAGUCAUGGACAGAGAGUACCAGACAAAGGUGUUAAUCAGACUGAGGCGAGACAACCUGCACUGGUUUAUACUGCUCGACGCCGAGAGGAUAGAGACGCUCCUGAUGUGAUCACGGAUACGUUUUUAAUUUUUGAUAUUUCAUAUAUUACUUUGAUAGACUUAGGUUCUACACACUCCUAUGUAGCUAGUGUUGCUUCUGAAAACUUGAGAAUUUCUAUUGAGUGUACUUGUGGUGAGAUUAUUGUACUGAGUCUGUUGGGACAGUCUGUUUGGGUAAAUAGACUUUAUAGGAAUGUUUCGUUGGAAGUAUAAUGGGUUAUCUUUUCGGUAAAUCUGAUGGAGCUAUCGUUUGGGGAGUUUGACUUAAUUCUAGGUAUGGACUGAUUAGUUGAACACCGAGUUAGUUUGGAUUGCGUAACUAAGAGGGUCAUUUUGAGGACCAAAGAUGAUAAGGAGGUGGUUGUGAUUGGUGAGUGUCGAGAUUACUAGUCUAAUAUAAUCUCCGCUCCAGUAGCUGAGAAAUUAGUUUGAAAAUUGUGAGGCGUAUUUAGCCUACGUCAAUAUUUCAGUUUAUGGGGACUCUGCUGUCGGGGAUAUCAGAACAGUGAGGGAAUUUUUGGAUGUUUUUCUUGAGGAAUUGCUGGGUUUACCUCUGAAUCAAAAAGUUGAGUUUGACAUUAAGCUUCUACCGGGUACAAAAUUGGUAUUUAUAGUUCUUUACUGUAUGGCACUGAAGGAGCUUACAGAGCUUAAGGUUUAACUUUAAGAGCUUCUGGUUUCAUCCAUUCUAACGUGUCUCCGUGGAGGGCACCAGUUCUAUUUGUGAAGAAAAAUGAUGGUACCAUAAGGAUGUGCAUCGAUUACUAGCAGUUGAAUAAACUGACUGUGAAGAAUAAGUACCUACUUUCGAGGAUCGAUGAUCUGUUUGAUCAAUUUUGAGGGGCUUCAGUAUUCUCAAAAAUAGAUAUCUGUUUUGGGUAUCAUCAACUUAGAGUUAAGGAAGCCGAUAUUUAUAAGACGGCUUUUAGGACUCGUUAUGGGCACUACGAGUUCCUAGUUAUGCCCUUUGGUUUGACAAAGGCUCCAACUGGAUUCGUAGAUCUGGUGAACCAAGUUUUUGGUGUACUCUAAGAUUGAGGAUAAGCAUGACGAUCAUCUUAGGGUAGUGCUUCAGAUACUUCGAGAGAAACAACUUUACGCUAAGUUGAGAAAAUAUGAAUUCUAGUUAUGAGAAAUAACAUUUUUGGGGCACGUGGUUUCUACUGAGGAGAUCCGAGUUGAUUCUAGAAAGAUUGAGGUUAUGCUUGACUGGAAACAACCUAAGAACGUAUCUGAGAUCCGUAGUUUUCUAGGACUUACAUGUUAUUAUUGGAGGUUUAUUGAGGGGUUCUCGUUGAUUGCAGCUCCUUUAACUAAGCUUCUGUGCAAGAGUGUUCCUUUCUUCUAGACUGAUGCGCAAUAAUCGAGCUUUGAGAAGCUCAAGUCUAUUUUGACUCAAGCUCUUAUUUUGAUAUAGCCUGAAUCUGGUAGGGAGUUUGUGGUGUACAGUGAUGCGUCGCACGUUGAUUUGGGAUGUGUACUGAUACAAGAUAGUAAGGUUAUGGCUUAUGCGUCUCAAUAGCUCAAGUCACGCGAGGGAAAUUAUCUGAUGCAUGAUCUCUAGUUGGCUACGGUAGUGUUUGUACUAAAGAUUUGUAGGCCCUAUCUGUAUAGUGAGAGGUGUAUUAUCUACACCGAUCACCAGAGCCUCAAGUACCUCCUUACUCAGAAGGAAAUCUUAGGCAACAUCGAUGGAUUGAGCUGCUAAAAGAUUAUAACUGCACAAUGGAGUAUCAUCCCAGUAAGACUAAUGUGGUGGCUGAUGCUCUCAGUUGUAAAGCGAUGACUGAUUUGAUAGUAGUGUUCGCUCUUCUUAGUCUGUUGGAUGAUGGAGGUCUGUUAGCCGAGUUGCAAGUUAAGCUGACUUGGAUUGGGCAGAUUUGGGAAAGGGGAUGAGUCACUGGUUCUGCGGUUUGUCAGGUUGGGAGUGGCUAUACUUUUGAUUUUAGACUGAAUAAGGAUGGAGUUCUGUGUUUUUGAGGACGGGUUUGUGUAUCAAAUGAUUUUGAUCUGUUCUGAGGGAAGCGUAUAGUAGUCCUUAUGCUAUACAUCCUAGUGGUAAUGGAUUUUCGUGAGCUGUACUAGUGGCCGAGGUUGAAACGAGAGGUAAUAGAUUUUUUUAUUCAUUGUCUGAUAUGCCAGCAAAUUAAAGUUGAGCAUUAGUUUCCUUCAAGUUUUCUCCAACCCGUUAGGAUUCUUUUAUAGAAAUGAAAACGAGUGAUGAUGGACUUCGUUAGUGGGUUGUCCUUGACACUCAUUAAGAAUAAUUUUGUUUGGGUCAUCAUGCAUCGAUUGACCAAAUCUGCCCAUUUGAUUCUGGUCCAGACGAACUUCUUUCUACAAAAGUUAGAGAAGCUCUAUAUCUCCGAGAUUGUAAGACUGCAUGGGGUUUCAGUUUCGAUAAUUUUUGAUAGGGAUCCUUGCUUCACUUCUCGUUUCUGGAUGAAACUUUAGGAAGCCCUAGGUUCGAGAUUGGACUUCAGUACUGCGUUUCAUCCUCAGACCAAUGGUCCAUCAGAGAGGGUGAUUCAGAUACUGGAGGAUAUGCUUCGGAGUUGUGUGAUUGAUUUUUGAGGUAAUUGAGAGGAUUUUCUGUUGUUAGCUGAAUUCACCUGUAAUAAUAGUUUCUAUUCUAGCAUUCAUAUGGCACCUUACGAGGCUUCGUAUGAUCAUAAGUGUCGUACUUCACUAUGUUAGACUAGUUAGGUGAGUGAUAGAUUUUGGGUCUUAAGUUGGUUUUCUAGACUGAAAAUAAGGUUAGAUUGAUUCGGGAUUGUCUGAAGGCGACUUUUGAUAGACAGAAGUCCUAUGCAGAUCUAAAAAGGAGGGAUAUUGAGUACUCUGUGGGUGAUUCUGUAUUCUUUAGGGUAUCACCGUGGAAGAAGGUUCUACGAUUCGAUCGUAAUGGCAAGUUAAGCCUUAUUCAUUGGGUCGUACCAGAUUCUGAAGCAUGUGGGACUGGUUACUUAUCAGUUAGAGUUACUUCUAGAGUUGGACUAUAUCCAUGAUGUGUUACACGUCUCGAUGUUGAGGCGGUACUAGUCUGAUCCAUCUCACGUUGUCUUUGUUGAGGAGAUCGAUGUUAGACCAGAUUUAACUUUUGAGGAGGAACCGGUUCAGAUUUUGGAUCGAGAUAUUAAGGUUUUGAGGAGGAAGUCCAUAUCGUUAGUGAAGGUUCUGUAGUGGAAUCAUGGCAUUGAGGAAGCCACGUGAGAACUUGAGGACUUGAUGCGUCAGCAGUAUCCUCAUCUGUUCGGAUCAGGUAAAUUUCGAGCCAAAAUUUCUUUUAGAGGGUAGAGUUGUAACGCCCUGAAUAAUUUAAGUAUGUUUUUAUUAAAUUUGACAUAAAAUGUGUAUCUGCUUCAGUGGUUAAGUGUUCUGGGUGUGUGUAUGAGGUCUUGGGUUCAAGUCUCCCUUUUAGCAAACUUUGUUAUUUUGAUCCAAGCCUUAUCUCUGUUAAGUGGGCUUAUGUUUUAUCUUUAGUAAACUUAUAUUAGAAUAAGCUUACGGGUUCGAGUUAUAAGGAGUUAGCUUGCUAGAAGUCCUGUGUUCGAUUCCCUGUGUGAGCGUGGAUGAUAUUUUUGUUUCGGAUGUGAGAUAGAGGUUGGGUGGAAGUAAAAUUCUGAGGUGGUGGGGAGUUAGUGGGUUAGUUAGUGAGAUAAUGGGAAGUUGAGAUAUUAGGGGUUUCAAAUUUUAUUUUAAUUUUAAUUUUAAUUCUUUGUCUUCUCAAAGUUUCUGACGUCAAUUUUUUUCUCUUUUUUCCCUCUUUCGACAUUGUUCCCUUCUCGGUAAAAUUCCUUUUCUUUUUUCUUUGAUUCUAUUUGUGAAUCCCUUGUUCAAAUCGUUGCUACUAUGAUUUUCGAGUUCUUUAAUCGGUUGGUAAGUAGAACUUCGCAUCUUUUUAACAAUUGGUUUGGGAUAUUGGCGAUGUUAAGCUAUAGCGAUUAAUUAGUGGAAUCUGUAUUUAGGAGAAGAUUGUAAAGUAGAAAAUUCACUCCGACGGCCUAAUCCGUGUUAGUGGUGGUUUUCAUCGACGGUAAGUUUGUGAGCGUUGUUGAAUUUUUGUUAUGAAUUUGUAAAUUUGUUGCUAAGCAGGGCUAGGGUUACUAUUUACAGGUUUCGGUGAUCUCGGGAUUGGUUAUACUACAAAAACGAAUCAGGUGUGUACCCUUAACGUGAGAAAAUGAGAUUCGAUGAAAGCUGAAAUUAGAGUCUGUUUAUGCCACACGGGUGUGUGCCUGACUGUGUGGCACGACACGACCGUGUGACUGACGAGGGUGUGGCCAUGCGCAAGACACGGCUGUGUGAUAGUGUGAUAGGAGUUUGGUUGAGUGUGGGUCUUAGCUUAUUUGGUACCUUAGUUUUUUUUGUUCAAUUUAAUUCCUGAACUUAAUAUUUUUUUCUUAAUUUAGUACUUAAGCUUCUUUUUUUUCCAAUUUGGUAUCUAACUUGUUAAAGGUUUUACAAAUUUCUCCAAUAUAAUAACAAUUUUAUUUUUAUAAGGUGCGAAAAUAAUCAAUGUAUGAUUAACGUAUGACAGAUGACAUGAGAUUGAUUUUUUGUAUUUUAAUGGUUAAAUUACUUUUAAUUAAUUAUUUUAUUUUACCUUUUUAAUUUAAUAAUGAAUUUCUUUUUAUUUUUGGGUUUUAAAACUUUUUUUUCAAUAUUCAUUCAUUAAGCGUAGCUCAAAGUACAAUCUUUUAACAUAAUUUUCCUCUAAUACUGACAAUAUUUUUGUGGGAUUUGAUGGCUUUAUGAAAACUAGGUCAUGCUUUAAGCAUGUGGUUCCUCUUGUAACAUUCUUGCCAUUAACUGUCAAAGUAAUCUUAGCCUUGAUGAAAUGUAAAUUUUGAACAUGUUGUUUAGAAAAAUAGAGAAAACUUUAAAUAAAUGUAAUCAUCCCUGUCAUUAAAUUCCAUAUCAUUGGUCACAUGACAACCAUACGUUAGCUACCUCAUAAAAAAAAUGAAGAUCAUUAGUGUUUUGAGGUAAUUUGUAUAAUAUUUAAAAGGUUUAAGUGUCAAAUUAAAUAAAAAAUGAUUAAGUAUCAAAUUAUAAGAAAAAUGUCAAAAUUAAGUACCAAAUGUUAAAUAAUUAUAACAAUAUAUUAUUAGUCGGCUUACAGUUUGAUUUCCUCUUUCCCAGUUGAUUGGAACAGUUUGUGGACAAAGGGUUUGAUAUUAGAGGCAGGAUUUAGGGUUUAACAUUUAAAAAUUUAUGGUUAAAAGUUUAUAAGGUUUAAAAUUUAGGAUUUGUGUUUUGUAAAAAUAAAAAUAGAAGUAUAUAUUUAUUUUACAAAGUCACAAAUUUGUAAAAAAAAAAAUUAAAUUAAAUUAGUUUCUAGAAUUACAUUAAGAAUAAACUUUCAACAUUCACUCAUUUUCUUCUAAGAUUUUAAGAUAAUGGAUUUAUCAUGCGAAGACUUGAACCCCACAAUAUACGAUAUAUGAAGAUAAUGGAUUUAUUUAACCCCACCAUGCAACAUAUAAGGAUAUAUGGUUAGGUAAACUCAUAUUUUCUUUUAUAAAGUUUUACAAUUAAUAAAGAUUAUUUUUUAGUAAAAUAUAAAUUCAAACUCACACACAAAUAAAUUUAUGAUUUCGACCCUAAUUUCAAAUAUAAAUGAACUUUUAAAUUAUGGGUAUCGUAUUAUGAAACGAUAAACUUGCCACAUUGAAAUUUUUUAUAUGGAGUGAAUCUCAUAAUUUUUGUUUUCUUAAUUUUGUUUUAAAGCAAUGAAAUAUAGAUCACGUGAAUGUUGAUAUAAAAUGGGAAAUGGAGACGAGUGAUAUUAAUUUGUAGAUAAAGUUAAUAUUACGUAGUCGCAUAAAGCGGCAUAGUACACAACCCACAACUCUGGAAUUUUAACAUCCAUAUUUAUUCUGUAGCUAUCGUUAUUUUGGCUUCCACUAGCUGGUGAACUUUCCAUGCCAAAACUUCACUUGACGCUGCAAAUGAAACAACAAAAAACACAACAUUAAAUGUUGAGCAAGUAAUAAGCAUAAGCAAUGAAACAACUCAUACGAACCUGUUGCAGUCAGUGCUAGGGCUGAUCUUGUAAGGGAUGUUGACACCGCACUUGCCUGGGAGUCCGCUUGCAAUACCAUAGUUGAUGCCAGAAAUGCCGGCGGCCGCACUUUUGAUGCAUUUGCAAGCUGCUUGCCGGUCUGGUGUUGUUUGGGCGGCGGAGUUGAGAGAUUUUAUGCCGCCGCAGCAACCUGGGGGAACGCCACCAGCACCAUUCCCUGUCAAGUAACCAAUGCAGGGUGCGAGGGAGCUUGUGACUUGACCACAGGUUACGGCCCCUUGAGCCAGGGGUGCACCCACCACCAUGCACAACACCGCCACACAUGCAAGCUUAAGGGACAUUGAGCUAGCCAUAUCGAUUAAUCACAAGAAAAACAAACUUGUAAGGAAAAUGCUUGCUUGGAGUAGUAGUACUAUUGCUGAUUGUCGUGGUUAGGGCUUGAGGGUAGGAGGGUUUUUAUAGCCAAAAGUAGUAGCGGGUGAUGUCUGAAUUUUACUUUCCUAGCUAUUAGGUAAGUUGAGAUUAUCCGAUCCAAACAUUAACACACCACAUUAAAAGUUGAGACCAUUCAAUUAGGUUCAACUGCCAACCUACGUGAUUAUUGUUUUCUUUCAAUACAAUUAAAACCAGCGUCCAUUUGAUUUCACUCAAUCAUGCCUCCACAGCUAGGACUCAAAUAUUGGUUUAACUUUUUUCUAGGUGUUUUCUUAUAAACAUGAGAUUUACAUUUGAUGUAUUUAUAAAUGCAUUUAUUGUCAGAAUGAUACCAUUUUAUUAAAAGUAAUUUGAUUUAUAAUUGUUUGUAUAUAUACUUUUAUAUAUUAAGUCUUUAAUUGAAUUGGUAUUACGAUUCACCCAAGCAUCUAUUUAAUUGAAAAUUUGUUAAAAUAUUCAUAUAACAAAUAUUAAUAUUAAUAUAAAUGUAUUUUUAUUUUUAUUAUAAAUAAAACUAUAAUAAGAUUUAAACUUAUGACUCAUAAAUUUUACUCUUUUUAACUUAACUAUUUCAACUAAAAUUUCAUUUAGUUUUAAUAUAAAUUUUUAUAAAUAUAUUAUUUACAUGAAUUUUCCUUUUCCAGGCGGUAUGCCAUGGAACUAAUAUAAAAUAUAAACAAAUGGUUAUUUUGUUAUUUUCAAUGGAAAAAAAAAACUUCACAAGAUUAGGACACAUGCAUGGUUUUUUUAAUAUAUAUAUAUAUAUAUCAUGCAACAUUCUAAAUCUAUUUAUAGAUUAUUUUGUUGAUUGAAUUUUUAUUUUUUUUUAUUUUGGUAAUUAUAUAAAACUAAAUAUUUUCUUCGCGCAAUGUUAAGAGCAGUUUGAAAUUUAAAAGAAGUGUGGAUUCUAAUAAUAAAUUUAGUUAUCUAAUGUUUACAUAUUUUAUUAAUUUGGUCUUAAAUAUAAAAAUUAAAUUCAACAAAAUUAGCCCUCAAUGUUUACAAAAUUUUUCAUUUUAAUUCAAAUUCUAAAAUAAUCCAAUAAAUUUAGCUCUCAACAUUUACAAAAUGAAAGGAUUUGAUUUUUAAAAUUUUAAUUUUUUUUUUUAAAAACCCAAAACACAAACCUAAAUAAACUGAAAAAGAAGAAGGAAUAAUUAUCAUCACCACGAUCUAAUCUCUCAACUUUAAAAUAAGACUUCAACUUCGGUUUAACCCCAAGACAAGGCGAAACAUUGAAAGUAAGUGCAGCGGAUGCCAUUGAUUCUCCUACCUUUUGGCUAAACACAUAAAUUUGAACAACUUCAUACAUAACUAGCAGCAGUACUAAAAAAUCAUUAAUACUAUAUUUUCAAGUACAAGAAAUUGAAAAAAGAAUCACGGGUAGAGUACAAAAAUGAAAUUUGGUGUGAACCUAGAUUAACAAAACAAGGUUCACGGUUUCUCAAAAACACAAUACUAAAUUUUUAGAAUUUCUUGUGAAGAUCAAGCAAUGAGACAAAUACUGAAAUUGGCAAUGCCUUAAUAGCAAAUAAUAAUUCAAACCAAUGUAGAAAAAAGAUGAAGAAGAAGAAGAUAGGAAAAGAAUUUUUAGUUUACAUUAAAAGCCUUGAAAAGGUAGACCGAUAGGAUUGAUUGUUUUGAAUAUUACUCAACUUUCUCAUUAAUUCUUGUACUAUUAUGGCUAAGUGUGUUUUUAGAUGGUAAUGAAUUUUUUUAAUUGUUAAUAAUUUUUACAAUUAUUACACUUGAUUUGGCAGUUGUUUUUCUUUUUAAUUUACAAAAUUUUAAAAAAUUAAAAAUUUCUAUUUUGUAAAUGCUAAGAGCUAAAUUUAUUAUUAUUUAUUUUAGAAUCUAAACUAAAGUGACAAAUUUUGUAAAUAUUUGGUGUUAAAUUUAUUGGAUUUUUAUAUUUAAAAUCAAAUUGAUAGAAUGUGUAAAGAAAGUUAAUUUUUUUAUUAGACAAAUAAAAAAUAACCCAUUUCAACACUUCCGAAAAAUUUUCAAACGGCCGUUAACAUUUAGUGAUGAAAAUAUUUGAUUUCAUAUAGUUUAAUAAUUAAAAUAAAAAUAAUUAAAAAUUUAGUAAUCAAAGUAAAACACAAGUGAUAUUAUUCUAGUGAUCAUUUCUGUACUUGACCCUAAUUUUUUUUUCAAAACACUGUUAAAAAACGAUUAAUUUCUCGUUUUGGCCGGAGUUAAAAUUUUUAAUAUAUUUGUUUUUAUUAAAUUUAAAAAUUAUAAUUUUACAUAAUAUAUUUUUGAUAGAAUACAUAUGAUAUAAUUUUAAUCAGUGACACCUGUUAAAGCUUGUUAGAUCUCCUGUAUCUCUUUCAAUCUGGUGGUAAAUGAAGCAAUCAAUGAGUAUUACAACCAGCCACAUGUCAUUCAAUUCACAUUAUAUCAAUCUUUUCCCUUUUCUCUCAUUUUGGUAGUUAAUUCCUUUUUUUGUCAUCGAAAUUAUAUUUUUUUCUCAAAUUGAUAAUUUCCUUAAUCCGUUAAGUUUGUUAAAAGAAACCUUAAUCUUAUUUAAAUUAUAUCUUUUUUUUUUUAUUUUGAUACUUAAACAUUUUUGUCACAUGUGGUAUGUAAUUUAUUUUUUCUUAAGUUGUUAGUUUAAUUAUUACUCAAAUAGUUAAGUCUAUUUAAAAAAAGAUAACUAUUUAAAAAUUACCAUAUUCGAACUAGCUAGGCCAUUAGUUCCUGGUUUAAUCAGUUUAUCUAGUUUGAUGAAAUCAAUUAUUAAAAAUUCAUAAAAAUAAAAAUGUUAAAAAAUAGAGAAAACUAGCUCAACUAGUUUUUUUUUUAAGCUCGACUCAAUCAAUCUGUAUCAGUUUGUAGGUUAAUCGGUUCAAGCCCUAUCUCCAAACUAGUAUCCCAGUUGGUUCCUAGUAUUAAGGGUGAGCAAAAUUUGAAUCGACUCGAAAAAAUUUAAAAAAGUUCAAAUUUUGAAUUAUUUGAAUCGAGUUAAUCGAAUCAACUCGAUUUUUUUUUAAUUUCAAGUUCGAGUCGAGUUGAGUUUUUGAAUUCAAAUGACUCGAAUAAUUCGAUUAAGCCGAAUACCAAACUAUAAUAUUUUACAUUUUACCUCAAACCCCAAACCCUUUUACUUUUCCCCCAAAACUUUACUCAUUCCUCCUUGUCUGCCCCUGUAACGCCCCAAAUUUUGAAUUGUUACUGUUAGUUUCUAUUUAUAAGUAAGUAUUUGCUUCAGUGGUUAAGUGUUAUGUGUUGGUGUUUGGAUCGGGGGUUCAAGUUACACUUUUAGAGAAUUUUAUUAUUCUUUUGUUUCAACUCUUAUCCUUGAAUGCUUGAAUUAAGUUUGUAUCUGCAUUAAUUUGUGUCAAGAAUGAGUCUUCUAGUUUAAUGGUUAAGUUUUGUAUUACCUAUGGUCUCGUGUUCGAGUCUCUGCGUAGGCAAUAAAGAAAUAUUUUGGCAUGCUAUCGGGAAAUCAGUUUUAUUUUAAUAAUUAUUUUUAUUUAAAACUUAUUUUUAGUUUUUUUUAUUUUGGUUCUUCUCCUUCCUUACUGUUCAUUUCCUUCUUCUUUUUUCUCCUUUUGUAACACCCCUAACUCGAAUCCGUCGCUGGAACAGGGUUAGGAGUAUUAUUGAAGUUUACAAUUUAAACAGGCAGAAAAAUUAAACAUUUCAUAACAUAUAGCAUUCAUGUUAGAAACCAAUCAUAAUUAUGCAUAUUGUCCCUAAUACGAGCCCUCGAGGCCCAAAAUACACCUUAGAAAUAAUUCGGGACUAAAUUGAAAAUUCGGAGCAUUUUUUAGAAACUUAUAAAAUUUUUAAAACUACAGGGGUCACAUGGCCGUGUGGCUAGGUUGUGUGACUCAUAUGGCCAACAGACACGCCCAUGUCUUAGACCGUGCGGGUAUUCGAAAUAGGGACACACGGUCGUGUCCCAGCCAGUGUCCAUGCCCGUGUAACUCACUAACUUGGGCCACACGGUCAAGCCAUACGCCCGUGUGCCAGGCAUUGUGAGCAUACUAACUUGCAUUCUUUAAAAGAUACAGGGGACACACGGCCAUGUCACCUGACCGUGUGUGACACACGCCCGUGUCUCUGCCCGUGUGGACAAAAAUAGGCUAUUUUUCAAGUCAUAAAUAUUCAUGUAUUCUUUAAAAGAUACAGGGGACACACGCCCGUGUCUCUGCCCGUGUCUCUGCCCAAUUUGGUACCAACCUAAACACAACAAUUUGCAUAUAACCAAGUCAUAAAUAGGCAUCCAAAACCAGCCAAAAUCAAGCUUAAAACAUGUAAUAUCAUCACAUACAACCAAUAUGCCCUUAGGCACCUCAAAUGACAACUUAUAAUAUUAAUAUUCAUGUAUUCAAUAUAGCCAAAUGUAUAACUCACUUAUAUGCAUAUUUUCAUCCAAAGUUUAUUAAGCAAAUUUACAUCAUUUCUUACCAAAUUACUUACCUUCCAAAACAUAUUAUUUGGUGCUAAAAUGUAUUUAACAUACUAACAUAUUUAACUUAUAUGCCUUACAUAUCCAGACACCAAUUCAUGAUCAAUUCUUCACAUUCCAAAACACAUAUAUGAAAUGCACAUUAGGUUACCUUUUUACCACUCUUUAUUCAAUCAUGAACCAAACUACAUGUCAACCAUAAUAAGCAAAAUAUGCACAUAUCCAAAAUUCCAUAACACAAACAAAACAAAUGGCUAAUCUCAACAAAACACAUAUAAGCCAACAUUGGCCAAACUAAUCUAUACAUGCCAUUAUAACCGAAAUUAAACAACCGAAUGUACCAAAAGAGCCAAUGGAUAGUGUGAUAUAGCUCCGACAAGCUUUCAACCAGAACGAGCUUUCGAAUCACUAAAAACACAGAAAAUAACACAGAGUAAGCAUUCAAGCUUAGUAAGUUCAUAUAGCAUAUAAUUUAACUUACCAUUUAGUCACAUUUAAGGUAAGCAUACAAAACAUAUCCAAACUCAAUUAGGAUAAAAGCCUCAACACAUAUCCUCAUCAACCAUGUUAGUCAUGUAAUUCAUAUAAAUAUCAAGAAACAUGUAUGAGCUCAACAAUAAUCAAACUUGCAUGUACAUAUAAUUUCCACAUCAUGUAUUUACAUAUCAUGUACAAAUCAUUUUCAUAUAUCUCAUGUAAAUACAUGUAGUAGUUUGUAUUGAACUCAUGUAAUAUCAUAACAGAACAGUGCCCGUUGAACCAUUUAGAUUAUUGUUGGAUACGCGGAUAGUACACAUGAGGUGUACUGAACUGUAAUUCAUCAAUUCAUGUACAUGUAUGCUCAUAUGAGCUAUAAACAGUAAGCUCCUCUGAGAUGAAUAACAAUAAGCUUGUACGAGCUGAAUAUCGGUAAGCUCAUAUGAGCUGAGUAUCGGUAAGCUCAUAAGAGCUGAAAUCGAUAACCCUAAUGACAUGUUUACCAAGCCAUGACAUUCCACUAACACAUUUAACCUUUAAAAUUAUUUCAAUUUACAAGUUUAAGAAAGAACAUAAAAGAUGAUACUUGGCUUUAUUUUACUAAAUUUUGUUAUUUACUUAAUUACUUAUUUAACCUUUAAAAUCAUUUCAAUUUACAAGUUUACUAAGCCAUGACAUUCCACUAACACAUUUAAGGGUUAUUUACCAUAUAAGGACCUCUACUUUAAAUUUUUAUAGCUAUUUAAUACCUUUAGCUAUUAGAACUUUACUUUUACACUUUACGCGAUUUAGUCAUUUUUAUCAAAUUGAACAUGUAAACGGUAAAAUUUCUUAACGAAAUUUUCAUAUGGUAAUAUUAUCAUGUUUUCGACCAUAAAAUAAUAAUAAAAUAAAAUUUUUUACUUCAUAUUUGUGGUCCCAAAACUACUAUUCUGAUUUCACUGAAAAUGGGUUGUUACACCUUUCUUGCUUGAUUGCUUCCGUAAGUUUGCUAUCGUGCUUAAUUGGGCAUUCUGUGUGGUUUCUUACAUUGAUUGCAAGGAUAUUGCGUAAGUUAUGUUGUUGUUUUUUACCUAUUUUUUCUAGACUUCGUCUGUUUCGUCGAGGUUAGAUAUUACUGUUAAUGGUUGUAAAAUCUCGUUAAUAGUUCCAAUGGAUCUUCUUUUAGGAAAAGGUUUCAAAAGUAACAUUUCCCUGUGAGAUUAGGUCCGAAUUGUUGUUGCUUGCUUGUCAGUAAUUGAAAAUUUCUAUUUUGGAUAGCUGCGUCGAAGUUUUCGACGAACGUUAGUUUUGAGUGCUAAUUUUGGCAUUUUGAGUUGAUUUAGUCAUUUAAUUCGUCAAUUAAUUGUCGUUUUAGGUUUCAGAUUCUUGUGUGUUGCUUCUACAUCGAAACUACAUCAAGUGUGUAACGAAAACUCAUUUUUCUAUGAUUUACGAAUGCUAGAAAACAUGGCUGUUAAUCACACGACCGUGUGUUAGGCCAUGUAACUUACUGUUUAUGUAUUAAAGUCACCGAGCCAAGGACGUGGGCGUGUGUCCUAGUCGUGUAACUUACUAUUUGUGGAUUGGAGUCACACAGGCUAGGGACACGUUUGUGUGUCCAGACUGUGUGAAGGAAAUUUUAUGAAUUGAGUCACACAAGCGUGUGCUUGACUAUGUCAUAGACCGUGUAACUCACUUUUUUGAGCCACACGAUCGUGUGCCAGGCCGUGUGAUAGAUCGUGUGCUACACGGGCCAGCCUUCCGGGACAUGUGAAUCCACACAAGUGUGUGGGUCAAAAUUUCAAAUUUUUUAUUAGGGCCGUAAACAUCAUUCCAGUCAAACGUAGGCCUACUGUAGGGUCUGGAUGAUCUGAUUUGGGUUAUAAAACCCAUUGACUAGUUAUCUGUUUCUGUAUAAACUGUUAUUUUAUAUACAUCAUAGAAUUGUAAACUAGAGAGUAGUUGUAUUCUGUAUUAAUUGAGUAUAACCUGAAAUUUGUAACAUCGUAUGCUUAUAUCUGUAUCUGUAACAUUGCAUCUGCAUUGGGGUUGGGAUUGAAUAAGGAGGAAGUUAUGGCAGUUAAAUAAUCUGCUAAGACUGGUGGCUAAGACACGUAAAUGUAUCUAAUUUUGGUGACUUUCGCAUUCUGUCCUAGCAAUUAGUCUGCAACCUUUUGAACGUGACAUAUGGUCACUAUGUGGUGUGUAGGGACGAUACCCUUUUUGGUGUGUAGGGUUGGAUGCAGAUGGUGUGUAAUUGACAUAUUCUACUCUAUUUCCGUAUAUAAUUCUGAGAACUGUUCUAACUUUAAGAAAUUGAAGAUCUAUUUUGUUGUUUCACUUAAUAAUAAUAUAAGUUAUACGCUAUGUAUAACACCCUUUACCCGAGACCGUGGUCGGAGUCGAGCAUGAGGUGUUACUUGACUUAACUUAAAAGUUCAGGGCAUAAAAAUUUACUUUCAAAAUUAAUUUCACCAUUCACAAUAAAGUUGUCCACCUGAGCAGCAGUCACUAAAUUAAUUAUAACUCAAGCUAAGAAACUCGAAAUUUAGAUUCGUAAAUUUUCCCUGAAACUAGACUCAUAUAUCUAUUCACAAAAAUUUUUCAGAAUUUUUUAUUUGACCAAUUAGUACAGUUUAUUAGUUGAAGUCUCCCCAGUUUCACUAAUCGACUAUCCUGACCUCUCGUCACUAAAAUUCAAUUAUCUCAUUAUACAGACUUGACAUGCUGAUUCCACUUAUUUAUACUUAAAAUAUACUCAUUAAGGAAUUUAAAAAUAUAAUUUAUAACUCAUAAUUCUAUUUGUACAAUUUUUAAUGAAUUUCUAAAGUCAGAACAGGGGACUUCAGAAUCAUUCUGACUCUGUCUCACUAAAAUUAAAAUAUCUAAAAGUAUAUAACUCUUUUGCUUACUCUAUUGCUUUCAUGUGAAAGUAGACUCAUUCAGAUUUAAUUUCAUCUCUCGCUAAACAUAUAAUUCUAUUUCUACAAUUUUUGGUAAUUUUUCAAAGUUACAUCAAUGCUGCUGCCCAAAAAUAGUUCCAUUGAAAUUUUUAAAAAAAAAUUCAAUAUAACCCCUUUAUAAUUAUCUAACCUUCCCUGCAAAUUUCAAAUCACAACCAAUUUCAGUAUUUCAACUACUUCACUUAAAUACUAAUGAAGUUCAACUAAUCAACCAUUUCAAACUAAAAACAUGUAUAGUUCAAUGUUUAACACAACCAUCACAUUCAAAUUUAUUCAUUCUAUUACUUUUUACUUCAAUUCCCUAUACAUGUCAUAUAAAUCCAAAAAGUUGUUUAACAAAAUCUACAGGAGUAAAUCUGGAUAGUGUGAUUCUUGGUGUAGAUCUGAUCCUCCGAAUGUAUAAAUACGUCAAUCUACAAGAAUCAAUAAACACACAAUUAAGCGUAUAGAAAGCUUAGUAAGUUCAUAGGCACCAAACAUAAAUCUUACCAAACAUUUAUACACUUAUACAUUAUACACCAUUACUAAGUUUACCUGUCAACCACAAUCUUUGGUGAGUUCCUUGGUAUAAACUCACUACUACUUAUUCUUUUACCAUAAUUCCUUUGGGCCCAUUUGUCACUUACCAUCCUUGAUCAAAAUUAAGGAACGGUUACGGAAAAUUGAGUACUUCACUUUCACUUUGCCAUAGUAUAACUAUGGUCUUACGUAUGAUCAAACAUCACUUGUCCUUGAUAAGAUAAGUGUAGCUAGGCAACCACUUAUCACUUUGUCACUUGAUCAGAUAAGUGCAGCUAAAGCUACCAUUUAUCACUUUAUCACCACUUAUCACUUGUUCUUGAUUAGAUAAGUGUAGCUAAAGUUACCACUUAUCACUUUGUCACCACUUAUCACUUGUUCCUAAUCAGAUAAGUGUAGCUAAAACUACCACUUAUCACUUUGUCACUUGAUCAGAUAAGUGUAGCUAAGCUAUCACUUAUCACUUUGUCACUUGAUCAGAAGUACUCAAAUCCGGUGUUCUGCUCAAUUUGAUCAUUUAUUCAGUUUUCACAUUUUUAUUUUAUUCUCAUUUCAUCAAUAAAUAUAUAUAUUUCAUCAUACAUUAUAUAAUUCAUGAAAUUAACAUUUAAUCAUUAAAUUUUAGCCAUAUGAACUUACCUGGGUUGAUUUGCUGAAUUUGUAAAAGUUUAGGGACUAAUCAGCUACUUUUUUUUUCCUCGACUUGUUUCGGGUUCUCAAUAUGAUUCAAAUAUAUGAAAAACCAACUUGGAGGGACUCUUCAAUGGUGUUUUUUGCUAAAAAAUAUGAGGAAUUGCCUAGAAACACUUUUAGUUAAGAUUUUUAUUUGUUAUUUUUUACAAAAUUUCCAAUUUUGCCCUUAUUACAUCACUUUUUCAAAUUUUUCUUCUCUUAUGUCGUCUCAACUAUUCCAUAUUGGCAUAUUUAUGCCUUAAGUCCCUCCUUAUUUACCACUUAAGCUAUUUAAUCACUUUUAACAAAUUUUACAUUAUUUUCAGUUUAAUCCUUUUUAAUUAAUUAACCACCCAAACGUUAGAAUUUUCUAACGAAAAUUUAAUACCAACUCAAUGACACUCCAUAAAUGUUUCUAAAAAUAUUUAUGGCUCGAUUUAUGAGGUUGAGGUUUCAAUACCUCAUUUUCGAUUCUAAUUAUUUUAAUAUUUAUUCUUAGUACAUUAUUCACUAUUUCAAAAAUUUUCCUAACUUCGCAUUUAACUUAUACUCACUAAAUUAAUAAUAUUUUCUACUCAUUUGUCAAAUUUAAUGAUCUCGAAUUACCAUUCCGACACCACUGAAAAUUCAGGCCAUUACAACUCUCCCCCCAUUUUGGAAAUUUCAUCACCGAAAUUUCGUACCUGAAAAUAAAUUCGGAUACUGAAAUCUCAGCAAUUCCUCUGUUUCCCAGGUUGCCUCCUCAGAUCCAUGUCGAUUCCAUAACACCUUAACUAGUGGUACAUGUUUAUUCCUCAACUCUUUAACCUUCUGAGCUAAAAUUUUCACCGGUUCCUCUGAAUAAGUCAUGUCAGGUUGAAGCUCUAUUUCCGUAUGAGGAAUUACAUGUGAUGGAUCUGAUCUGUACCGUCUCAACAUAGACACAUGAAACACAUUAUGAAUCUUUUCAAGUUCCGGGGGCAAAGCUAAUCUAUAGGUUACCGGACCGAUUCUUUCAAUGAUUUCAUACGGCCCGAUAAAUCGUGGGCUGAGUUUCCCCUUUUUGCUGAACCGCAAAACUUUCUUCCACGGUGACACUUUCAAAAAUACACGAUCACCCACAUUAAACUCUAUAUCCCUUCUCUUCAAAUUUGCAUAUGAUUUUUGCCGAUCGGAGGUAGCUUUUAAACAAUCUCGAAUAAUACGAACUUUUUCUUCAGUUUCCUGAGUCAAUUCCACUCCCACUAGUUUCGAUUCACUUAAUUCAGACCAAUAUAAUGGAGUUCUACACUUUCUUCCAUACAAAGCUUCAAACGGUGCCAUUUUAAUGCUAGUUUGAUAACUAUUAUUAUAAGCAAAUUCGGCUAAAGGUAAAUACCUUUCCCAGCUACCGCCGAACUCAAGUAUACAACACCUUAACAUAUCUUCUAAAAUCUGAAUCACUCGCUCUGACUGCCCAUCUGUCUAGGGAUGAAAAGCUGUGUUGAAAUUUAAUUUGGUGCCUAAAGCUUCCUGUAAUUUACUCUAAAAUCUCGAGGUAAAUCUCGGAUCUUGAUCUGAAAUAAUAGAUGUCGGUACCCCAUGUAACCUCACUAUCUCAGACACAUAUAACUCCGCUAACUUUUCAAGCUGAUAAUCUGCUCUGACUGGAAUAAAAUGUGCUGACUUAGUUAACCGAUCAACAAUCACCCAUAUUGAAUGUUUCUUCUUCAGAGUUACUAGUAAUCCAGAUACAAAAUCCAUCGUAACAUGUUCCCAUUUCCAAUCUGGAAUCAUAAUGGGCUGUAACAACCCUGUCGGCACUUGAUGCUCAGCUUUCACCUGUUGACAGAUCAAACAUCUUGCUACAUACUCAAAGAUUUCCCGUUUCAUUCCGGGCCACCAAUACAUUUUCUUCAAAUCACAAUACAUUUUUGUACUACCCGGGUAAAUAGAACACAUACUACUGUGAGCCUCUGAUAAAAUAUCAUUUUUCAAGUUUAAAUUAUUCGGAAUACAUAUUCUAUUACGAUAAUAUAACAUACCAUUUUCAUCAAUGGAGUAUUCUGAGCUUAACUUAUCUUGAACCAUCUGUCGCUUUAUCAUCAAUUUUGGGUCAUCAUCCUAUAACUCCCGAAUCCGUUGAAAGAACACGGGUUUAGCCUUUAAUUCUGCUAGUACAGAACCAUCCUCAUUAAUAGAUAAAUGAGCAUUCAAUGCCCGUAGUGCAAAUAAUGAUGAUUUCCGACUAAGCGCAUCUGCUGCGGCAUUUGCUUUCCCUGGGUGAUAGUCAAUGACAAGAUCAUAAUCUUUCAGCAACCCCAACCAUCGUCUCUGUGUCAAAUUUAACUCUUUCUGAGUCAUUAAAUACUUCAAGCUUUUAUGAUCAGUAUACACGUAACAUUUCUCACCAUAUAAGUACUCUCCAUAUCUUCAAAGCAAACACGAUCGCUGCCAAUUCCAAAUCAUGUGUAGGAUAAUUCUUGUCGUGCGGUUUCAGUUGCCAAGAAGCAUAUGCCACCACUUUGCCUGACUGAAUAAGUACACAGCCCAACCCAUUUACAGAUGCAUCACUAUAUACUACAAACGGUACACCCGAUUCUGGUUGAGUCAACACUGGAGCCUCUGUCAACAUCUUUUUCAACUGAUCGAAACUCCGCUGACAUUCAUCUAACCAUAUAAAUUCAACAUUCUUUUGUAGCAAUCGAGUUAACGGUAAGGUAAUCAUUGAGAAAUCUUUGACAAAUCGACGAUAAUAACCUGCCAAUCGUAGAAAACUCUGCACUUCAGUCACAUUCUUCGGAACUUUCCAAUUUAUCACUGCCGCUACCUUACUUGGAUCCACUCUUAUUCCAUCAGCUGAUACAAUAUGACCCAAAAAUGCAACUUCAUGGAGCCAAAAUUCACAUUUGCUGAAUUUGGCAUACAAUUGUUUCUCCCACAAAGUCUGUAAUACAAUCAUUAGAUGUUGUGCAUGUUCGGACUCUGUCUUUGAAUAAAUCAAUAUAUCGUCAAUGAACACAACCACAAAUCUAUCCAAAUAUGACUGAAAAAUUCUAUUCAUCAAAUCCAUAAAAGCAGCAGGGGCAUUGGUUAAACCAAAUGGCAUCACCAAAAAUUCAAAAUGACCAUAUCGAGUUCGAAAGGCAGUUUUCGGCACUUCACACUCUUUAACUUUCAACUGAUAAUACUCGGAUCGAAGAUCUAUCAUGGAAAAUACUGUAGCACCUUUCAACUGAUCAAACAAAUCAUCAAUAUGAGGCAAAGGAUUUUUAUUCUUUACUGUUACCUUAUUCAACUGUCUGUAAUCUAUACACAGUCUUAAAAAACCGUCCUUCAUUUUCACAAACAAGACAGGUGUACCCCAGGGCGACAUACUCGGUCUGAUGAACCCUUUAUCUAAUAACUCCUGCAGCUGCGCCUUCCGUUCUUUUAACUCGACUGGAGCCAUUCUGUAUGGUGUCAUUGAGAUAGGAGUUGUUCCGGGGAUCACAUCAAUUACAAAUUCAACUUCUCUAUCAGGUGGUAGACCGGGUAACUCUUCAGGGAACAUAUCAGGGAAUUCAUUCACCAUUGGCACUUGUUCGAGCUUCAAACCAGAACCCUGAGUAUCCAGGAUAUAGGCCAAGAAUGCUUCGUUGCCUUUGUGUAAUAACCUCUGAGCAGAGAGAGCUAAAAUAAUUCUGACUGUAUCACCCAGAUUUUCAGACCCAACUGAGAUUAUAUCUCCCGUUUGACAUUUCAAACUGAUUUGUUUAUCACGAUAAUUCACUACCGCAUCAUGUCUCAUUAACCAGUCCAUCCCCAGAAUAAUGUCAAAUUCCCGAAAAGGUAACAACAUCAAAUCAGCGAGGAAUUCAUAGCCUUUCACUUUCAGUGGACAAUUACGACAUAUCAAAUUAACCAUCACACUUUGACCUAAUGGGUUUGUGACUUGUAUAUCAAAUUCAGUGGACUCAACAGAUAAUUUCUUUUUAGAUGCUAACAUAGUGCAAAUAUAUGAAUGAGUAGAUCCAGGGUCUAUCAAUGCAUAAACAAUAACAUCAUAAAGAUAGAAAGUACCAGCAAUUACAUCAGGAGCCGUAGCCUCUUUCCUUGCUCGAAUGGCGUAGGUACGUGCUGGUGCUCUAUUCUCUGAUCGACCAACUGAUUCCCUCGUACCCGAACGGGUAGUCCCUGUAGCACUGCUCUGGCCCGAACGUCUACUUUUUUGGGGAAUGGUUCUCUGUAUUUCUUUCUGUUCCACUUCAUCUUUUUACAGUCGGGAACAAUCUCGAAUAAGAUGAUUAGUACCCUCACAUUUUUAACAAGCCCCUAUCUUGGUCCUGCAUUCUCUGAAAUGAUAUCUUCCACAAUAUUGACACUUAGGCCGGGGAGCAUUCUGAACACUGCUCACACUUGCUGGAGGUCUAUCGAAUACCCUGAAAUCAGAUUGUCUUGGUCUAUCUCUACCCGAUCUUCUCGACAGUGAUGUAGUUCGACUAAUUUCUUCUCUAGAUUUGUUCACUGGUAAAUCUAAAAAUGACUUAGAAGCACCUCUUUUGAAUGGCUCUUUACUUUUUCGAUCCCGCUACAUUUUUCUGUUGUAUACUUCUUCGAGCUUUUGAGCACGGUCUGACAGAACAGGGAACUCUCGUAUUUCAUUACCCCCAAUCAUCAUUCUAAUUUCAUCAUUUAACCCUUCUUCAAACCUGAUACACAUUUCUUCUUUAAUAAGUACAAUGUCUCGGGCAUAUUUGCUGAGGUAGACAAAUUCUCUUUCGUAUUCAGCCACUGAUUUAUCUCCCUGGCGUAGGUCGAGAAAUUCCCUUUUAUUUUUAUCCAAAUACCGUCUGCCCACAUAUUUCUUCUUAAAUUCAUUUUGGAAAAAUUCCCAAUAAAUUUUCUCUGUCGGAACCACAUCCUCAAUCGUCUCCCACCAACUAUAAGCUUCUUCUUUCAAUAGAGACACAACACAACUCAAAUAAUCAUCUAGUGAGCAAACCAUUUCUUUAAAAAUUCUUAUUAAACUCUGUAACCAAUAUUCAGCUUUGACGGGAUCUUUAUCAGUCCUUCCCCGAAAUUCUUCGGCUCCAAGUUUUUUAAGCCUUUCCAAUGGAGAACGCUUUCUGGAUUCAGUCGUUGUAAAAGGUGGAGGAGCAACCGGGUGUGCCACCGAUGGAGCAGUAGGGGGAGGAGGUGGUUCAGCCUGAUUUCUUUCUUGCCUCAUUUCAGUAUAUCAUUGAUUCAUAAUCCCAUAAAUCAUAUUCUUUAACUCUUGCUCUCGCAUUUGGGAGAUCGGAACAUCACUGCUUGUUCUUUGUUUAGAAUUAUGUAUUCUACUAUUAACUUCUUCUUUCUCAGUACGUUUAGGUAUAUCUGACAUCUCCAUAACCGGAGAAUAUCUACUAUUAACUUCUUCUUACUGGAUUCAGUCGUUGUAAGAGGUGGAGAAGCAACCGGGGGUACCACCGAUGGAGCAGUAGGCAGAGGAGGUGGUUCAGCCUGAUUUCUUUCUUGCCUCAUUUCAGUAUACCACUGAUUCAUAAUCCCAUAAAUCAUAUUCUUUAACUCUUGCUCCCGUAUUUGGGAGAUCAGAACACCACUGCUUGUUCUUUGUUCAGAAUUAUGUAUUCUACUAUUAACUUCUUCUUGCUCAGUACGUUCAGGUAUAUCUGACAUCUCUAUAACCGGAGAAUAUCUAUAAAAAUAACAAAGAUUAGAUCGCAUCAUACGCAUUACACUAUCACAGAUUUAUAUGGCAUGUAUUUCUAAACACUUUACACUUUACACAUAUUCCGAGAACCGGCUAAACCUGGAUCUGAUACCAAUAAAAUGUAACACCCUUUACCUGAGACCGUUUCCAGAGUCGAGCAUGAGGCGUUACUUGACUUAACUUAAAAGUUCAGGGCAUAAAAAAUUACUUUCAAAAUUAAUUUCACCAUUCACAAUAAAGCUGUCCACCCACGCAGCAAUCUCUAAAUUAAUUAUAACUCAAGAUGCGAAACUCGAAAUUUAGAUCUGUAUAUUUUACCUAAAACUAGACUCAUAUAUCUAUUCACUACAAAAUUUUCAGACUUUUUGGUUUGGCAAAUUAGUACAGUUUAUUAAUUGAAGUCUCCCCUGUUUCACUAAUAGACUAUCCUGACCUCUCGUCACUAAAAUUCAAUUAUCUCAUUAUACAAACUUGACUUGGUGCUUUCAAUUAUUUUUACUUAAAAUAGACUCAUUAAGGAAUUUAAACAUAUAAUUUAUAACUCAUAAUUCAUUUUGUACAAUUUUUAAUGAAUUUCUAAAGUCAAAAUAGGGGACUUCAAAAUCAUUCUGACUCUGUCUCACUAAAAUUCAAAUAUCUAAAAGUAUAUAACUCUUUUGCUUACUCUAUUGCUUUAAUGUGAAAGUAGGCUCAUUCAGCUUUAAUUUCAUCUCUCACUCAACUUAUAAUUCUAAGUCCACAUUUUUGGUGAUUUUUCAAAGUUACAUCAAUACUGCUGUCCAAAAACUGUUCCAUUGAAAUUUUUUUAAAAAAUUUCAAUAUAACCCUUUUAUAAUUAUCUAACCUUCCCUGCAAAUUUUAAAUCACAACCAAUUUCAGUAUUUCAACCACUUCACUUAAAUACUAAUGAAGUUCAACCAAUCAACCAUUUCAAACUAAAAACAUGCAUAGUUCAAUGUCUAACACAACCAUCACAUUCAAAUUUACUUUGCAUAUUUAGAUAUUCAUUCUUUUACUUUUUACUUCAAUUCCCUAUACAUGUCAUAUAAAUCCAAAAAGUUGUUUAACAAAAUCUACCGGAGUAAAUCUUGAUAGUGUGAUUCUUGGUGUAGAUCCGAUCCUCUGAAUGUAUAAAUACGUCAAUCUACAAGAAUCAAUAAACGCACAAGUAGGCUUAAUAAACACACAAGUAAGCUUAUAGAAAGCUUAGUAAGUUCAUAGGCACCAAACAUAAAACUUACCAAACAUUUAUACACUUAUACAUUAUACACCAUUACUAAGUUUACCUGUCAACCACAUUCUUUGGUGAGUUCCUUGGUAUAAACUCACUAAUACUUAUUCUUUUACCAUAAUUCCUUUGGGCCCAUUUGUCACUUACCAUCCUUGAUCAAAAUUAAGGAACGGUUACGGAAAAUUGAGUACUUCACUUUCACUUUGCCAUAGUAUAAAUAUGGUCUUACGUAUGAUCACUUAUCACUUGUCCUUGAUCAGGUUAGUGUAGCUAGGCUACCACUUAUCACUUGUUCCUGAUCAGAUAAGUGUAGCUAAGCUAUCACUUGUCACUUUGUCACUUGAUCAAAAGUACUCAAAUCCGGUGUUCCGCUCAAUUUGAUCACUUAUUCAGUUUGCGCAUUUUUAUUUUAUUCUCAUUUCAUCAAUAAAUAUAUAUAUAUAUUUCACCAUACAUUAUAUAAUUCAUGAAAUUAACAUUUAAUCAUUAAAUUUCAUCCAUAUGAACUUACCUAGGUCGAUUUUCUGAAUUUGUAAAAGUUCAAGGACUAAUCAGCUACUUUUUCUUUUCCUCGACUUGUUUCGGGUUCUCGAUAUGAUUCAAAUAUAUGAAAAACUAGCUUGGAGGGACUCUUCAAUGGCGUUUUUUGCUGAGAAAUAUGAUGAAUUGCCUAGAAACUCUUUUAGUUAAGAUUUUUAUUUGUUAACUUUUACAAAAUUUCUAAUUUUGCCCUUAUUACAUCACUUUUUCAGAUUUUUCUUCUCUUAUGCCGUCUCAACUAUUCCAUAUUAGCAUAUUUAUGCCUUAAGUCCCUCCUUAUUUACCACUUAAGCUGUUUAAUCACUUUUAACAAAUUUUACAUUAUUUUCAGUUUAGUCAUUUUUAAUUAAUUAACCACCAAAACGUUAGAAUUUUCUAACGAAACUUUAAUACCAACUCAAUGACACUCUAUAAAUGUUUCUAAAAAUAUUUAUGGCUCGAUUGAUGAGUUUGAGGUUUCGAUACCUCAUUUUCGACUCUAAUUAUUUUAAUAUUUAUUCUUAGUACACUAUUCACUAUUUCAAAAAUUUUCCUAACUUCGCAUUUAACUUAUACUCACUAAAUUAAUAAUAUUUUCUACUCAUUUGUCAAAUUUAAUGAUCUCGAAUUACCAUUCCGACACCACUGAAAAUUCAGGCCAUUACAACUCUCCCCCCAUUUUGGAAAUUUCGUCCCCGAAAUUUCGUACCUGAAAAUAAAUUCGAAUACUGAAAUCUCAUCAAUUCCUCUGUUUCCCAGGUUGCCUCCUCAGAUCCAUGUCGAUUCCAUAACACCUUAACUAGUGGUACAUGUUUAUUCCUCAACUCUUUAACAUCCCAAGCUAAAAUUUUCACCGGUUCCUCUGAAUAAGUCAUGUCAGGUUGAAGCUCUAUUUCCGUAUGAGGAAUUACAUGUGAUGGAUCUGAUUUGUACCGUCUCAACAUAGACACAUGAAACACAUUAUGAAUCUUUGCAAGUUCCGGGGGCAAAGCUAAUCUAUAGGUUACCAGACCGAUUCUUUCAAUGAUUUCAUACGGCCCGAUAAAUCGUGGGCUGAGUUUUCCCUUUUUGCUGAACCGCAAAACUUUCUUCCACGGUGACAGUUUCAAAAAUACACGAUCACCCACAUUAAACUCUCUAUCCCUUCUCUUCAAAUCUGCAUAUGAUUUUUGCUGAUCGGAGGCAGCUUUUAAGCAAUCUCGAAUAAUACGAACUUUUUCUUCAGUUUCCUGAGUCAAUUCCACUUCCACCAGUUUCAAUUCACUUAAUUUAGACCAAUAUAAUGAAGUUCUACACUUUCUUCCAUACAAAGCUUCAAACGGUGCCAUUUUAAUGCUAGUUUGAUAACUAUUAUUAUAAGCAAAUUCGGCUAAAGGUAAAUACCUUUCCCAGCUACCGCCGAACUCAAGUAUACAACACCUUAACAUAUCUUCUAAAAUCUGAAUCACUCGCUCUGACUGCCCAUCUGUCUGGGGAUGAAAAGCUGUGUUGAAAUUUAAUUUGGUGCCUAAAGCUUCCUGUAAUUUACUCUAAAAUCUCGAGGUAAAUCUCGGAUCUCGAUCUGAAAUAAUAGAUGUCGGUACCCCAUGUAACCUCACUAUCUCAGACACAUAUAACUCCGCUAACUUUUCAAGCUGAUAAUCUGCUCUGACUGGAAUAAAAUGUGCUGAUUUAGUUAACCGAUCAACAAUCACCCAUAUCGAAUCUUUCUUCUUCGAAGUUACUGGUAAUCCGGAUACAAAAUCCAUCGCAACAUGUUCCUAUUUCCACUCUGGAAUCAUAAUGGGCUGUAACAACCCUGUCGGCACUUGAUGCUCAGCUUUCACCUGUUGGCAGAUCAAACAUCUUGCUACAUACUCACAGAUUUCCCAUUUAAUUCCGGGCCACCAAUACAUUUUCUUCAAAUCACAAUACAUUUUUGUACUAACCCGGUGAAUAGAACACAUACUACUGUGAGCCUCUGAUAAAAUAUCAUUUUUCAAGUUUAAAUUAUUCGGAAUACAUAUUCUAUUACGAUAAUAUAACAUACCAUUUUCAUCAAUGGAGUAUUCUGAGCUUAACUUAUCUUGAACCAUCUGUCGUUUUAUCAUCAAUUUUGGGUCAUCAUCCUGUAACUCUUGAAUCCAUUGAAAGAACACGGGUUUAGCCUUUAAUUCUGCUAGUACAGAACCAUCCUCAUUAAUAGAUAAAUGAGCAUUCAAUGCCCGUAGUGCAAAUAAUGAUGAUUUCUGACUAAGUGCAUCUGCUGCGGCAUUUGCUUUCCCUGGGUGAUAGUCAAUGACAAGAUAAUAAUCUUUCUGCAACUCUAACCAUCGUCUCUAUCUCAAAUUUAACUCUUUCUGAGUCAUUAAAUACUUUAAGCUUUUAUGAUCAGUAUACACGUAACAUUUCUCACCAUAUAAGUAGUGUCUCCUUAUCUUCAAAGCAAACACGAUCGCUGCCAAUUCAAAAUCAUGUGUAGGAUAAUUCUUGUCGUGCGGUUUCAGUUGCCGAGAAGCAUAUGCCACCACUUUGCCUGACUGAAUAAGUACACAGCCCAACCCAUUUACAGAUGCAUCACUAUAUACUACAAAUGGUACACCCGAUUCUGGUUGAGUCAACAUUGGAGCCUCUGUCAACAUCUUUUUCAACUGAUCAAAACUCCGCUGACAUUUAUCUGACCAUAUAAAUUCAACAUUCUUUUGUAGAAAUCGAGUCAACUGUAAGGUAAUCAUUGAGAAAUCUUUGAUAAAUCGACAAUAAUAACAUGCCAAUCGUAGAAAACUCCACACUUCAAUAACAUUCUUCGGAACUUUCCAAUUUACCAUUGCCGCUACCUUACUUGGAUCGACUCUUAUUCCAUCAGCUGAUACAAUAUGACCCAAAAAUGCAACUUCAUGGAGCCAAAAUUCUCAUUUGCUAAAUUUGGCAUACAAUUGUUUCUCUCACAAAGUCUGUAAUACAAUCCUUAGAUGUUGUGCAUGUUCGGACUCUGUCUUUGAAUAAAUCAAUAUAUCGUCAAUGAACAACCACAAAUCUAUCCAAUUAUGACUGAAAAAUUCUAUUCAUCAAAUCCAUAAAAGCAGCAAGGGCAUUGGUUAAACCAAAUGGCAUCACCAAAAAUUCAUAAUGACCAUAUCGAGUUUGGAAGGCAGUUUUCGGCACAUCACACUCUUUAACUUUCAACUGAUAAUACCCAGAUUGAAGAUCUAUCUUGGAAAAUAUUGCAGCACCUUUCAACUGAUCAAAUAAAUCAUCAAUAUGAGGCAAAGGAUAUUUAUUCUUUACUGUUACCUUAUUCAACUGCCUGUAAUCUAUACACAGUCUUAGAGAACCGUCCUUUUUUUUCACAAACAAGACAGGUGCACCCCAGGGCGACAUACUCAGUCUGAUGAACCAUUUCUCUAAUAACUCCUGUAACUGCGCCUUCAACUCUUUUAACUCGGCUGGAGCCAUUCUGUACGGUGUCAUUGAGAUAGGAGUUGUUCCGGCGAUCACAUCAAUUACAAAUUCAACUUCUUUAUCAGGUGGUAGACCGGGUAACUCUUCAGGGAACACAUUAGGGAAUUCAUUCACUACUGGCACUUGUUUGAGCUUCAAACCAGAACCCUGAGUAUCCAUGAUAUAGGCCAAGAAUGCUUCGUUGCCUUUGCGUAAUAACCUCUGAGCAGGGAGAGCUGAAAUAAUUCUGACUGUAUCACCCAUAUUUUCAGACCCAACUGAGAUUAUAUCUCCCGUUUGACAUUUCAAAUUGAUCUGUUUAUCACGACAAUUCACUACCGCAUCAUGUCUCACUAACCAGACCAUCCCAAGAAUAAUGUCAAAUUCUCGAAAAGGUAACAACAUCAAAUCAGCGGGGAAUUCAUAGCCUUUCACUUUUAAUGGACAAUUACGACAUAUCAAAUUAACCAUCACACUUUGACCUAAUGGGUUUGUGACUUGUAUAUCAAAUUCAAUGGACUUAACAAAUAAUUUCUUUUCAGAUGCUAACAUAGUGCAAAUAUAUGAAUGAGUAGAUCUAGGGUCUAUCAAUGCAUAAACAAUAACAUCAUAAAGAUAGAAAGUACCAACAAUUACAUCAGGAGCCGUAGCCUCUUCCCUUGCUCGAAUGGCGUAGGUACGUGCUGGUGCUCUAUUCUUUGAUCGACCAACUGAUUCCCUCGUACCCGAACGGGUAGUCCCUGUAGCACUGCUCUGGCCCGAAUGUCUACUUCUUUGGGGAAUGGUUCUCUGUAUCUCUUUCUGUUCCACUUCAUCUUUUUACAGUCGGGGACAAUCUCGAAUAAGAUGAUUAGUAGCCCUACAUUUUUAACAAGCCCCCAUCUUGGUCCUGCAUUCUCCGAAAUGAUAUCUUCCACAAUAUUGACACUUAGGCCGGGGAGCAUUCUGAACACCGCUCACACUUGCUGCAGGUCUAUCGAAUACCCUGAAAUCAGAUUGUCUUGGUCUAUCUCUACCCGAUCUUCCCAACAUUAAUGUAGUUCGACUAAUUUCUUCUCUAGAUUUCUUCACUGGCAAAUCUAAAAAUGACUUAGAAGCACCUCUUUUGAAUGGCUCUUUACUUUUUCGAUCCCGCUGCAUUUUUCUGUUGUAUACUUCUUCGAGCUUUUGAGCACGGUCUGACAGAACAACGAACUCUCGUAUUUCAUUACCCCCAAUCAUCAUUCUAAUUUCAUCAUUUAACCCUUCUUCAAACCUGAUACACAUUUCUUCUUUAGUAGGUACAAUGUCUCGGGCAUAUUUGCUGAGGUAAACAAAUUCUCUUUCGUAUUCAGCCACUGAUUUAUUUCCCUGGCGUAGGUCGAGAAAUUCCCUUUUAUUUUUAUCCAAAUACCGUCUGCCCACAUAUUUCUUCUUAAAUUCAUUUUGGAAAAAUUCCCAAUAAAUUUUCUCUGCUGGAACCACAGCCUCAAUCGUCUCCCACCAACUAUAAGCUUCUUCUUUCAAUAGGGACACAGCACAUCUCAAAUAAUCAUCUGGUGAGCAAACCAUUUCUUUAAAAAUUCUUAUCAAACUUUGUAACCAAUAUUCAGCUUUGACGGGAUCUUCAUUAGUCCUUCCUGAAAUUCUUCGGCUCCAAGUUUUUUAAGCUUUUCCAAUAGAGAACGCUUACUAGAUUCAGUCGUUGUAGGAGGUGGAGGAGUAACCGGGGGUACCAUCGAUGGAGCAGUAGGGGGAGGAGGUGGUUCAGCAUGAUUUCUUUCUUGCCUCAUUUCAAUAUACCACUGAUUCAUAAUCUCAUAAAUCAUAUUCUUUAAUUCUUGCUCUCGCAUUUGGGAGAUCGGAACAUCACUGCUUGUUCUUUGUUCAGAAUUAUGUAUUCUACUAUUAACUUAUUCUUACUUAGUUCGUUCAGGUAUAUCUGACAUCUUUAUAACUGGAGAAUAUCUAUAAAAAUAACAAAGAUUAGAUCGGAUCAUACGCAUCACACUAUCACAGAUUUAUAUGGCAUGUAUUUCUAAACACUUUACACUUCACACAUAUUCCGAGAACCGGCUAAACCGGGAUCUGAUACCAAUAAAAUAUAACACCCUUUACCCAAGACCGUUGCCCGAGUCGAGCAUGAGGCGUUACUUGACUUAACUUAAAAGUUCAGGGCAUAAAAAUUUACUUUCAAAAUUAAUUUCACCAUUCACAAUAAAGCUGUCCACCUGCGCAGGAGUCACUAAAUCAAUUAUAACUCAAGCUACGAAACUCAAAAUUUAGAUCCGUAAAUUUUCCCUAAAACUAGACUCAUAUAAAUAUUCACCAUAAAUUUUUAAGAAUUUUUAGUUUAUCCAAUUAGUAUAGUUUAUUAGUUUAAGUCUCCCUUGUUUCACUAAUAGACUACCCUGACCUCUCGUCACUAAAAUUCAAUUAUCUCCUUAUACAGACUUGACAUGGUGCUUCCAAUUAUUUUUACUUAAAAUAUACUCAUUAAGGAAUUUAAAAAUAUAAUUUAUAACUCAUAAUUACUUUUUUACAAUUUUUAUUGAAUUUCUAAAUUCAGAACAGGGGACUUCAAAAUCAUUCUGACCCUGUCUCACUAAAAUUCAAAUAUCUAAAAGUAUAUAACUCUUUUGCUUACUCUAUUGCUUUCAUGUGAAAGUAUACUCAUUCAGAUUUAAUUUCAUAUCUCACUUAACUUAUAAUUCUAUUUCCACUAUUUUUGGUGAUUUUUCACAGUUACAUCAAUGCUGCUGUCCAAAAACUGUUCCAUUGAAAUUUUUAAAAAAAAUUCAAUAUAACCCCUUUAUAAUUAUCUAACCUUCCCUGCAAAUUUCAAAUCACAACCAAUUUCAGUAUUUCACCUACUUCACUUAAAUACUAAUGAAGUUCAACCAAUCAACCAUUUCAAACUAAAAACAUGUAUAGUUCAAUGUCUAACACAACCAUCAUAUUCAAAUUUACUUUGCAUACUUAGUCAUUCAUUCUAUUACUUUUUACUUCAAUUCCCUAUACAUGCCAUAUAAAUCCAAAAAGUUGUUUAACAAAAUCUACCAGAGUAAAUCUAGAUAGUGUGAUUCUUGGUGUAGAUCCGAUCCUCCGAAUGUAUAAAUACGUCAAUCUACAAGAAUCAAUAAACACAUAAUUAAGCUUAUAGAAAGCUUAGUAAGUUCAUAGGCACCAAACAUAAAUCUUACCAAACAUUUAUACACUUAUACAUUAUACACCAUUACUAAGUUUACCUGUCAACCACAAUCUUUGGUGAGUUCCUUGUUAUAAACUCACUACUACUUAUUCUUUUACCAUAAUUCCUUUGGGCCCAUUUGUCACUUACCAUCCUUGAUCAAAAUUAAGGAACGGUUACGGAAAAUUGAGUACUUCACUUUCACUUUGCCAUAGUAUAACUAUGGUCUUACAUAUGAUCACUUAUCACUUGUCCUUGAUAAGAUAAGUGUAGCUAGGCUACCACUUAUCACUUUGUCACUUGAUCAGAUAAUUGUAGCUAAAGCUACCACUUAUCACUUUAUCACCACUUAUCACUUGUUCCUGAUCAGAUAAGUGUAGCUAAAACUACCACUUAUCACUUUGUCACCACUUAUCACUUGUUCCUGAUCAGAUAAGUGUAGCUAAAGCUACCACUUAUCACUUUGUCACUUGAUCAGAUAAGUGUAGCUAAGCUAUCACUUAUCACUUUGUCACUUGAUCAGAAGUACUCAAAUUCGGUGUUCCGCUCAAUUUGAUCAUUUAUUCAGUUUUCACAUUUUUAUUUUAUUCUCAUUUCAUCAAUAAAUAUAUAUAUUUCAGCAUACAUUAUAUAAUUCAUGAAAUUAACAUUUAAUCAUUAAAUUUCAGCCAUAUGAACUUACCUGGGUCGAUUUAUUGAAUUUGUAAAAGUUCAGGGACUAAUCAGCUACUUUUUCUUUUCCUCGACUUGUUUCGGGUUCUCAAUAUGAUUCAAAUAUAUGAAAAACCAGCUUGGAUGGACUCUUCAAUGGCGUUUUUUGCUGAGAAAUAUGAUGAAUUGCCUAGAAACUCUUUUAGUUAAGAUUUUUAUUUGUUAACUUUUACAAAAUUUCCAAUUUUGCCCUUAUUACAUCACUUUUUCAGAUUUUUCUUCUCUUAUGCCGUCUCAACUAUUCCAUAUUAGCAUAUUUAUGCCUUAAGUCCCUCCUUAUUUGCCACUUAAGCUGUUUAAUCACUUUUAACAAAUUUUACAUUAUUUUCAGUUUAGUCCUUUUUAAUUAAUUAACCACCCAAACGUUAGAAUUUUCUAACGAAACUUUAAUAUCAAUUCAAUGACACUCUAUAAAUGUUUCUAAAAAUAUUUAUGGCUCGAUUGAUGAGUUUGAGGUUUCGAUACCUCAUUUUUUAUUCUAAUUAUUUUAAUAUUUAUUCUUAGUAUACUAUUCACUAUUUUAAAAAUUUUCCUAACUUCGCAUUUAACUUAUACUCACUAAAUUAAUAAUAUUUUCUACUCAUUUGUCAGAUUUAGUGAUCUAGAAUUACCAUUCCGACACCACCGAAAAUUCAGGCCAUUACAUUAUGUUUAUUGACUCAUUUUUUCUGUUGACUGAAUUUCAGGUAACUCAUCGACUUAGGCGGGUCGGCAUGGCGAGAGCUCGGUCAUCCUUAUUUAGUAAUUUUCUGUUUAAAUUAAACUUAUGCUAUAGUUGUUUUAUCUUGAAUUACAGAUUGCAAAUUUAUAUUUCUACACUAGUUCAACUAUUUAAACAUUUUCUGACAAUUAAACUUUAAUUAGUUAAAAGUGAGAAUUUCUUAAAUGAUUUGUUGUAGCUUUCCAAGCUUGGUCCUAACAUCUAGGUCGGGUUUGGGGUGUUACAACCCAAAACCCCCAAACUUUCCCCUCAAAACUUUUACUCCCCCACCCUUUCUCUUUCUCGCUCACCCUCCCAAACCCUUUUACUUUUCCCCCAAAACUUUUACUUCCCACUUUUACCCCCAAAUCAAAAAUCAAAAUCCUCCCAAAAAAAUCCUUAAACCUAAAUAGUAAUAAUUUUAUUUAUGGCCACUAUUUAUAUUAUAAAUUAAAUUUCACAUUUUCUAUUAUUUAUAUUAUUAAAUUGUUUAAUCAUUUUGAAUCUUUAUCAAUUUCUGUUAAAACUGUAUCAUUGAUGAUGUCAUACAUUAUUUGUGUUAAAAAUUUCUAUUGGUAUCAAUUUCACAUUUUAUCUUUAAAAUAAAUUUUAUUAAAAAAAUUACUUUUUUACAUUUAAUAUAUUUUUUAAUUUCAAAAUAUAUGGUGACAAGAAUUAGAAGAUAAUUGAAGCAACUAAGCAAGUAAAAAAGCUAACAUGUAUAUAAAAGAUUAAAUAAAUUAUGAAGGGAUGAAAGUUAAUAACACAUUUGAUUACGGUGGACAAAUUUGAUAAUGAUGGGUGACAGUGGCUACAAGGAUCCAAAGUAAUUUUUUCAAUUAACUGGAAACAAAUAUAUUCGAUUCGAUUCGAUAAAAUUUGAAAUCAUUUUAGGAUGAUAAAAUAAGAUUCGUCAACUCGAUUAACUCGAAGUUUUUUCAUUUGAUUCGAUUAGACGCUCACCCCUACAAAGUAUGACCGAUUGGUCUGAUUCUGAAAAAAAUUGGUUUUGAUCAAUGAAAGAACUUUUACGAUGGCGACAGGUCUAACAAACAGGUGAUAUUUUGAAAAGAAAAUUAAUCUCCAUAGUCUCAACCUUAGGAGGGUGAAUUUUGAGCAUUGCAUUUGUUGUCAUUGUUAGACAUUAUAAAGGAAGAAAAAAGAAAGAAAAAAGUUAAAAUGAGGGAAAUUAUUGAAAAAAAGAGAGAAGAGAAUAAUUAAUUUUUUUUAAAAUUUUACAUGUCAAUCUAUUAUUGAUUAGAUUUUUUUAAUGAGUGUAACAUUUUGGUGUUAAAUGGAUAAUAAAAAAAUAUUUUAAGUAUCAUUUAUGAUAAAAAUAUUUAGGUAUCAAUUUGAAAAAAAUAUGUAGCUUAGAUACUAAUUGAUGGGUUAAUUUUUUUAGCUUAAUAAUUUGAUUAAACCGAAAUACCAACUGAAAAAAAGUUUACUCGCCGCUUAUGAAAAAAAAUAAGUAUGAAUUUGUAAGUUAAAUCUCCCUAAAAGAAAAAAUAUAUCACAUUCAAUACGGGGUGAAUGAAGCAAUGAAUGCAAUGGGGUAUUACAACCAGCCACAUGUCAUUCAAUUCAUGUUAUAUCUACCUUGUUGGCCCCACAGGCGGUCUUUUCCAUUAUUUUCGAAGUGAACGACAUGAGUCGGACCUAUAUCGGCCCCAACAAACAACCUCAACCACUUGUUUUGUUAGGUUGUUGACUAAUUUGAAUAUGUCGGCUCAAAGCUUUUUGAAAAUUAAAUUAUUUUUUAUAUUAAUAUCAUAUAGGUAUAAAAAUUUAACGUUUUGUAAAAAAAAUAAAUUUAGUGUUAAAUUUAAAUAAUUAUAAAAAAUUAUACAAAAUACAAAGACAACUUAGAGUCAAUAAAAAAAAUAUGGAAAAUCAAUUCAUACAUGAAAUGGCAUAAAAAUAUUAUGAACACUAUACAAAUAUAUGAAUGUUUUUAUAUCUAUAUAAAAUAAGUUAUUAACGCUUAAAUUUCAACCAAUUAAAUAUUAAUUUAACUAUAAACUAUAAAAAAUUAAAAUUUCAUUUACCCUAAACAAUUAUUCUAAUUUCGCCCCUGUAUAAAAUAGUUGUAAUAUUAAAAAAAAAGUUAUACGAAUAUGGAGUGUUAAAAAAAAAGGCUUUCAACUUUUAAUAUUCCAAACAAAUAAAAGAAAUAAUAAUAACAGUUUACAAGUGCAAUAAAAGUAAUACAUAUUUGAUGAAUUAAAAAUAGAAUAAAUAUAACUAACUAUAACAGAAAUAUAUUUAGAUUUAAACCAAAUUUUUUUGAAGAUGAAAUUUGAACUCACAAAUAAUAUUUAUAAAUGAUGAUAUGUUUUAGAACAUGUAUAUUUUAAUUUCAUUUGAUAUUUAAAUUAAAUGAAUGAAAUGAGUAUAUUAGCAUAAAUAUAUUGAAUUUCUAGAUUUAUUAAAAAUCCAACUAAAUAGAGUAGAUCCAUAAAUUUAAAAAAUGAUUAUGGAUUUUGAAAUAUAAAUCUAAAAUUUAAAAUCUGAAACCCUCCUAAAUGUUUUCCAAAGUAAGGCGGGGAUAAAUGGUAUAGGGAAGACGGUGGGUAGAUAGAUGUACGGUUUAUUUAUAACUUCGUUUUUAUUAGUCGGCUUACAGUUUCAUAAAAAGCAUCCGUGCAAGGCAUGUUCAAAUGCUGCACUAGCAUACCACUACUAUAAAAAAAACACAUACAAGAGCACCACAAAUUUAUCCCAAAAUACAUUAAAUAAAUGACUCCUAAGGGUGCCAGAUUUAACUAGUGUGUCUGGGAUUGUAUUAGCCUCUCUGAGGCCAUGUGAAAAAAUUUAAUGUUAUUGUUAUAUUUCCAUCUCGAUACGUUGCAAGACAUGAAGCAAUCUGUAAACAACUCUCUUUUGGAAGCAGUUUGCAUACGACUCUUCGCUAAGAACCAUUUGUUGUGAUCUUUCGCUUAGGAUUGCUCACAAAUGACCCCCAUGCACCCUAUCUCUCUCCCUCCUUAACUCAUCAUCUUGAACUCUCAUCCUAUUAUAGGUGAAUCGAGACUCUUCUCCUCCACCCUUUCCUCGUUGGUUACUUGUAGCAAAAAAAAUUAAUUUCACCGAAAAUGUUGGAGAGAUCCCAUGGUCUAAGUGUGUUGUUAGAGCAAAGCUCGAUGGCAAAUUUGGAGUCAAAUUUUAGAAUCAACCCUUUAAAAUCCAUUACACCGUAAAGGAAAAUUUUUACAAUUACAUUAACAAUAAAUAUUCAAAAUUUACUCAUCUAUCUAUACUUAUAUUAAGCCUUAUUUGAGUUGGAGUCAAGAGUCAACUAGGUACUAACUCAGUUGAGAAUUUACUAAAUAAUUUUAAUAUAAAGUAAAAAAAAUAUUAAUACGAGGGUGUUUUUAUCUUUUCAUAUUUUUAAAUAAAAAUACUAUAAUAAGAUUUAAACUUAAGUUUAAAAUUUCAAUCAAAACAUCACUUAAAUUUAAAAUAACAUUUUUAUAUAAAAUGUGUUUAGAUUCUAAGAUAAUGAAAUUUAUGAUGAGGUAUUCAAAAUGUGUUUGAAUAUGCUAAUGAGAUAUUCAAAUUGGUAUGCACAUUCCUAAUCAGGGAGCAUUAAUGAUAAUUUAGUAAAAUAAAUUAUCUCAUUAGCAUAUAGUUUAUUAUAAAAUUAUUGUGUAAAAUAAACAAUUCACAAACUUAAGAAUUUAUAACACAAAAAUUAUACAUCAAUGUUGUUAGAAUUGUAUUAUAUCCAUCGGUUGAAUUUAAAUUUAAAAAUUUAAUCAGCGAUAAUAAUUAAAAUCGUUUCAAACUAGUAAAAUAUUGAAAAUUAAGAACUAAUAAAAUAGAUUCUAAUUAUUUUUAUUUAAAAAAUGUUACCUUCUUAUUCAGGUUACAUUAAGACAAACCCAUCUUAAUUAUAAGUAUCAUAUUGUGAAUGGUAAACUUCUUACACAACAUCCACCAUUUGUCCAAAUAUGUUAAAUUAGGUGCAACAUAGAAAUUUUAUUGUAAGGAGUGAAUCUCAUUGUUUUUAUUUUCAUCAAACAUACGUCUAACUUUAUUAUUACGGGAUUAGAACUUAAAUUUGAUAAAUUGUGUGGUUUUAGGUGAUUUCUUUUCGUUAAAUUUAUCUAAAUCAACCUAACACUCGAAAAGUGAGAAUUCUCCUAAAAAUUCUUUAUGUUAGCAAAAAAUAUAGUGGAAGUAACUUGAAACGAAAGAGCAAUGAGAGAAUUGAAAAGACACAAGAAAAUAAUGCAUACAAGGUGUUUGAGUAAAUGCUCUCAAUAAAUUCUUUAACUCAAGAAGGAAUGAAGUACAACCAGUAUCUAGCCCCCCUAAAAUAGAAAAUUUUCCAUUUAUAUACCUUUAUAAUUUAUAAAAUUUAAAAUUUUACUUUCCCAUAAAAUGAUAAAAAAUUGAUUUAUUUCUUUAAAAAUUAUAAAGAUGACUAUUAAAAUAGUAAAAUUGUAUUUUUAUUAUUGUAAAAAUAUACAAUUUAAUUCUGUCUCCCAAAUUUUUUUUUUUUGGUUUCAUCCCUAAGUACAAUGAUCGUUGUAGCAGGAUACAUAGGCAUUCUAGCACAGAAUGCAAAUAUGUUGCCAAUUAACUUCGAGUCAUGGCAUAAAGUGCCCGAGAGUAACAAGAACCAAGCUCUCGAUAACAUUAAGGUAACAAAAUGUGUAUAUCAUUUAUAAUACUUGAGUUUAAGUUUCGUUUACAUUUACUUUCUGAAGUUGUGUUUUUUGUAGGGGAGAUUUGCUCUAGAGGUCUCCGAUGCUUAUGUAAAGAAGGCAUUGGGAAAAAGAUGGAGAGACCAUAAGAGCACUUUAAAGAAAGACUAUUUUAAGACAAAAACAACACUCGACGAGAGAUUACAAAAUGUCACGCCGGGAAUGCUGAGGUACCAGUGGGAAGAAGUCGUUAGAUUUUGGACUUCGAAGAAAGGAGAGGUAUGUGUUACUACAAAAAUCUUGUAAUUAUUUUGGUUUAUAGUAUUUACUAAUUAACGUACUAAUAAUUUCAUAACGUAGGAUCGUGAACGAGUUGGAACAAGUAGUAGGCAGAAACAAAAAUUCACGCACACAGCUGGGUCGAGAAGUUUUGCGUGUGUAGCUCAGGCCGAGGUAUUUUGAAUUUUUUAAUACUGGCAGAUAUUUAUUACUUUCUAUCAAAUAAUAUUUUUACUAUUGUAUUGUAGGAAGUGUUGUCGGGUCAAAAAGUUGGACGCCUUCAACUUUUUGACAUUACACAUAGGAAGAAAGAUGGAAACCCUAUGACUCCUGAAGCUGCAGAAAUUAUGGUACGUUUGCUUAAUACAAUUUGACUUGUUUUAAUUAUUUAUGCUGUUUAUUUUCUAAUGUUUUUUAUUACAUUUCUUGUAAUGCAAAUAUUGUUAAGUUAUGUUGCAUUUGUUUUGUUAAUAUAUGUUGCGUUCUUAACUAUGUGAUUUAUUUUUUAGGAAAAACUGAAGGAUAAAAAGGCGGAGUACGAAGCGAUUGCUUCCAGUGAUAGUUCUGUUCAUAUUGACGACAUUGAUAACCGGAUUAUCACUGAAGUUUUGGGUCCUGAAAGGUAUGGUCGGGUUCGAUUUCAAGGAUCUUUUGUUAACCCAUCCCAAUAUUUUGGAUCCAGCUCGCAACAAUACAUGCAUUCGGGGAGUCAGGCUCAAGCUGAAGUUCAGAGGUUAAGAGACCAGAUAGCUCAGAUGCAAGCGGCAACGAGUGAGCAAAUUACACAACUUAAAGCGGAGGCAACAUCGAGAGAAGCUGAGGUUCAAAAAAGAUAUGAAGAACUCCAGCUACAACUUAAAGCAGAUGCGGCAGCGAGAGAAGCAGAGGUAGCAGCGAGAGAAGCUGAGGUUCAACGAAAGUAUGAGCAACUGCAGCAGCAGCUUAAAGAAGAUGCGGCAACGAGAGAAGCAGCGGCUGCAGCGAGGGAAGUAGAGGCUGCAGUGAGGGAAUCAGAACAGCAUAAAAAGUUCGAUGAACUCCAGCAGCAGCUUCAGAAUAUGAUGAAGAUGUUUCAGCAGUCGCAACCGCCGUCAUCUUAGACUAUCGUUUAAAUAUACUUCAAUUUUGACUUUGGUAUUAUUAUUUUAACUUUUACAAUUUCUGUCAGAAUAAUACGAAUUUUAUUUUAUUUAUUGACAUUUAUUUUAAAUAUUAUAUAGAUUUGGUUAGAUUUGGUUGGUUGGAUUUGGUUUCUUCUGAUUUGUUUUUAUAGGAGGGGGCUGAAAUUUUUUUUUUCAAAUCUGCAAAAAUUAGCGGCGUUUUUUUGGAUAAGCGCCGCUAAAGACCAUCGUCUAUAGUGGAAUUUUUUGGCUAAGCGCCGCUAAAGACCAUGGUCUAUAGUGGCAUUUUUCGGCUAAGCACCGCUAAAGACCAUGGUCUAUAGUGGCGUUUUUUGUCUAAGCGCCGCUAAAGACCAUGGUGUAUAGUGGCAUUUUAUGGCUAAGCGCCGCUAAAGACCAUGGUGUAUAGUGGCGUUUUUUGGCUAAGCGCCGCUAAAGACCAUGGUCUAUAGUGGCGUUUUUUGUCUAAGCCCCGCUGAAAACCAUGGUCUAUAGUGGCGUUUUUUGGCUAAGCGUCGCUAAAGACCAUGGUCUAUAGUGGCGUUUUGUGGCUAAGCGCCGCUAAAGACCAUGAUCUAUAGUGGCAUUUUUCGGCUAAGCGCCGCUAAAGACCAUGGUCUAUAGUGGUGUUUUUUAGGCUAAGCGCCGCUAAAGACCAUGGUCUAUAGCGGCGUUGCAAAGAAAACGCCGCUAAAGACCAUGGUCUAUAGUGGCGUUUUUUAGGCUAAGCGCCGCUAAAGACCAUGGUCUAUAGCGGCGUUGCAAAGAAAAUGCUGCGAAAGGUCUUGAUCUUUAGCGGUGUUUAUUAUAAAAAGCGCCGCUAAAGUUACCGACGCUGUCAUUAGCGGCGAUCCUUGCGGCGCUUCGUAAAGCGCCGCUAAAAGUAUUUGCGGCGCUAAAAAAUGCCGCUAUAGACCUAAAAAAGCGCCGCUAAAACCCUGUUUUGGUGUAGUGUGAGAUGAUUACAAAUGAAGGGGGAGAUCUCUAUUUAUAGUUGAGCUCCCCUAGAUCCAAUAGUAUAGAUUGAAUUACAUCAACGAUUGAGAUUAGUACUUAUCUACAAGAUGAGUCUUAAGGAUUUUAAACUCUAUACAUCUUUAUCCCUUAGGAUUUACAUUAAUUACUCUGGUAACUCUAGUUUUACUGGAGAGUUUCACUGAACCACCAAAGGUUUAAGUAGAUGAGCUUCUCCAUAUGUUCCACGAGUUGGACAAGUUCAAGCGGAUCAAAUGAGCCCAAUUUAAUUAGUUAAUCUCAAUAAAACGUUCUAUGCACAAUGAUCAUGAACUUUGAUCCACAUCUCAAAAUGAUCAGAUGAAUAAUCUCUCUUAAUUAUAUUUUUAUAAAACUUGAUAUUUUCAUUUAAAAAGAAACACAAUCACAUAUAAUAAUGUCUCCAAAAGAGUCGUCCACUUCAAAGAUUUAAAGUAAUGUAAGAAUGAACCCAACAUUUUUCAAUUAAAAAUAUGUCGAUAGAUAUAGCAAGUUGUAUAACCUUUCAAUUACAAAACAGAUUUCAAUGGGGAUUGCAUCCGGUACAUGCAACUAAAGAACAGAACCGGUGCAUAAAUUGAUUUAAUUAAACUUUGGGUUGAGUAAUCAUGAUUUUCAUUAUUAUUAGACUACGUGAAUGUUGAUAUAAAAUGCUUGAGAGAAGGGUAUAGAAGAAACACAAAAUAAUGAGUGAUAUUAAUUUGUAGAUAAAGAUAAUAUUACAUAGUCGCAAAAAGCGACCUAGUACACAACGCACAACUCUAAAUUAGGAUAACUCCUCUGCUAUCCCUAUGGAUGGAUUUUAACAUCCAUAUUUAUUCUGUAGCUAUCGUUAUUUUGGCUUCCACUAGCUGGUGAACUUUCCAUGCCAAAACUUCACUUAACCCUGCAAAUGAAACAACAAAAAACACAACAUUAAAUGUUGAGCAAUUAAUAAGCAUAAGCAAUGAAACAACUCAUACGAACCUGCUGCAGUCAGUGCUAGGGCUGAUCUUGUAAGGGAUGUUGACACCGCACUUGCCUGGGAGUCCGCUUGCAAUACCAUAGUUGAUGCCAGGAAUGCCGGCGGCCGCACUUUUGAUGCAUUUGCAAGCUGCUUGCCGGUCUGGUGUUGUUUGGGCGGCGGAGUUGAGAGAUUUGAUGCCGCUGCAGCAACCUUGGGGAACGGCACCAGCACCAUUCCCUCUCAAGUAAUUAAUGCAGGGUGCGAGGGAGCCUGUGACUUGACCACAGGUUACGGUCCCUUGAGCCAGGGGUGCACCCACCACCAUGCACAACACCACCACACAUGCAAGCUUAAGGGACAUUGAGCUAGCCAUAUCGAUUAAUUACAAGAAAAACAAACUUGUAAGGAAAAUGCUUGCUUGGAGUAGUAGUAGUAUUGCUGAUUGUUGCGUGGUUAGGGCCCGAGGGUAGGAGGGUUUUUAUAGCCAAAAGUUUUGUGAAGGGAUAUGGAACGAACUGAGAAACACGUACGAAUAGAAUAUGGUUAGGCGUUGGUAGUUGUCCCAAUUCAAUGCCAAGGUUUCUUUUUUUCUUUUUCAUGUUUCAGCUUAUGGUUGAGUGUGUUUAAUGCUUUGAAAAAGGUUUGUAUCUACCACUUUCAUCUUCAUCACUAAUGCUGAAUUACUCCGUUGAUUAAUGCAUCAUAUUAGCCUUGUCCUAGUGUUACCGGUUUUCUGAUAUUAGUAGCUUUACCAAUAAAAGAUGCUAUCAAAUAUAGUUUUCAGGAUGAUAUUAAAAAUUAAGGUUUUUUAGUUACAAAUAAAAUUGUCACAUUAUCAAAUUUUAAAGAUAUGAAAUUAUUAUUAUAAACUCAUCUAUAGAGAAAUUAUUUUAUGAGCCCUUUCCACCACAUUAUUCACAGUCCAUUUUCAAUUAUUUAAUAAUAUUUCAACAAUAUUUUUCAUGUCAUUGACACAUAAUUUUAAUAAAUUUUUUACCCUGAACCUUGAGUCUAGAAUCCCAAACCCUAAAUAAAAAACUUAAAACCCCAAACUAUAACCCCAAACACUUGCAUCAUAAACUCGAACCGCGAACCUCAAACUCAUAAUCUGUAACCUUGAACCCAAACUUGUAAUCUCGAACCCUUGAACCCUUGAACCCUGAACCUAAACCUUGAACCCUGAACUCAAAGCCCAAAACCAAAACUGAACCCUGAACCUUAAAUCUCAAACCCAAACCUUAAACCUCGAGGUUUGGGUUCAAGGUUCAAGGUUCAGGGUUUGAGUUCAAGGUUCGAGGUUUAGGAUAAAAUAAUUACCAAAAUUUGUAACAGAAUAAAAGAGUUCGUUUAUAAUUUAAAAAGCAAUUAUUUUAAGUAAUUUAAUUAAAGUGAAAUUAAGUUAGAGAAAAUAUUAGAUAUAGAUGAGUGUAUAAUAAUACUUUAUUGUCUUUAAAAUUUAAUGACGUGGUACUAUUUUAUUGGUGCCUCAAACUAUACUUUUUAGAAUAAUCCUAAUACAAUUUAUUCCCAUAUUAAAUACGUAUGCUUUCUAUAUUUUUUCGAAAAAAUAAAUUUUAUUCAUAAACUUUCUAUAUAUAAAUAUAUGUUUUAUUUAAAAUUUAUAAAUACAGAAAAAUUAAAAUAUAAAUAUAUGUCAAAGUAGCUAUUAAGUGUAGAAUUAAACAAUUAUAACAUAUAAAUAGAUUAAAAAUUAGGACAAAAAAUCAAUCUAUUACAUAAAAUAUAAAUUAUGAAUGAAAACAAUCUAAAUUAUAGUCUGGCUAAUCAAACUAAAACUUACAUAUAACCAUAUGACUUUAAGGGUCUUGAAUAUGGUUACUUAAAAGCUUAUAGUUCAGCUUUUACCCACUACGUCAAGGCUUCAUUUACGUUUUUUUUAACCAUAUAUUUUUCAUAUAAUUAUAUAUAUAUAUUUUGCAUAAAAAAUCCCCAAGACGUUAAUUACUUCUAUAUAAUGUAGCGAUUAAGUCCUCAAACAAAAAUUGCUCAACAUCAAUGCAUGUAUAGAUCAAUUUUAUAUAUCAAAGACCAAUACUAUCUUUUUCUUAAAAAAAAAAAAAAACCAAUAUGUUGUGAUUGCUUAGCUAUUGUUCCUAAGUCUUCCUGAAAAAGGUUUCACAGCGAGAGGAGAAAAAAAAAAGUUGAACUUGUCUUGGUUUGCCCCAUAAUGAUUGAAGCAUAGACAAGAUUAUAAAUGUUAAUUUAGUAUACGACAUAAUAAUAUAAUAUAAUAUAUUUAAAUGUAUAUCUCCUCACCUCCUAGACGCUGUCAGUUAUUUUAUUUUUUGGGAUUCUUUUAACAAAAGGUUGAGCUUUUUAUUAGGUUUUAUUUGAUUUUUCAUUUAUUAAUAUAAUUUUUUUAUUUUUAUAUAUUUUAGUUAUUAUUAAUUUUUGUUGGAAAUUUGUACGGUCUUGUUCUAACAACAAUUACAACAAGCUUUUUGGAACAAUCAAAAGUUUUGGGUGUUGGCAUGUUUGACUUUUAAUGGCUUAUGUUUUAAUAUUAGUUAACAACAAAUGAUAAGAGAAUUUCAUGGUAAAUUAGAAUAUAAUUAUCAUCCAUUUGAUUAGUCUUGAAGAGGAAGGAGAGGAGUUUUAACUUUGGUGGACACCCAUCCUUAUCCUUGUCUUUUAGAGUGUUUGAAGCUAUUGGAGAACUUGGUUUUAAAGAUUUUAUUUGAUAAAUAUUCAAAAUAAUUAAUUUGAUAAUUUCAACUUUUAAAGGAGAGUUUAAAACUUAUCAAAAUAUUAUUUGAUAAACACUUGUAGAGGCGUAUAAAUAGGCAACAGUGUGGUGUAACUUUGUUUGUUGUUUUGGAGUGUCUUAAACUUUUAUUUUUUUGCUAUUCCAUUGGGUAACUUUAUGACACUCUCUUUUUAGGUAUUAUUUGGAGAUGUUUAGUAAUUGUAUUGUGAGGAAUUUGAGUGAGUGAUUGCAUUGAAGAAAUGCGACCUAAAUGUAUAUGUUAAACUCUUAUCUAGGACAUAAAUUCCAUGAACAAGGUACCCAUGUUAAUAACAUGUCACCACUUCGCAUCUUUAUGGUAUUGACCCUAUGUAGUUAGACCCUAUAUGACGUAAACAACACUUAUAGUGUGCACGAUAUCGUAGGCUUGAACGUUGAUUGAAUGCAACCUAUAUUUUGGUGCCUUUGUCGGAAAUGAUGUAUGCAUCGGGUUGCGGUACAAAUGCCUUCUCAGGUUAGUUAAGAAGAAAUCCCAUUCAUCAUUGGAUUCUUCAGGAGUUAUUACAAAAGCUAUUGGCAGGAUUUUUAGGUUACCAUCUUAUGCAACAACUACUAACAACCGAUGGUCGCAUAUUCUAUACAGGAAUGUGCCGUUAAUUUGGAAAAGUGGCUUACAGUACCAAAAUGUAGUUCUGCAUUGCUUAAAAGUCCAAAAGCAACGGUGGAAAACUCCUUUUCCAGGGACCAAGCAAUCGUCAUAAUACGCAGGCUCCAUUUUUAACUUGGUUACAGAACCUAGUAUGUACCACUCUAGUAUCUAACACCAUUGCCACAAUUUAUAGUAGGAUUUCUCCCACCCUCUAUUCAUUUUCUCCAAUGCCUUCUAUUUUUGCAACUAUGUCUUAUGCUAGGACAUGGUGUAAUCGGAUUCUCUACAGAUGUGUGCGAUCAAAAUUGGGACCAGAAUCGUAGGACUUGCUUUUGCCAUGGGUAAUAGAAUUUUAGAUAUCAUGUCUAAAUCUAAUUUUGGAUGAUCAUUCGAUAUGCUUGAAAAACAAGAAAUCAAGUCACUAUGUGUAAUAGAAUGUAAAAAAAGGCUAGGAUUCGAGUCGAUGUUGUUAGCCAUAUUACAUACCAGCUACAACACAUGUAUGUGGCACGAUAAAUUUCCUACGUUUAAAAUGCCAACUUCUUCGUCAUAAAUGCCAUGAUUUUCCAUAGACAUCUUGUUGCACGCAUUGUGCGCAUCGCCUUAUAUUUCUCGGAUUGAGAGCAUGUAAUAGUGAAGUUGACACCAAGUUGUAUGCUAUACUACUUGAUUGUAGCUACAAAAGCAUAUUUGGAGUCAAAUUCCAUCCCAACCUCUAAGUGGUCGAAAUUUGUUGAUGAAGUCGCAUACCUUAGUCUUCUACGGGGGAGGUCUGGGAAUUCUAAAACCACUUUCACUAGUAAGACUGAGAGUACGCAUAUGGGGUGGGGGUUUGUAUUUCGUGAAACUUAGGUCAUCCCCUCGAGCGAUGUCUAAAGCUUGACCAUUAGAUCCAUCGUCUUCUAGUUCAGUAGGAAUGGGAUCUAGUUCUAAAAUUACUACAAUUUCGCACCAUCCAGUCCAACCACCUCUCCUGGGUCAUUAUCUGAUUUAGACCCCUCUUUGACCACUUUGUUCUCUUGUCCCUCUUUGUUAUCAACCCUGGUUGUAAGUCCAGGGUUGGAUGUACCCUCUCUGGUCAAAGUUGUCAAGAGUAGAUCAUUCAUUCUUGUAAAUCCGAUGUCAAUCCCAAAAUCAAUUCUGUUUGGCCUACCCAGUAACUUGAUGGUGUACCAUAUGAGUGUUAUCGAGGUUGAACAUAGGUGUGUCAAAGUUGAAACCAAAGGCACUGAUAGAAUGUUGUGCGGCUGUGUUGUAGGCCUGGUGACCGAAUACGUCUAACUAUCCCCCGAAGUUGAAAUCGAGGGAUGAAAUCGAUGAAUGCCUCACCAUUGAUGAUGUUAAUAAUGUGUCUUUGUAUAAGCUUUGUAGAAAUGAUCUGAAUCCACAACAAAACCGUGUGGCCAGACUUUUUGCUUCUUGAUUUGGCUAGAAAUUUGGCGGACACGGUAUAAUCGAGCUUGGGCCACCUUUUUCCUCUUCAGCAAAGACUGUAUAUUCUCACUAGAGUAAUGAGUUUCGAUCACUGUCUUCAAACCGUUGUCCCCUGUGAUCUGAAAAAUGGAAUAUCUAACGGGGUUAAAUGAUGUUAGAUAUCUACAUUUCAGGCUCAAAAUUCUUCUUCAGAUCCCUACUUUAUGCCUAAACCUUGUUCAAAGCUCUUUUAACGUUAUGCUCUAGUUGAAUGUCAGAUCUUUAGAUUGGGUUGAUACAAAAAUGGGCUCAAUUUCAGCCUCACAAUUUUGACCGUUGUAAUGGACAAUAGCUCUGGCUCGUCUCCUCAUCUUGAACCAAAUAUUCUAUUCCACAUGUUUAAAAUCGAGAAAAUUGUAAAAAUAUAGUUCUCAUCACCCAAAUCCCUAAAUUUACACUUACUUUAAUGAAAUACCUUUGCUUCGACAAUAUUGUCAGUAUAAAAUUUUUGUUUUUUACUACAACAUCGAUAACUCCUAAUGCCAACAAUCUGCUUCAAACAUCUGUAUGGAAAAUCCAAGAAUUAUAUUGAGUUUUUUUAUAGAGCCUUUUCCUCGACGCACAUGAAACGAUUCUAGCAACAACACAUGUCAAGGCAUUAGUUGUUUUUGAGGUAUACACUAAAAAUUAAAAUUUGUGGGGGAGAAAACGUUCCCCGCAACGAUGUUUUUCAGCACCUAGACAUAGCAUUGAAAUUUAUCCUAGGAAUCCCGGGUUGUAGGGGCUUAGAGGUUGAAGCAAUCAAGUUGGCUUGGGUAUUGAAAGACCAUAAAGAAAAUGCCUAUUGCAGGAAGCAUUUCCACCUGACUUGGCAAUCAAAAUGCCUCCUGCAGGACGCGUUUUCCAGCCACAUCUCUGAUAUGUUAGUCGAAAACGCAUCUUGCAAGAGGCGUUUGUACUGCCAUGUUAGGUAAAAACACUUCCUGCAGGGAACAUUUUCUUUAUGGCCAUUUCAACACCCAGGCCAACUUAAUUGCUUCUGCCUCUGAGCCCUUACAACACGGGAUUCUCGGGAUAAAAAAAUUUCCCUUUUUACCCCACCCCAUCCCUUAUAUAAAUGCAUGUUCUCAUCCCCUACUCACCCAUAUCUCAGUCUCCUUUAAAUUAUUUUUUUCUUUUUCUUCCGUGUUGAAAUUUUCAAGUUUAAAGAUUUAUUUCUCUCACACUUUGAGGGGGAUGUAAUCAUAGUUUUAAGUUGUGUUUGAGUUCACAAUAAUGUCGUGGCGCUUGAUAACUUACAAAUUUCACUUGUCGUGUGAGUAUGGAGCCAUCACUUGAGAAAUCGAGAUCGCUUUGCAACUCGAGGUCCAAGUUGACGGUGUAAAUAAGGCUUCAAGUUUACAAAGGUUAUGCUAUUAAAAGGAUGGAGCAAAACCGGGACUGUAGUUGAUGAUGGUGAUGCAAGCACAAGAACUAGUUUUUCCUCAUUGGAAGAGCAUACUUUAUAAAAUCCAUAUACAAGUACGAGGGAGAAAAUCACAGGGGUCUUCCAGUAUAAUCAAGUAAUUCAUUUUAUCCUUUUCCAGCAAAGGCAAUGACCCUGUUACUAAAACCUAUUACAUCCCAAUUCUAUCAUAGGUAAUAGUAACGGUGUCACUGUCUUUGGUGGAGAUGGAUAAAAAAAUUUACUUAAUUAUACUGAGAUACCAUUGCAUUUUUCUUCCUCGUACUUGUGUAUGAGUUUUAUAAAGCAUCAUUUUCUAAUGAAAAAAGUUUUUUGUCGUGCCCGCAUAACCAUUGUAAAUUACAGCUCCAAUCAUACUCCGUCCUUUGAUAGCGUAACAUUUUGUAAACUUGAAGCUCUAGUUACACUUCAAUUUCAGACCGUAUAAUCACCCUUAACUGGGACCAUGAGUUGCAAUGCGAUCUGGCUUCUCGGGUGAUGGCUCCAUACUCACAUGACAAAUGAAAUUUGUAGGUCACCUAACUCCACGACACCACCAUAAAUUCAAACAUUCCUUAAAACUAUAACAGUGUCUAUCUCAAACAAGAAUGAAAAUAAAUGUUCAAACUUCUAAUUUCAAAUUGCAAGAAAAAAAAAAGAAAAAAAUAAAUUUUAGCAAAGUAAAAAUGGGUCCUACCGGCACAUUUUCAUUGCCACAUCAAUGAAAAUACACCUCGUACGACACGUUAUUCUUUCUUCGUAAACAAUGUAAAUCAAUAAAUUUAAAAAAAAAUUAUACAUUCUCAAAUAACUCUUUUUUUCAGCAUUUUUGUUAAAUUUAUCCCAUAAUACUGCUACUUCUUGUUUCCUGGGUUAUUUUUAUUACUGCUGGUUGUACCACCCUCCUACUGUGCGCCGGUUAUAGCAACUCACUCAAGAUUCUAAAUACUAAUAUAAACACCAUUUCUUUUAUUCUUAGUUUUUUUAGUGAUUAACGUGGUUUUAAUUAUCGUUAGAUCACGUGGGUGUUUAUAUGAAAUGCUUGAAAUCGUCACGCAGGACAAAAAAAAAAAAGAAAAAGAAAAGGAAAUGAAGAGUAUAUAUAUAGAGGAAACAACUAGUGAGAGUGAUAUUAAUAUUUAGAGUAGGUAAAGAUAGUAUUAUAUAGUCGCAUAUGCGACCUUGUACAUUACCACUAACUCUAAAACUAGGAUAACUCCAACAAUGAAUAGUACCGCUAUGGAUUUUUAACAUUCAUUUUUAUUCUGUCGACAUCACUAUUUCCCUUCCAUUAGCUGAUCCCAACUUCCAUGACCACACUUCACUUAAUGCUGCAAAUGCAACCACACCAAACAAAACAUUCAUAAAUUAAUAAAUCAAUUGCCAUAAGCGAUAAACUUUGGGUCAUUUUCUUUUUCCGUAAUUUCAAAGAAACCUAGUUUAAAUUAGAUACGAACCUUUUGCAGUCAGUGGAAGGGCUGAUCUUGUAAGGGAUGUUGAUACCGCACUUGCCUGGGAGUCCGGCUGCAGUGCUAUAGUUGAUGCCAGAAAUGCCGGUGGCCGCACUUUUGAUGCAGCUGCAAGCUGCUUGCCGGUCUGGUGUUGUUUUGGCGGCAGAGUUGAGAGAUCUGAUGCCGUUGCAGCAAGCUGGGGGAGCAGAACCAGCACCAUUCCCUUUCAAGUAAGCAAUGCAGGGUGCGAGGGCGCUUGUGAUUUGACCACAACUUAUGGCCCCUUGAGCCAGGGGUGCACCCACCACCAUGCAAAACACCACCACACAUGUAAGCUUAAGGGACAUUGAGCUAGCCAUAUCAAUUAGUCACAAGAAAACAAACUUGUAAGGAAAAUGCUCGCUUGGAGUAGUAGUACUAUUGCUGAUUGUUGCGUGGAUAAGGAUUGAAGGUAGGAGGGUUAUUAUAGCCAAAAGUCGAGUGAAGGGAUUUGGAAAGAACCGAGAAACACGUACGAAUAGAAUAUGGUUAGGCGCUGGUAGCUGGCCCAAUUUAAUGCCAAGGUUUCUUUCUUUCUUUUUCAUGUUUCAGCUUAUGGUUGAGUGUGUUUAAUGCUUUGGAAAAGGUUUGUAUCGACCACUUUCAUCUUCAUCACUAAUGCUGAAUUACUCCCUUGAUUAAUGCAUAAUAUUAGCAUUGUCUUAGUGUUUCCGGGUUUUUUCUUUUUUUAUAAUAGUAGUUUUUCCGGUUUUCUGAUAUUAGUAGCUUUACCAAUCAAAGAUGCUAUCAAAUAUAGUUUCCCUUAAUUCAAUCUUUCAUUACUCUCACUUUAUUUUUGCCAAAUAUGAAAUACAUAUUGUAACACCUAAAUUAUCCGACUCAAUCGCUGAGUCCAAAUAACAGAAUGUCAAAUUUAUUGCCGAGACAACUCUCAUCAAAUAUUUCAUACUUCUAUUUAAACCAUACAAUUAUAAAUACACGUACAUUCCAAUUCCAUUAAAUUAAACAAACAAUGGCCUAAUUGUGAAGUUUGAGCAUGAAAUAAGACUGAAUUGUAAAAUUUCAAAUUUAAGGGUCUGGUAUCAAUACUUAAUUGUUUGGUACCUAUACCUUAGUCCUCAAACAAAAAUUGCUCAACAUCAAUGCAUGUAUAGAUCAAUUUUAUAUAUCAAAGACCAAUAUCAUCUUUUUUUUAAUAAACAAAACAAGAUGUUGUGAUUCUAGCAGGAUAUAGGCGUAGCUAUUGUUCCUAAGUCUUCCUGCAAAAGGUUUCACAGUGAGAGGAGAAAAAAAAGUUCGAAAUUGUCUUGGUUUGCCUCAUAAUGAUUGAAGCAUAGACAAGUUGUCUAAUUUCUACCUAAUUGCCACGUGAAUUCACAUGAUUUUACGUCCCUUUUUCUUGGCUCAAGGGAAUGAAUUUCACAUGAUUCGGUAACAUAUUUCUUAGAUAUGGUCAACAAAUAUACAUGUGUAAGUGCAAUAUUUUCUAGUUUUGUUGUUAACCGGAAAAAAAAGAAGACGAAAAAUAUGAGACUAACUGUUUUCUUUUUAAAAAAAGAUUAUAAAUGUUAAUUUAAUACACGACAUAAUAAUAUAAUAUAAUAUAUUUAAAUGUAUAACUCCUCAUCUCCUAGACACUGUUAGUUAUUUUAUUUUUUGGAUUGUUUUAACAAAAGGUUGAGCUUUUUAUUAGGUUUUAUUUGAUUUUUCAUUUAUUAAAUAUAUUUUUAUAUUUUUUAGUAAUUAUUAAUUUUUUUUUGGAAAUUUGGACUGUCUUGUUCGAACAACAAUUAGAACAAGCUUUUUGGUGCAAUCAAAAUUUUUGGGUGUUGGCAUGUUUGACUUUUAAUGGCUUAUGUUUUAAUGUUAGUUAACAACAAAUGAUAAGAGAAUUUCAUGGUAAAUUAGAAUAUGAUUAUCAUCCAUUUGAUUAGCCUUGAAGAGGAAGGAGAGGAGUUUGAAAUUUGGUGGACACUCAUCCUUAUCAUUACCUUUUAGAGUGUUUGAAGCUGUUGGAGAACUUGGUUAU